rnacentral:lncRNA from 1 species
CCCAGAUUCCAGCGGAUACUAGCGCAACUGGACCACUCCAGCCAGGUGCAGCAGGGAGCCAAGAUGAAUCACGCGAGUAAUCAACUGGCAGCAAUUUAUUUGCUAUAGUUACAAAAACCUAUAAACAUACAGAAUAAAAGUUCCAAAGACUCGGUGUGUUAGUCAUUUCAAUUACAAUAAGUGACACUACAAGUCCAUUGUGUCUUGUAGUUAAGCACCAAAACCUUUUUAUGUGUUACUGGUACUUGAGAAGGUUGUAUGUCUUCUCAUCUCUAUCAUUUACAUUUGAAACAUGGGAUAUUAUAUUGUGUUUGCACAGUCUCCUGUCCUAUAAAUAUGUUAAUUAUUUUAGUUGCGGGGAAAUUUGUUAUUUAUUGGUUGCGAUUGCUAAGUUUUAGACAUAUGUUUGAGCCAUGCGCUAUUUUUUGAAGUCUUAUCCAUAUACUUGAGAAGAUCAUGAACCAUGCCGCAAAAAAUGAUGGCGCACAAAUGGGCUUGAUUAAGAAAGGGGGGAAAUCCGUACAGUUCAUACUCUAGAAAUCUGUCGAGAUACAAUGAUGCAGACAAUCGGAAUACACUGGCAACCAUGCAAGGCCAAAGAAUAUAUCUCUUCCUUUGUCUAGGAAAAAAAUACUGAUCCAAGUGUGCAGUGCUCCAAGAUUUCUGAUGAUAGAAACUAGAUUUCAGUUAAGUUGUCAUAUGCCAAAUUUUGAAGGAAUAUGUAACCCGAAUUUUACAAAUGAUGUCUCGACUUGCAGUUCAGAUAUAUGGAGAAGUAGGGGUUUGCAAUCUUUGAACAAUGAAUUCUGUUAAUUAACAAGCACUGACAAGUUCGAACAAACACGAGAAUGAUAAAAAAAAUCACUGGAAUGACAGCUAUUCCAUUCCUAGCUGACAAAUACUACCAAAAAGAGUCUCUUGGACAUCCUUUGUCAAAGUCAAAAAACUGCUCGAUUUUGAGCAUCUCUCCAAAAACUUGACGCCCGAAGUACCACCGUUGCUCUGUUUAUCCAUAAUGAGGGAACAAAGACCUUAUUAAUGGUGGAGAAGGUGAUCAUGGAAAUAGUCAGUUAACACGACAUCUAUUUCAUAUCAGGUACUUAUAAUGGAAAUAACUGCUAGUCCGCAUUCAUGAUUCCAUGAUUCAACAAAAAAAAAAACUGAAAAUCAUAGCUAGAUGAAUUUACCACCUGCUGUGCAGAGCUCACUGUUCUGGUUCAAGAAAUCAGUGAUUCCAUGAUUCAUGGUUCCUGUAGGGCACAAUGCCACCGCCUCUAUCCUCAGCAGCUCAUUCAGUAUUGAAUCAAUCAUGAGUUGAAACCUGCCCGGGGGGAGGCGGGGUUAUCUCUUGUAACCAUAUGUGAAAGAUGCACUGUGCAGCGGUUGCUCAUCAGGUUGAAUCACAUUCUCCAGCAUUUUGCAUUGACAAGACAGCGAAGAGAAACAACUAGAUAUAGCUAGGAUCAGGGGCAAGUGAGUGGCUAGCUGGCAGAAAAGUUGAAGGUGAAGCCCACCAUACUGUUUGCAAGUUUUUGGAGAAGCUGAAUGUUAUUGGUGACUGGUAUUUCAGACAUCUUUGUGGAAUGAAAUAUGAUAAGCUGAUAAACUUUUCUCUCCAAAUAUGCUACUUGAUAACCACUAUUCAAAACUAUGGUUAUAUUUGCUCACUUUUGUUGGUCAACUGAUGUGCAAAAAAAUCCCGGUUCGACGCUAGGUUUUACUCUGUUCUUGUUAGUCCGGUCUGGUGCAAGAAGAAGGGUUCAGCAGUCAGCACUAGAGGGAUUAUCAUUACCCCCAUCCCAUUUGGAAAAGCACGGGAUCUAAGUGGCCUGAUCUCACUGUUGCUUGAAUGUGUGGAAACUGCUAGGGAGAGAAACUGGAACUAACUGGAACUGAAACUGAAUACAUCAACACCCGAAACUGAAGGUACAGAUUCAGUCAAGGGACAGUGCACGCCACUGCUAGCAGAGCAGGAAUGAAUGGCUGGGAUAGAUGGGCCUGACUUUCCUGCUUGCGUCGUUUAAUUACCAAGUUAAAUUCGACUGUUCCUGGAGCCACUCACUCUCACUCUUGUGUCCGGUCAAGAAACGGCAGGGUUUUUCUACCCCAUGUGUCACUGCUGCUCUUUGACUAAACCACCACUCCUCGUAGAACAGUCUACCCAAAUUAAUUCCAACUUAUAUAGCACGUCAAGGAGAAAUUCUACAGGGUAUCAGUCAGUUCUGAUGUGAUGUGACACCAUGACAUGUAAUAAAUUCAUAUUAUUUUCGAAAAGACAUGUAAUAAAUUAUGCCUGUGUGCAUCAUCUAUCGAUAUAAAAGUCUUUUUUUAUCAUGUAAUAAAAGGUACUCUCUCAUGCUAGAAAAAGUAAUGGCCACGACACCUCCAGAACCAAAGAAAAUGUGUGUUCGAGUGAGUUGGUUGGCAAAAAGGAACUUAAAUAUCUCAGACACAUUUCUAAAAAUCAGGAUCAACAUCCAACUAUCCGCUUGUCACUCCAUAUGCAACUUAUAAACUAAUUGAAGAUACGCCAAUGGGGCAGUGGCCUAUAUCGAAUUAAACCUUUUUUUACAAUGCCAUUUUUCUUGAGUCAUUUUGUGCAGUGCCAUUUUUCAAUACAUGAAGCUGGCAGUGACAUGUACCAAAUUAACCCUAUAAGUAUUUUCGCAAAAAUCAAACCUGCAAGUAAAUAAAAGAACGGAACAGAAGUACUCCCUCCGUUCCAAAUUACUUGUCGUGGUUUUAGGUCGUGGUUUUAAACUAAAACCACGACAAGUAAUUUGAAACGGAGGGAGUAACAAUUUCACACAACCCAAUUAAGUCAAACCCAAUUUCACACAGCUGACAAAGACCGACACAACACGAUUAAGUCAGUAACCUUCUAACCUUUCAUCCAGAGCACAUGCUCGGGUCUCCAGUCGAAAUUGAGCAACACCCCCAUGACUUAUAAAGUUAAGUUGUUGGUUUCUUGUCUAUCAUCCCGUGAGCUGAGCUGCAUUUUCUGUCUUUCGACUCAAACAGAAAUAAUAAUAUAGAAAUAAAUGACGAAGAGGAAAAAAAAUUAGAUUGAAUUUUGCAAUCCAUGUUCUGUUAUUUUGUGUGUGUGCGGAAUCCAUGUUCUAGCUCCAGUAGCAACAGAUAAAGGCCAUAAAAGAGGUGCAAGCAAACAACAUGGCAACUUAUCUAAUGCCCAGGUGCCUUACAAUUUUUUUAUGAUAUCCAUUUAGAACUUAGACAGUAUAGAAAUGAUUGUAAUUUUCAUAAAAUGCAUAACACAAGCUCGAACAAGUAUCAGAUUUCCACGAUUCAGUAUCAAAUCAACGAUAUGAGUUGUAGCCUGCCGGGGAGGAGCCGGGGUGAUCUUUACCAUACAAAAAGUUAUUACCUAUAUGUGAAAGAUGCACUGUGCAGCUGUUGCCCGUCCAGUAAGCCGGUUCCAUCAGCAGCAGAUCAAGGAGCAGCUAGAUAUGGCAACUGAGUGACUAGCUGACAUAAAAGUUGAAGGUGAAGCCUACCAUACGAGUUUUUGGAGAAGCUGAAUGUUAACGGUAGCGACUUGUAGUUCAGACAUAUUUAUGGAAUGAAAAAUGGUAAUCUGGUAGAACUUUGUCUCCAAAUAUGCUCCAUGUGGAUUCAGAAGUCAGUAGUCAGCACUAGAGGGGAUUAUUAAUUUAUUAUCACCGCAUCCCCAUUGGACAAAACAUGGAAUUUUAUUGGCCUGACCACAUAUAGUUGCUUCAAUGCGCGGAAGAUGCAGUGCCAGGAGCUCAAGGGACUGCGGCGGCUCCUGAGGGGAGUCGUGCUGGCAGCAGCAAGCAAGGAUGCCUGGGAAGGAGGAACCGCAGCGCUCGUCGAGGAGGCCAAGGGCAGCUCCAGCUGCUCGGAGUACAACAACACCUGAAACUGAAGGCACAGGUUCAGUGAACGGACGGUGCACGUCACUGCUAGCAAAGCAGCAAUGAAUGGCUGGGAUUGAUGGGCCUGACUUUGCUGCUCUCGUUGUUAAUUCAGUUUACUUAGAAAGUUGCUGCUAACUACAGUAUGAGUCCUUUUAAAAAAAACUACUGUAUGAGUGUAAAAAAAAAGUACUGCUAAGCGAAGUAAAAACAGAAGUAGGUCAUAUUGCUCUUCUCGAAGAAAAACGAGACUGCUUUCUCUCACUGGACGUAGAAAGUAGAGCAAAUUCGACUAUUCCUGGAGCCAAAGACCAAAAUCCCUUCUAGACUGCCUCACACUACUUUGCCAUAGUUAAUCUGGAAAUCUUCCAUCCAGAACACCUACCCGGGUGGCUGGGUCUCGAGUCCAACAUAGCUACUGUCACUCAUUGCUAAUUUAUCCCUCUUCCAUUGCGCCACUCGAGCUCUGAGUCGAGGUGGUUCGCGAUCAAUGGAUAUCCUCAUCUCUGCAAUCGUAGGCGACCUCAUCAGCAGGUCUGCAUCAUUCGUGAUCAGCAAAUACUUCCAGCAGCAGCCUGACAUCAACAAGAUUGUCCAAAGGCUACAGAGUGUUGUACUGAGAAUCGACAUCGUCGUCGAGGAGGCCGAGGCGCGGGACAUCACCAACCAGGGGAUGCUCCGUCAGCUCAAGAUGUUGAGGCAAGGGAUGUACAGAGGCCACUAUGUUCUCGAUGCCUUGAGAUUCCAAGCAGCCCUCGACGAGGAGAAGGUAAGCCACUCAUCAUCUGCGCUCUCUAAAUCCAGUGCAGCCAAACGGCUCCGUUUCUCUCGGACCGGCAGUGGCAGCAGCAACAGAGAAGCAUUGUUGUUUGGCACAAACAGCAACAUGCGAGAAGAGCUGCAACAGAUGGUUGAUACCCUUGAAGACACCGUGGCUGGUAUGAAGGAGUUUCUUUUCUUCUUGGAAUUGUAUCCUCGGAUACUUCGCCAACCUUACGGCACAUAUUUGCUCUUGGACAACUGCAUGUUUGGUCGCCAAACUGAACAGGAAUGGGUCCUGAAUUUCUUGCUCUGUCCCAGUGUUACACCAGACUUGGCUGUACUUCCGAUCAUCGGUCCAAGAAGGGUAGGGAAGAGCACCCUUGUUGAGUAUGUCUGUAGGGAUGAGAGUGUGCGUGGUCACUUCUCGAUGAUCUUGUUCUUUGCAGAAGGUAGUCUCAAGGAUGAAGGACUUGUUGACCUGAAAGGAAACAAUAUUAGUGGUCUAGUCAGACAUCAAAAUUCUGCUUCUCAAAACAGGUUGCUGAUUAUUGUUGAACUAGCUGAGGAUAUUAAUGAGGGAACAUGGAGAAGGUUGAAAUCUUCCGCAAGCAGCAUGGCACCAGGUGGGAGCAAAAUUGUAAUCACCAGUCGAUCAAAUAGAAUUGUGAGUCUGGGAACAACAGAAGCACUUCGACUGGACUAUCUCCCGCAAGAAGCUUAUUGGCAUUUUUUCAAGUCGCUUGCAUUCGGAAGCACAAACCCAGAUGAGCAGCCAAAUAUGGCAAAGAUGGCCAUGGAGAUGGCUUUGGAGCAGAGGCAGAGUUUCACAGGCGCGCGUAUCAUUGCUGGGAUACUGCAAGAUAACUGUAAUCCUCGAUUUUGGCGCACAACUCUUGAACGUACGAGAGCAUCUAUACAGAUAAAUCUCCUUAUGCUUGAACAGCACCCAAUGCUUCUUUUGCGGGAAGAUGAACCGGUGUACAGUCGAAGAACAGACAAGAGCCGAAAACAUUUCUUGAUUUGCAACUAUCAUCAGUCAGAUUCCACUGAGGAUGUCCCUAAGAUCAGUGUGCAGGACAUUAUUUUAGGAUGUGAUGAUACAUUACCCUGUGAAGAAUUUGAGGCUCUUGCAUGGAGGUCUCUCAUACCUCCCUACUACAACUACACAAUAAGCUUUAAGACACAAGAACCACAUCUUACAGUGGGAGGGAAGAAGCGUGCGCAUCAGGAGGAAGAACGUUUAAUUUGAGUAAUGUGUUGUCUGUGGCUCACAUCAUGUAUGCUACAGCCUUGUCUUGCGGAUUAGGAAAUAUUAUUAUAUUGCAUUUACUCUUUGGGAGUCCUGCCAAGUUAUGUCUCUUAGCAGGGACUAGGCAUGGAGUCGUUGUAUCCUAGUAAUACAAGUGUUUGCAUGUCUGUGUUUGGGUAAGUAACUUUCAGAGUCAAGGCAAUGUAUGCAUUCACAGUUAAAAGUAAAGUCCAAGACAAGUUGUAUUUAUAAAGUUGAGUACUGAAGUCCAUAUCCUAUUGAUCUCGAUACUAUGUGUGCUAUGUAAACCUAAGCCUUGUAAUAAUCCUUGAACGUGGAGAAAAGAUACGAGCAAAAGUGCCCCAAACUUGCUACUAUGUGUGAGUUUGAUCCUUGGGCGAAAGCAAACAAGAUUCAAUUCCUUGUCACAAGUAUUUUCCAUGACAAAUUAUUUUCUUGUUUGGUUCAAAGAUCAGAAAGAUUAGCUGGAACUGGAGUAGGACAUUACCUGGAGUGCAGGGCGGUGAGGAGAUGACAAUAUAAAGAUAAAAAAAAAAUAAGUUGUUGGUUUCUUGUCUAUCAUCCCAUGAACUGUGCUGCAUUCUCUACCUUUUGACUCGGAGAAAAAUAAAUCAAUGGGGAGAAGGGAAAAACUAGAUUGAGUUUUGCAACCCGUGUUCUAGUUCGAGUAGCAACAGACAAAGGCCAUAAAUGGGGUAUAAGCAAACUACAUACCAACUUCUCUAAUGCUCAAUGAAACUUAUAGACAGUCUAAAAAUAUUAAAAAUCUCCAAGUCGCAGUUACCUGUGGACCUCCUCAGAGGAUUCUGCAAUGCUAAUAUUGUAUCCUUAUAAUUCCAAAUUGGCUAUAUCCCCUGGACGAACUGUACAAACAGUUGCAAUUCUCUUUGCACCUAACUAAUCACCAAGAAGUUUGUGAGAAAUGUGUGGCCAUGUAGAAACUGGUCGCGAACUGUGAUCUUAUCAGAAAUUACUAGAACAACAUAACGAAUUAUGUGUGGAUAUAAUGAGUGUGCAUUGAUCAGAAGUUAAGAACUGGUGGAGAAGGCGCGCGAGUUUGUCAGAAACUUUUAGAACAAUUGUAAAUGCUGCUGGUACACUUCAAGUUUUGCCUGAAUAUAUUGAACACACCAGUGAACAACAUACAGAGCUACCAGCAGAAUGCAACUGUCAGUGAAAGAACCCAAUGGCUGUUCCUGAAAGAACGGGAAGAACUGGACCCCAUGCUGUUUGAAUGUGUCGUGGGAGGCGGGGGGAGCUGCCGUACCUGGAGCAAAGGGGCGGCGAGGUGUCCCCAGGCUUGGCAAACCCGGCGCGUCGCCUCGUCAACGCCGUCUUCUUCCCAGUGCACCACUGCACCAAUGACUAACACGGCGCCUUGCACCCGCGGCUCCACGGCGACUACCUCGACACCAGCCAUCCCCGACUUGACAUCGACCACGGCCUGACCACACUGUUGCUUGAAUGGGGAGAACAAAGCUGCAGUACCUGGAACUCAGGGGACGACAGCAAGGCCAGUGGCCAGCCGGUGGCUCCUGGGGGAGGCCAUGCUGGCAGCAGUAAGCGCGGAGGUCUGCAAAGGAUGAGCUCCAACUACUCUGAAUACAUCGAGACCUGAAACUGAAGGUAGAGAUUCAGUUAACGGAUGGUGCGCGUCACUGCUAGCAAAGCAAGAAUGAAUGGCUUCUCUCGUUGUUAAUUCAGUUUAAUAACCAAGUUACUGCUAAGUGUGGUAUGAGUGACACAAAAAUACCGCUAGCCGUGGUAAAAAAAAAAAGAACUGGUAUCGGCAAUAUUUCGGUCACAUCUCUCUUCUGAAGAAACACGGGUGCUUUCCGACAUUGUACAUAGAAAGCAAAAAAAAUUCAAUUAUUGCUGGAUCCAAACACCAAAAAGCCUUCUAGACUGCCUUGCCAUUCACUUUUCACUCUUUUGUCAAAAUUCAACCCUCCAUUCAGCGAAAAGCACUCCUUGUCUCACUGGUAGUUUUUGACUAGGCCACGGUUUUUUACAAACCACCACUCCUUGUAGAACAGUCUACUGAAAUUAAGUCCAAGUUAUAACUAUAUUCAAAGGAGAAAUUCGACAAGUCAGACUCAAUUCCACAAGGCAGGCAAAGACCCACUCAGAAAUUGGUAAGGCACCACCACAUCACAUCAUAUAUGUAUUGCAUGCUGAUCCAUCCAGCGCUAGCCCCACUGCCUCACUUCUAAUAUCUCAUACAGAACACGCCCAUUACUUGACGCCCACAUAGAUAUUCCUCAUUGAUAAUAUUCCAUCCAGUACUCAUUGCUAAUUUUAUCCCUCGUCCAUUGCACCGCUCAAGCUCUGAGACGAGGAGGUUCGCAAUCAAUGGAUAUCCUCGUCUCUGCAAUACUAGGUGACCUCGUCAGUAGGUCAGCGUCAUUUGUGAUCAGCAAAUACUUCCAGCAGCAGCCUGGCAUCGGCAAGAUUCUCCAGAGGCUACAGAGUGUCCUACUGAGAAUCGACAUCAUCGUCGAGGAGGCCGAGGCGCGGCACAUCACCAACCAGGGGAUGCUCCGUCAGCUCAAGAUGUUGCGGCAAGGAAUGUACAGAGGCCACUACGUUCUCGAUGCCUUACUGGCAUUUUUUCAAGUCGCUUGCAUUCGGAAGCACAAACCCUGAUGAACAGCCAAAACUGGCAACAAUGGCCAUGGAGAUUGCUUUGGAACAGAGACAGGAUUUCACAAGCGCACAUAUCGUUGCUGGGAUACUGCGAGCUAACAUCAAUGCUCGAUUUUGGCGCACAAUUCUUGAAUGUGUAAGAGCAUAUAAACGGACAAAUCUCCUUUUGUUUGACCAGCACCCAUACUUUCGUUUGCGGGUAGAUGAACCGGUGUACUAUUGGACCUUGGAGAAGAGCCGCAGAUAUUUCUUGAUUUGCAACUAUCAUCAGUCAGAUUCCACCGAGAGUGUUCCAAAGAUCAGUGUGCAGGACAUUCUCCUAGGACGUGGUGGUACACUACCCUAUGGAGAAUUUGAGGCUCUUUCAUGGAGGUCUAGCAUACCGCCCUACUACAACUACAUGGUAAGCUGUAAGAUGCAAGCACCACGACUUACAGUGGGAAGGAAGAGGCGCGUGCAUCAAGAGGAACAACAUUUUAUUUGAAAGUCUGCCACACACGUCAUGUAUGUUACUGCCUUUUCCUGCAAAUUGGGAAAUGUUAUUACACUGACUUUAGAAGUCUUGUCAAGUUUAAACACAUAUGUCUGUUAGUGUGCAGGCUCUAGGCAUGGAGUCGCUGUAUCCUAGUAGUACAAGUGUUUGCAUGUCGAGUAUGUUAUGCUUGUGUUCAGGUAAGUACAUUCAGAGUCGAGGCGAUGUUUGCAUGUCUGAUAAAAUAGAGUCCAAACAUGUUGCAUUUAUAAAUUUGAGUAUCUGAGUCUGUAUGUAUCCUAUUGACCUGUGAGGGUACUAAAUAAAUCUAAGCCUUAAAAUAGCCCUUGAUCAUGAUGAGAAAAGUGCCCUAAAUUUGCUCUGUUUCUCAAGUGUGCGUGUGUUUGAUCCUUGGCGAAAGAAAAUAAGUUUCAAUCCCUCUGACAGAUUAUUUUCUUGCUGGGUCGAGGUUGGCCCACCAUACUGUCUGCAAGUUUUUGGAGAAGCUGAAUGUCAUUGGUGACUGUGGUAGUUCAGACAUCUUUGUGAAAUGAAAUAUGAUAAUCUGAUAAACUUUCUCUCUCCAAAUAUGCUACUUGAUCAACACUAUGCACUGGAGUAUUCAGAACUAAACCUGGAACAAAAACUGAAACUACUAGGAACCAAACUGAAACUGAGUUCAGUUAGGUUUGGAACAGCUAACAAGCUCCGGCUACUCUGAAUACAUCAACACCUGAAACUGAAGGUACAGAUUCAGUCAAUCGGACGGUGCGGGUCACUGUGCUAGCUAGCAAAGCAGAAAUGAAUGGCUGGGAUCGAUGGGCCAAAACCCAACCCUCUAGGCCGGUCAAGAAACGGCAGGGUUUUUCUACCCCGUCCGUGUGUCACUGCUGCUCUUUGACUAAACCACGACUCCUCGUAGAACAGUCCACACAAAUUAAUAUAGCACGUCAAAGAGAGAUUCUUCAAAGGAAAAAGGGGGUACCAGUUAGUUCUGAUGUGACACCAUGACAUGUGAUAAAUUAAUAUUAUUUUUGAAAAGACAUGUAAUAAAUUAUGCUUGUGUGCAUCAUCUAUCGAUGUAUAACUCUAUUUUCUUUUUUUCCAUGUAAUAAAAAGGUACUCUUUCAUGCUAGAAAAAGUAAUGGCCACAACACCUCCAAAACCAAAGAAAAAUGUGCACUCGAGUGAGUUGGUUGGCAAAAAGAAACUUAAAUAUCUCAGACACAUUUCUAAAAGCCAGGAUCAACAUCCAACUAUCCUCUUAUCCAAACCACUCCACAUGCAACUUAUAAACUAAUUUAAAAUAUGCCAAUGGGGCAGUGGCCUAUAUCGAAUUAACCCUUUUCUUACAAUGGCAGUUUUCUUGAUUCACUUUUUGCAGUGGCAUUUUUCAAUGCACGAAGUUGGCAGUGACAUGUACCAAAUAAACCCUAUAAGUAUUUCCACAAAAAAAUUAACCCUACAAGUAAAUAAAAGAAAAGGAAGUAGCAAUUCCAACACAACACGUUAAGUAAAACCCAAUUUCACACGGCAGGCAAAGACUCACACUACCUUGACAUAGUCAGCCACCUUCUAACCUUUCAUCCAGAACACAUGCCCGGGUCUCUAGUCGAAAUUGAGCAACACCCCCAUGACUAGUACCACUCACUGCUAAUUUUAUCCCUUGUCCAUUGCAGCACUCGAGCUCAGAGUCGAGGAGGUUCGGCAGUACCCAAUCAAUGGAUAUCCUCAUCUCUGCAAUCGUAGGCGACCUUGUCGGCAGGUCGAUGUCCUUUUUGAUCAGCAAAUACUUCCAGCAGCAACCUGACAUCAACAAGAUUGUCCAGAGGCUACAGAGUGUUGUAUUGAGAAUCGACAUUGUUGUCGAGGAGGCCCAGGGGAGGGACAUCACCAAUCAGGGUAUGCUCUGUCAGCUCAAGAUGUUGAGGCAAGAAAUGUACAGAGGACACUAUGUUCUUGAUGCCUUGAGAUUCCGAGCCGCCCUUGACGAGGAGGAGGUGAGCCACUCAUCGGCUGCGCUUUGGAAAUCCAGUCCAGCCAAACGGCUUUGUUUCUCUCGCACCGGCAGCAGCAGAGGCAACAGAGAAGCACUGCUAAUUGGCACAAAUAGGAACAUACGAGAAGAGCUGCAACAGAUGGUUGAUACCCUUGAAGACACCAUGGACGGUAUGAAGGCGAUUCUUUUCUUCUUGGAGUUAUAUCCUCGGAUGAUCCGCCAACCUUGCGGCACAUACUUGUUCUUGGACAAUUGCAUGUUUGGUCGCCAAACGGAGCGGCAGUGGAUCCUGAAUUUCUUGCUUAGUCCUGGUGCUACAUCAGAUUUGGCUGUACUUCCGAUCGUUGGCCCAAUAAGAGUAGGGAAGAGCACUCUUGUUGAGAAUGUCUGUAGGGAUGGGAGUGUGCGUGAUCGCUUCUCGAUGAUCCUCUUCUUUCCAGAAAGCAGUCUCAAGGAUGAAGGGGUGGUCGACCUGAGAGAUAACAAUAUUAAAUUCAGACAUCAGAAUUGUGCUUCUCAAAAUAGGUUGCUGAUUAUUAUUGAAACAGACAAGGAUAUUAACGAGGAAACAUCGAGAAGGCUGAAAUCUUCCGCAACCUGCAUGACACCUUGCGGUGAGAGCAAAAUCAUAAUCACUAGUCGGUCAGAUAGAAUUGUGAAUCUGGGAACAACGGAAGCACUUCGACUGGAUUAUCUCUCUCAAGAAGCUUAUUGGCAUUUUUUCAAGUCAAUUGCAUUCGGGAGCAUAAACCCCGGGGAGCAUCCAAAACUGGCAACUAUGGCUAUGGAGAUUGCUUUGGAACAGACACAGUGUUUCACAAGCGCGCGUAUCGUUGCUGAGUUACUGCAACAUAACUUCAAUGCUCGAUUCUGGCGCACAGUUCUUGAAUGUGUAAGAGAAAGUAAACAGAUAAAUCACAUUAUGUUUGGCCAGCACCUACCUUCUUUUGCGGGAAGAUGCACCGGUGUAUUGUUGGAGAUUAGUGAAGAUACACAGAUAUUUCUUGUUUUGCAACCAUCAGCAGUCAUAUUCCGAUGAGAAUGUCCCCAAGAUCAAUCUGCGGGACAUCAUCUUAGGAUGUGGUGGUAAACUGCCCUGUGGAGAAUUUGAGGCUCUUGCAUGGAGGUCUCGCUUACUGCCCUACUACAACUACAUGGUAAGCUGUAAGAUGCAAGCACCACAACUUACAGUAGGAAGGAAGAAGCGUGUGCAUCAAGAGGAAGAACAUUUUGUUUGAGUAGCACACUUCUGUGACUCAUAUCAUGUAUGCUACCGUGUUGUCCUGUGAGUUAGGAAAUAUUAUUACUCUGCCUUAAUUAGGAGUCUUGGCAAGUUAGGUAACAUAUAUGUCUAUUAACGUGUAGGCAUGGAGGGCUUCUAUCCUCCUAGCAUAAGUUUGCAAGUCGAGUACAUCAUGCUGUUGUUUGGGCAAGUACUUUCAGAUUCAAAACAGUGUUUGCAUCGCCGGUUAAAUCAGAGUCCUAGACAAAAUGUAUUUAUAAAGUUGGAUGAUUGAGUCUGUCUCCUAGUGAUCUGGAUACUAUGGGUAAUCUAUAAACCUAAGCCUUGCUAUCACACAUAUAUUGAUCUUUGGACAUGAAGAAAAGAAUAGGGAAAAGUGCACCAAAUCUGCUCUGUUUGAUCCUUGGGCAAAAGCCAACAUGCUUCAAUUCCUCUGUCACAUUUAUUUUUUGUGGCAGAUUCUUUUCUUGCUGGAUUUCAUUAAGUAGACUGGACCGGUGUAUUGUUGGAGAUUGGUGAAGAGACACAGAUCCUGAGCUGAACCCUUGCUCUUGCUCUUGCACUGGACUGGACCUGACAAGCACAGGAUCUAAACUGGCCUGGCCAUAUUGUUGCUUGAAUGGGGGAAAGCUGCAGUACCUGGAGCUCAGCGGACGGCGGAGGGAAUACGGGGUUCAUAAUGAAGCCUGGGAAGGAAGGGACGGUGAGUUUGUAGGCUGGCCGUAGAAGCGCUCGCCGGCGGCCCUAAGGAGGCCAGGUGGUGCAGCUCCAGCCACUCCAAAUAUAUCGACACCUGAAACUGAAGGUGCAGAUUCAGUUAACGGCCGGUGCGCGUCACUGCCAGGAAAGAAUGAACGGCUGGGAUUGACGGUCCUCUGAGUUUGCUGCUGUUGUUGUUAACUCAGUCUAGUUACCAAAAGUUACUGCUAACUGCAGUAUGAGUGUUCUGGCAAAAAAAAAAAACUGCUAACUGCAGUAAGAGCAGAACUGGUAUCUGCCGAUAUUUCUCACUGAACAGUAGAAACCAAAGCAAAUUCAACUAUUCCUAGAGCCAAAGGCCAAAAUCCCUUCUAGACUGCUUUGCCAUUCAUUUCUCACUCUUAUGUCAAAAUUCAACCCACCCGGUCAGCAAACGGCAUGGUUUUUCUCUUCCGCGCCUCAUUUAUGGUUUUUCACUCCACCACCACUCCUUGUAGAACAGUCUGCCCAAAUCAAGCCCAACUUGUAUAACACGUCAAGGAGAAAUUCCUACAAGGAAAAUGGGCACCAGUUAGUUCUGAUGUGACAUCUUGACCUGUAAUAAAUUAUGCUUGUGUGCAUCAUCUAUCGUCUGGAUGCAGAUGCCCAGAGGUAUAAAAUAAGAUAAAAGUAAAGGAAGGAAACAAAGUAGUGUUGUUUUGGCAUAGAUUUGCAACGAGUCAAGUCAGACUCAAUUGCGCAGCCUAAGACUCGCUCAAAAAUUAGCAGGGCGCCACCACCAUCAUAUAUAUAGCAGCUGAUCAUCUUAUUGCAUUAGAUUGGUGCUCCAUUAUUUAUUUCAAAAUAUACAUAUAACAUUUAAAACUUUAAAAGCUUACCAAGCCUUAACAAGUCUUGAGUCGAAAUUGAGCAACCCCCCAUGGAUUGACGCCCAAGUAGCUAGUAUCACUCACUGCUAAUUUUAUCCCUCUUCCAUUGCUCCACUUGAGCUCUGAGUCAAGGUGGUUCGCAAUCAAUGGAUAUCCUCGUCUCUGCAAUCGUGGGUGACCUCAUCAGCAGGUCUGCAUCGUUCGUGAUUAGCAGAUACUUCCAGCAGCAACCUGACAUCAAUAAGAUUCUACAGAGGCUAUGGAGUGUCCUACUGAGAAUCGGUAUCUUCGUCGAGGAGGCCGAGGCACGGCACAUCACCAACCAGGGGAUGCUCCGUCAGCUCAAGAUGUUGAGGCAAGGAAUGUACAGAGGCCACUAUGUUCUCGAUGCCUUGCGAUUCCAAGCCGCCCGCGGCGAGGAGGAGAUGAGCCACUCGUCAUCUGCACUGUCCAAAUCCAGUCCAACCAAAUGCCUUCGUUUCUCUCGCACCCGCAGUGGCAGCAGCAGCAGCAACAGAGAAGCACUGUUGUUUGGCACAAACAACAACAUACAAGACGAGCUGCAACGGAUGGUUGAUACCCUUGAAGACACCGUGGCUGGUAUGAAGGAGUUUCUUUUCUUCAUGGAGCUGUAUCCUCGGAUCCUCCGCCAACCUUAUGGUAUGUAUUUGCUAUUGGACAACUGCAUGUUUGGUCGCCAAAUGGAACGGGAACAGGUUCUGAAUUUCUUGCUUAGUCCUGGUGCUACAUCAGACUUGGCUGUACUUCCGAUUGUUGGUCCAAUAAGAGUAGGGAAGAGCACCCUUGUUGAACAUGUCUGUAGGGAUGAGAGUGUGCGCAGUCACUUCUCGAUGAUCCUGUUCUUUCCACAAGGUAGUCUCAGGGAUGAAGGGGUGGUUGACCUGAAAAGAAACAAUAUUAAUGGUCUAGUAAGAUAUCGAAACUCUGCUUCUCAGACCAGGUUGCUGAUUAUUGUUGAAAUAGCUGAGGAUAUUAAUGAAGGAACAUGGAGAAGGCUGAAAUCCUCCACAACCGGCAUGACACCGUGCGGUGGGAGCAAAAUUAUAAUAACCAGUCGAUCAGAUAGAAUUGUGAAUCUGGGAACAACGGAAGCACUUCGACUGGACUUUCUCCCUCCAGAAGCUUACUGGCAUUUUUUCAAGUCACUUGUAUUCAGAAGCACAAACCCUGAUGAGCAGCCAAAACUAGCAACAAUGGCCAUGGAGAUCGCUUUGGAACUGCGACAGGGUUUCACAAGCGCGCAUAUCGCUUCUGGGAUAUUGCGACAUAACUUUAAUGCUCGAUUCUGGUGCACAGUUCUUGAAUGUGUAAGAGAAAGUAGACAGACAAAUCUCAAUAUGUUUGGCCAGCACCCAAACCUUCGUUUACGGGAAGAUGCACCGGUGUAUUGUUGGAGAUUGGUGAAGAGCUGCAGAUAUUUCUUGAUUCACAACUAUCAUCAGUCAGAUUCCAGUGAGAAUGUCCCUAAGAUCAAUCUGAGGGACAUCGUCUUAGGAUCUGGUGGUAAACUACCCUGUGGAGAAUUUGAGGCUCUUGCAUGGAAGUCGCGCAUACCGCCCUACUACAACUACAGGGUAAGCUGUAAGAUGCAAGCACCACAACUUACAGUAGGAAGGAAGAAGCGUGUGCGUCAAGAGGAAGAACAUUUUGUUUGAAUAGCACACUGUCUGUGACUCAUAUCAUGUAUACUACCAUGUUGUCCUGUGAAUUAGGAAAUAUUAUUACUCAGGAGUCUUGCCAAGUUAGUUAACAUAUAUGUCUAUUAACAUGUAGGCAUGCCGGACUUCUAUCCUCGUAGCAUAAGUCUGUACUUUCAGAUUCAAUACAGUGUUAGCAUUCCGGUUAAAUCAGAGUCCAAGACAAAAUGUAUUUAUAAAGUUGAGUGCUUGAGUCUGUAUCCUAGUGAUCAGGAUACUAUGUAUAACCUAUAAACUUAAGCCUUGCUAUCACACAUGUAUUGAUCUUUGGGCAUGAAGAAAAGAGUAAGGAAAAGUGCAUCAAAUUUGCUCUGUUUCCCAUGUACGCGUGUGUUUGAUCCUUGGGCAAAAGGCCAAUAUGUUUCAAUUCCUCUGUCACAUUUAUUUUUUUGUGACAGAUUCCUUUCUUGCUGGAUUUAAAGAUCAGAAAGAUAAGCUGGAUCAGGAGUAGUGGCAUUACCUGGAGGCCAGGUGAUGCAGCUCCCGCUAAUCUGAAGGGACAAUUCCAUUUCUCUCCCUAACUUGAGCCACCACCUGGCGUUUGCCCCUAAUUUUCAGUUAUGCUCAAAAAUAAACCUCUUCCGUCAAGUCACCUUACAGAAAUGCCCUUCUGUGUCGUUACCGUCCGGUCAAAGGGCUUUGACCGUCUGGCGAAUAGUAACGUGGUGAACAGUAAAUUCGAAAAAAAAUUAAAAAAAUCUAAAAUUUUGUGGGAUCGAAGAUACUCAAGGGAUCAAGGUGCUUGCAAAUUUUCGCGUAGUUUGGACAUUCCAGCAGCUCGUGUCAAAGGAAAAACUUUAAAAUGUACGCUGUGAACAGUAAAUUCAAAAAACAUAGCUAGAAAAUUCAAAAAAAUAUGAAAUUUUUUGGCAUCAAAGAGGCUGGGGUGCGUGCAAAUUUUUGUUGUGUUUCGACACUGUAGGAGCUCGUGGAGAAAAAAACAAAAUCUGGCGAAAAAAACUUUGAAAAAAAUGCACUGUUUUGUUUUUUUUUUUUGCUAGAGCACCUCGCAUGUCAUUUGAUCACAAAAAUUUGCAAGCACCUUGCGCACCCAAGCCUCUUUGAUGCCAAACAAAUUCAUAUUUUUUAAAAUUUUCUUGCUAUUGUUUUUGAAUUUACUGUUCAUAGCGUAUAGAUUUAUAUUUUUUUCCUUUGCCACGAGUUCCUGGAAUGUCCAAAUAGCAGGAAAAUUUGCAUGCACCUUGCGCCCUUGAGUAUCUUCGAUCCCACAAAAUUUCAGAUUUUUUUGAUAUUUUUUUCGAAUUUACUGUUCACCAUGUUACUAUUCACCAGAUGGUCAAAGCCCUUUGACCGGACGGCAAUGGCAUUUCUAUAAGGUGAAUUGACGGAAGAGGGGUAUUUUUUAGCAUACCUGAAAAUUAGGGGCAAAUGCCAGGUGGUGGCUCAAGUUAGGGGGAGAAAUGGAAUUGUCCCUAAUCUGAAUAUAUCAACACCUGAAACUGAAGGUGCAGGUGCAGAUUCAGUUAACGGAAAGAAAGAAUGGAUGGGGUUAACGGACCUCUGAGUUUGCUGCUGUUGUCGUUAACUCGGUUUAGUUACCAAGUUACUGCUAACUACAGUAUAAGUGUCCUGGCAAAAAAAAAUAUACUACUAUCAGCGGUAAAAGGAGAACUGGUAUCUGACGAUAUUUCUCUCACUGAACAGUAGAAACCAAAGCAAAUUCAACUAUUCCUGGAGCCAAAGGCCAAAAUCCCUUGUAGACUGUCUUGCCACCCAUUUCUGAGUCUUUUAUCAAAAUUCAACCCUCCGGUCAAUAAACGGUAUGGUUUUUCUCAUGUCUCAUUUAUGGUUUUUGACUAAACCAGCACUCUUUGUAGAACAGUCUACCCAAAUUAAGUCCAACUUGUAUAACCUGUCAAGAAGAAAUUUCUACAAGGAAAAAGGGCACCAGUUAGUUAGUUCUGAUGUGACAUCUUGACUUGUACUCCCUCCGUUCCUAAAUAUUUGUCUUUUUAGAGAUUUUAAAUGGACUAUCACAUACGGAUGUAUAUAGACAUAUUUUAGAGUGUAGAUUUACUCAUUUUGCUCCAUAUGUAGUCAUUUGUUGAAAUAUCUAGAAAGACAAAUAUUUAGGAAAGGAGGGAGUAAUAAAUUAUGCUUGUGUGCAUCAUCUAUCAUCUAGAUGCAGAUGCCCCAGAGGUAUAAAAUAAGAUAAAUGUAAAGGAAGGAAACAAAAGCAGUGUUGUUUUGGCAUAGUUUUGCAACGAGUCAAGUCAGACUCAAUUCACAUGGCAGCCCAAGACUCGCUCAAAAAUUUACCAGGGCACCACCACAGCAUAUAAUAUCCAGCAGUAGCCUCAGUGACUCACACUACUUUGCCAUGGUUAACCUUGAAAUCUUCCAUCCACAACACCUACCCUGGUGGCUCGGUCUUGAGUCAAAAUUGAGCAACACCCCCAUGGCUUGACGCCCAAGUAGCUAGUGUCACUCACUGCUAAUUUUAUCCCUCUUCCAUUGCACCACUUGAGCUCUGAGUCAAGGUGGUUUGCAAUCAAUGGAUAUCCUCGUCUCUGCAAUCGUAGGUGACUUCAUCAGCAGGUCUGCAUCGUUCAUGAUCAGCAAAUACUUCCAGCAGCAGCCUGACCUCAACAAGAUUCAACAGAGGCUACAGAGAGUCCUACUGAGAAUCGACAUCAUCGCCGAGGAGGCCGAAGCGCGGGACAUCACCAACCAGGGGAUGCUCCGUCAGCUCAAGAUGUUGAGGCAAGGAAUGUACAGAGGCCGCUAUGUUCUUGAUGCCUUGAGAUUCCAAGCGGCCCUCGACGAGGAGGUAAGCCACUCAUCAUCUGCGCUCUGUAAAUAUAGUCCAGCCAAACGGCUCUGUUUCUCUCGCGCCGGCAGUGGCAGCAGCAACAGAGAAGCGCUGUUGUUUGGCACAAACAGCAACAUGAGGGAAGAGCUGCAACGGAUGGUUGAUACCCUUGAAGAGACCGUUUCUGGCAUGAAGGAGUUUAUUUUCUUCUUGGAGUCAUAUCCCCGGAUACACCGCCAACCUUAUGGCACAUAUUUGGUAUUGGACAAUUGCAUGUUUGGUCGGCAAACGGAACGGGAGCGGGUCCUGAAUUUCUUGCUUUGUCCCAGUGCUACUUCAGACUUGGCUGUACUUCCGAUCAUUGGUCCAAGAAGAGUAGGGAAGAGCACCCUUGUUGAGUACAUCUGUAGGGAUGAGAGUGUGCGUGAUGGCUUCUCCAUGAUCAUGUUCUUUCCAGAAGGCAGUCUCAAGGAUGAAGGAGUGGUCGACCUGAAAGGGAACAUUAUGAAUAGUCUAGUCAGACAUGAGAAUUUUGCUUCUCAAAACAGGUUGCUGAUUAUUGUUGAAAUAGCCGAGGGCAUUAGCGAGGAAACACUGAGAAGCCUGAAAUCUUCCGCAACCUUCAUCACACCUUGCGGUGGCUGCAAAAUCAUAAUCACCAGUCGCUCGGAUAGAGUAGUGAAUCUGGGAACAACAGAAGCACUUCGACUGGACUAUCUCUCUCAGGAAGCUUAUUGGCAUUUUUUCAAGUCGCUUGCAUUCGGAAGCAGAAGCCCUGAUGAACAGCCAAAACUGGCAUCGAUGGCCAUGGAGAUCGCUUUGGAACACAAACAGUGUUUCGCAAGCGCGCAUAUCAUUGCUGGGAUGCUGCGAGAUAACUUCAAUGCUCAAUUCUGGAGCACAAUUCUUGAUUGUGUGAGAGCAUUUAAACAGACACAUCUCCUUAUGUUUGGCCAGCACCCAUACCUUCGUAUGCGGGAAGAUGCACCGGUGUAUGGUUGGAGAUUGGCGAGCAGCAGCAAAUAUUUCUUGGUUUGCAACACUUGUCAGUUAGGUUCCAGUGAGGAAGUCCCGAAGAUCAGUGUGCAGGACAUCAUCUUAGGACAUGGUGGUACACUACCACGUGGGCAAUUUGAGGCCCUUGGAUGGAGGUCUCGCAUACCUCCCUACUACAACUACAUGGUAAGCUGUAAGAUGCAAGAACCACAAAUUACUGUGGGAAGGAAGAAGCGCGCGCAUCAGGAGGAAGAACAUUUGAUUUGAAUAACCAUGUUGUCUGUGGCUCACAUCAUAGGAAGUAUUAUUACGCUGCAUCUAGGAGUCCUGCCAAAUUAGUUAAUAACUUAAUAUAUUUCUUGUAGCGUUUGGAUGCUUGUGUUUGGGUCAAGGCAAUGUUCGCAUUGCCGGUUGAAUUAGAAUCCAAGACAAGUCGUAUUUAUAAAGUUGAGCACUUAUUAGUCUCUACGUAUCAUGUGGGUACUCCAUAAAACUAAGCCUUGUGAUAAUCCUUGGACUUGAAGAAAAGGGUAGAGAAAAAAUUGCCCCAAAUUUGCUCUGUUUCUGAUGUGUGAGUGAGGUUGAUUCUUGGGCGAAAGCCAACAAGUUUCAACUCCUCUGUCACACGCAUUUUCUGCGACAGAGUCUUUUCUUGCUGGGUGAAAAGAUCAGAAAGUUAAUCUGGAAUGGGAUGGGAGUAUUAGCGCUACCUGCAGCUCAGGGCGGUGGGAAGGUAAUGAUAAAGAUAAAACUAAGUUGUUGGUUUCUUGUAUAUCAUCCAAUGAACCGAGCUGCAUUUUGUAUCUUUUGACUCGGACAAAACAAUAUUUUGGGUAACAAAAUAUCACGAGAAAGAACAUUUGUAGACACCAGGCAUGUAGUAGUAGUACAUUGUGCUUUCAGAGUCAAGUUUAGAGUCAAAAACAAGUUGAAUUUUUAAAGUUGUCUAAAUAUUGGGCAAGUACUUCAAAUUUAUCUGAAUAUUGAACACAGGACUGAAAGAAUCCCCAUGGAUUGUUACUGAAAGAACUCCCAAUGGUUCAGCAAUGAGAACUGCAGGGAAUACUCAGAUUGGCUAUUGGAGAAGCAGUGUGGGGGUGUUGGUGGGCGGGGGCGGGAGCUGCAGUACCUGGAGCAAAGGGGCGGCGAUGUCGGCGGCCAGUCAGCGGCGGGAAUGCCGGGUCCGCCGAAGUGGGUUAUGCUGGCAUCGAGGAGGGCCGGCCGUGCAAACGCACAAGUGCUAGCUGAGGAGGUCAUGCGCCAUGGGUUGGAGGGCGUGCGAGCCGGCCGCGGGCCGCCGGCGCCGCGCGGGAUUUGUCGCCGGCGGUGAGCAAUAAAAUGAGUAGGUACCAGCCUGCCAGAGUCAGCAGGAAGUUGGACCUUUUCCCCUUCCUUUGGGCUGGGCUUUAGGUGGACCUUGACCUGAUCAUACCCCGGGCCGGGCUAAACAAUGCACGUCUGAUUCUAAAAAAAAAUGUACGUCUGAGAAUAUCAAGUUGAGCCAGGACCGGCCCAGCCCAAAUGUUAUUUCCUAAGGGAAAAUUUUGUUUUUGCCCCUCUAGAUUUUGCCAAGUUUUCUUAUGCCACUCUAUUUUGACAUUUCACUUUUGCCACUCUUAGUUUUUGACAAUUAUCACAAUUGUCAUUCCCGUGACAAAAUUUUCCCUUAAAAUAAAUCUAUUUAUCAUACGCAAUAUUCACCAGGGCUUGACAUGCCGCGAAUCCUCUUGAAAGAGAGGGGUGCCCUCGGGAACGCGGACACAGGUGGUGCAUGGCGAAUAAACUUCCAUUUAUGACCUAGUUUGGGCUUUUUCAUGCUUUGGACGCGAAAGGUUGAGGUGUCAUCAAGGUUGAUAUAAAAAAAACAUAUCAUAUAACCCAUGGAGGAUGACAUCAAGUGGUGAUCAUCAUCAAGGUUGCGGUGUGCAAAUUCAAGUGUAGCAUCACGAAGAGAUCGGACUUGAAGCUUGCCAUCCAUUCUCAUGAUAAUGGACAUGUGAAGAUGUGCCUAAGAGAGGCUCACCCAUACUGGAGUAUGUGGGAGCAAUCUAGUAGUCUUCAUCGAGUGUACGCUAUCAAUAAAGGUGGUCCAACUUGAGGAAGUCAAGAUCGUCAUCAUCUAGCUCAAGUGAACUAUGCGCAAGGGAAAGGUUUGCCCUUGAUAGGUUUUCUAUUUUACCGGUCUCAUGGUGCUAGUUGGGAGACCGGGUUAUAGGUUAGUUUCCUGUACUAUCAAGGGGGGCUCUCAAGUGAAUAGUUUGAUUGUAUCGUUCAUAGAGAGCUCAAACCAUUGCAUCCUUGGCAUCAUCUUUCUUGGUUCUUGUUUGGCUUUUCUCUAUGUGAGUUUUGGAGCUUGUGGUCAUCUUCAUGACAAGUUCAAGUUCAUCCAAAACGGAUUUCCUAUAUGCAUCAUCUAUUGUAUUUUCAAUGUUGGAGUUUUUGUCGGUUCUUCACUGGUGGAGGUUUCACACCUCUAUAUCAUUGGCAUAUUUCAAUCCAUGAUUUGACAGCUCUUACCGUUAGCUUUCUAUCAAGCUUGAGUUCAUCAAAAUCAGAGUUCACUUGCAGAAGUAUGAUAGUUUUGAUCUUACUUGUUUCAUCUGUUGUGCAUUGGUCUUUUGGCAGAGACCAAGCAGUAGUACCACUGGUGCCCACGGUAGUACAACUUCGGAUGUACUUCUGUUGGCUUGUACCGCGCUACUUCCGCUUGGCUGGAGUCUUCAGUUGCCCCUCGACUACUCGCGGUAGUACCGCUUGUCUUAUGGCGGUAAUACCGCUUAAGCGGUACUUAUGCUGGGUAGUACCGCGGCUACUUCCGCUUGAGUUGAGUCUUCUAUAUGCUCUCUGCCAAUUUAUGGUAGUAUUGCUAGCACUAUAUUGUAGUACCUCUUCGUGCGGUACUUCCGCUCUCGUGAUGUGUUGGCUAUGCUGAUUCUAACGAAACUACCAUUCUAGUACUUCAGUACUCGUUGGGUUGUGUUGACCGGGCUAAGCGGUAGUACUGCUUCCCCGAGCAGUAGUCCCGUUGGUGCACGACCUAUGUGCAUAAUGGUUGGAUUUGAGCCCCCUCUAUAAAAGGGGGUCUUCUUCCCCAUUGCCCCAGCGUUUAUUUGUAGGCUUCCUCCUCCAUUAUCGACCUCCGAAAGCUUUGUUUUCUCUAUAAUCCUCCCAUGAAUCUUGCAUCUUUUUGAGGGAAAGGAUAGAGAGGAUCUAGAUCUACAUUUUCGCCAAUCCAUAUCUCCUCUAAGUGAGGGGAACCUUGUGGAUCUGGAUCUUGGAGUUCUUUUGUGUUUUCCUUGUUUUUCCUCUCAUAUUCCUCCAUAGCUUCAUUGCAUUGGUGGGAUUUGAGAGUGCGGGACUUGAGCACUUCGUGUGUUCUUGCCAUUGUAUUAGUUGCAUCGGUACGUACGAGUUCUCCACGGUGAUACGUGGAAGUGAAAGUUUAGAAGCUUAUUACUCUUGGGUGUUUCGGCACCCUAGAGCUUGUGCCUCUUGGGUGCUUGGGCACCCUAGAUGGUUGGUUGUAUUGCGGAGCUCAAUCAUUGUGGUGUAAAGCUGCAGGCAAGCUUCAGGGUCUCCAAUUAAGUUGUGAAGAUUGCCCCAAGAAAAUUUAUCGUGAAUGAUGAGAGGAGUCCACUCAUCGUGAGAAUAACCCACCUAGCAUGGAAGAUACUGAGGGCCCCCAAUCGCCACAUGAGCGAUUUGGGGCUCUUGCAUGGAGGUCUCGCAUACCACCCUACUACAACUACACGAUAAGCUGUAAGAUGCAAGCACCACAACUUACAGUAGGAAGCAAGAAGCGGGUGCAUCAGGAGGAAAAACAUUUCAUUUGAGUAGCACAAUGUAUGUGACUCACCAUGUAUGGUACUGCCUUUGAAGGAAAUAUGCCCUAGAGGCAAUAAUAAAGUUAUUAUUUAUUUCCUUAUAUCAUGAUAAAUGUUUAUUAUUCAUGCUAGAAUUGUAUUAACCGGAAACAUAAUACAUGUGUGUGAAUACAUAGACAAAGAGAGUGUCACUAGUAUGCCUCUAAUUGACUAGCUCGUUAAUCGAAGAUGGUUAUGUUUCCUAACCAUGAACAAACGAGUUGUUAUUUGAUUAACGGGAUCACAUCAUUAGAAGAAUGAUGUGAUUGACAUGACCCAUUCCAUUAGCUUAGCACCCGAUCGUUUAGUAUGUUGCUAUUGCUUUCUUCAUGACUUAUACAUGUUCCUAUGACUAUGAGAUUAUGCAACUCCCAUUUACCGGAGGAACACUUUGUGUGCUACCAAACGUCACAACGUAACUGGGUGAUUAUAAAGGAGCUCUACAGGUGUCUCCAAAGGUGAAUGUUGGGUUGGCGUAUUUCGAGAUUAGGAUUUGUCACUCCGAUUGUCGGAGAGGUAUCUCUGGGCCCUCUCGGUAAUGCACAUCACAUAAGCCUUGCAAGCAUUACAACUAAUGAGUUAGUUGCAAGAUGAUGUAUUACAAAACGAGUAAAGAGACUUGCCAGUAACGAGAUUGAACUAGGUAUUGAGAUACCGACGAUCGAAUCUCGGGCAAGUAACAUACCAAUGACAAAGGGAACAACGUAUGUUGUUAUGCGGUCUGACCGAUAAAGAUCUUCGUAGAAUAUGUAGGAGCCAAUAUGAGCAUCCAGGUUCCGCUAUUGGUUAUUGACCGAAGACGUGUCUCGGUCAUGUCUACAUUGUUCUCGAACCCGUAGGGUCCGCACGCUUAAGGUUUCGAUGACAGUUAUAUGAUGAGUUUAUGCAUUUUGAUGUACCGAAGUUUGUUCGGAGUCCCGGAUGUGAUCACGGACAUGACGAGGAGUCUUGAAAUGGUCGAGACAUAAAGAUUGAUAUAGUGGAAGCCUAUAUUUGGAUAUCGGAAGUGUUCCGGGUGAAAUCGGGAUUUACCAGAGUACCAGGAGGUUACCAGAACCCCCCGGGAGGUAUAUUGGCCUUAGUGGGCUUUAGUGGAAGAGAGGAGAGGUGGCCAGGGCUGGGCCGCGUGCCCCUCCCCCCUAGUCCGAAUAGGACAAGGAGAGGGGGGCGGUGCCCCCCUUCCUUCUCUCUCUCCUCUUUCCCCCUUCCCGAAUCCGAUUCCAACUAGGAAAGGGGGGGAAUCCUACUCCCGAUGGGAAUAGGACUCCUCCUGGCGCGCCCUCCUCCUGGCCGGCCGCACCUCCCCUUGCUCCUUUAUAUACGGGGGCAGGGGGGACCCCUAGAGACACAAGUUGAUCCACGUGAUCAUAUUCUUAGCCGUGUGCGGUGCCCCCUUCCACCAUAAUCCUCGAUAAUAUUGUAGCGGUGCUUAGGCGAAGCCCUGCAACGGUAGAACAUCAAGAUCGUCACCACGCCGUCGUGCUGACGGAACUCUUCCCCGACACUUUGCUAGAUCGAAGUCCGGGGAUCGUCAUCGAGCUGAACGUGUGCUAGAACUCAGAGGUGCCGUAGUUUCGGUGCUUGAUCGGUCGAGCCGUGAAGACGUACGACUACAUCAACCGCGUUGUGCUAACGCUUCCGCUGUCGGUCUACAAGGGUACGUAGAUCACACUCUCCCCUCUCGUUGCUAUGCAUUACCAUGAUCUUGCGUGUGCGUAGGAAUUUUUUUGAAAUUACUACGUUCCCAACAGUGGCAUCCGAGCCUAGGUUUUAUGUGUUGAUGUUAUAUGCACGAGCAGAACACAAGUGAGUUGUGGGCGAUAUAAGUCAUAUUGCUUACGAGCAUGUCAUACUUUGGUUCAACGGUAUUGUUGGACGAAGCGGCCCGGACCGACAUUACGCGUAAGCUUACGCGAGACCGGUUCUCCCGACGUGCUUUGCACAAAGGUGGCUAGCGGGUGACAGUUUCUCCAACUUUAGUUGAACCAAGUGUGGCUACGCCCGGUCCUUGCGAAGGUUAAAACAACACCAACUUGACAAACUAUCGUUGUGGUUUUGAUGCGUAGGUAAGAUUGGUUCUUGCUUAAGCCCGUAGCAGCCACGUAAAACUUGCAACAACAAAGUAGAGGACGUCUAACUUGUUUUUGCAGGGCAUGUUGUGAUGUGAUAUGGUCAAGACAUGAUGCUAAAUUUUACUGUAUGAGAUGAUCAUGUUUUGUAACCAAGUUAUCGGCAACUGGCAGGAGCCAUAUGGUUGUCGCUUUAUUGUAUGCAAUGCAAUUGCGUUGUAAUGCUUUACUUUUCACUAAGCGGCAGCGAUAGUCAUGGAAGCAUAAGAUUGGCGAGACGACAACGAUGCUACGAUGGUGAUCAAGGUGUUGCGCCGGUGACGAUGGUGAUCACGACGGUGCUUCGAAGAUGGAGAUCACAAGCACAAGAUGAUGAUGGCCAUAUCAUAUCACUUAUAUUGAUUGCAUGUCAUGUUUAUCUUUUAUGCAUCUUAACUUGCUUUGAUUGACGGUAGCAUUUUAAGAUGAUCUCUCACUAAUUAUCAAGAAGUGUUCUCCCUGAGUAUGCACCAUUGCGAAAGUUCUUCGUGCUGAGACACCACAUGAUGAUCGGGUGUGAUAGGCUCUACGUUCAAAUACAACGGGUGCAAAACAAUUGCACACGCGGAAUACUCAGGUUAUACUUGACGAGCCAAGUAUAUACAGAUAUGGCCUCGGAACACGGAGACCGAAAGGUCGAGCGUGAAUCAUAUAGUAGAUAUGAUCAACAUAGUGAUGUUCACCAUUGAAACUACUCCAUCUCACGUGAUGAUCGGACAUGGUUUAGUUGAUUUGGAUCACGUGAUCACUUAGAAGAUUAGAGGGAUGUCUUUCUAAGUGGGAGUUCUUAAGUAAUAUGAUUAAUUGAACUUUAAAUUUAUCAUGAACUUAGUCCUGGUAGUAUUUUGCAAAUUAUGUUGUAGAUCAAUAGCUCGCGUUGUUGCUUCCCUGUGUUUAUUUUGAUAUGUUCCUAGAGAAAAUUGUGUUGAAAGAUGUUAGUAGCAAUGAUGCGGAUUGGAUCCGUGAUCUGAGGUUUAUCCUCAUUGCUGCACAGAAGAAUUAUGUCCUUGAUGCACCGCUAGGUGACAGACCUAUUGCAGGAGCAGAUGCAAACGUUAUGAACGUUUGGCUAGCUCAAUAUGAUGACUACUUGAUAGUUUAGUGCACCAUGCUUAACAGCUUAGAAUCGGGACUUCAAAGACGUUUUGAAUGUCAUGGACCAUAUGAGAUGUUCCAGGAGUUGAAGUUAAUAUUUCAAGCAAAUACCCGAGUUGAGAGAUAUGAAGUCUCCAACAAGUUCUAUAGCUAAAAGAUGGAGGAGAAUCGCUCAACUAGUGAGCAUGUGCUCAGAUUGUUUGGGUACUACAAUCGCUUGAAUCAAGUGGGAGUUAAUCUUCCAAAUAAGAUAGUGAUUGACAGAAUUCUCUAGUCACCAUCACCAAGUUAGUAGAACUUCGUGAUGAACUAUAGUAUGCAAGGGAUGACGAAAACGACUCCCAAGCUUUUCAUGAUGAUGAAAUCGAUGAAGGUAGAAAUCAAGAAAGAGCAUCAAGUGUUGAUGGUUGACAAGAUCACUAGUUUCAAGAAAAGGGCAAAGGAAAAAAAGGGGAACUUCAAGAAGAAUAGCAAGCAAGUUGCUGCUCAAGUGAAGAAGCCCAAGUCUGGUCCUAAUCCUGAGACUAAGUGCUUCUACUGCAAAGGGAUUGGUGACUGGAAGUGGAACUACCCCAAGUGAUUGGCAGAUAAGAAGGAUGGCAAAGUGAACAUAAGUAUAUUUGAUAUACAUGUUAUUGAUGUGUACUUUACUAGUGUUUAUAACAACCCCUCAGUAUUUGAUACUAGUUCAGUUGCUGAUUAGUAACUCGAAAUGGGAGUUGCAGAAUAAACAGAGACUAGUUAAGGGUGAAGUGAUGAUGUGUGUUGGAAUUGGUUCCAAGAUUGAUAUGAUCAUCAUCGCACACUCCCUAUACUUUCGGGAUUAGUGUUGAAACUAAAUAAGUGUUAUUUGUUGUUUGCGUUGAGCAUAAAUAUGAUUGGAUCAUGUUUAUUGCAAUAUGGUUAUUCAUGUAAGUUAGAGAAUAAUUGUUGUUCUGUUUACAUGAAUAAAACCUUCUAUGGUUACACACCCAAUGAAAAUGGUUCAUUGGAUCUCGAUCGUAGUGAUACACAUAUUCAUAAUAUUGAAGCCAAAAGAUGCAAAGUUAAUAAUGAUAGUGCAACUUAUUUGUGGCACUGCCGUUUAGGUCAUAUUGGUGUAAAGCGCAUGAAGAAACUCCAUGCUGAUGGGAUUUUGGAAUCACUUGAUUAUGAAUUAGUUGACGCUUGCGAACCAUGCCUCAUGGGCAAGAUGACUAAGACUCCGUUCUCCGGAACAAUGGAGCGAGCAACAAACUUGAUUGGAAAUAAUACAUACUGAUGUAUGCAGUCCAAUGAGUGUUGAGGCUCGCUGCGGGUAUCGUUAUUUUCUGACCUUCACAGAUGAUUUGAGCAGAUAUGAGUAUAUCUACUUGAUGAAACAUAAGUCUGUAACAUUUGAAAAGUUCAAAGAAUUUCAGAGUGAAGUGGAAAAUCAUCGUGACAAAAAAUAUAUGGUUUCUACGAUCUGAUCGCGGAGACAAAUAUUUGAGUUACGAGUUUGGUCUCCAGUUAAAACAAUAUGAAAUAGUUUCACUACUCACGCCACCUGGAACACCACAGUGUAAUGGUGUGUCCGAACGUCAUAACCGUACUUUAUUAGAUAUAGUGCGAUCUAUGAUGUCUCUUACCGAUCUACCACUGUCGUUUUGGGGUUAUGCAUUAGAGACAGCUACAUUCACAUUAAAAAGGGCACCAUCUAAAUCCAUUGAGACGGCACCGUAUGAACUGUGGUUUGGCGAGAAACCUAAGCUGUCGUUUCUUAAAGUUUGGGACUGCAAUGCUUAUGUGAAAAAGUUUCAACAUGAUAAGCUCAAACCCAAAUCGGAGAAGUAUGUCUUCAUAGGAUACCCAAAGGAGACUGUUGGGUACACCUUCUAUCACAGAUCCGAAGGCAAGACAUUCGUUGCUAAGAAUGGAUCCUGUCUAGAGAAGGAGUUUCUCUCGAAAGAAGUGAGUGGGAGGAAAGUAGAAAACUUGAUAAGGUAAUUGUACCUUCUCCCUUAUUGGAAUGUAGUUCAUCACAGAAAUCUGUUCUUGUGACUACUACACCAAUUAGUGAGGAAGCUAAUGAUGAUGAUCAUGUAACUUCAGAUCAAGUUACUACCGAAUCUCGUAGGUAAACCAGAGUGAGAUCCGCACUAGAGUGGUACGGUAAUCCUGUUCUGGAAGUCAUGUUACUAGACCAUGACGAACUUGCGAACUAUGAGGAAGCGAUGAUGAGCCCAGAUUCCGCGAAAUGGUUUGAGGCCAUGAAAUCUGAGAUAUGAUCCAUGUAUGAGAACAAAGUAUGGACUUUGAUGGAUUUGCCCGAUGAUCAGCAAGCCAUAGAAAAUAAAUGGAUCUUCAAGAGGAAGACGGACGCUGAUAGUAGUGUUACUAUCUACAAAGCUAGACUUGUCGAAAAAGGUUUUUGACAAAGUUCAAGGUGUUGACUACGAUGAAAUUUUCUCACUCGUAGCGAUGCUUAAGUCUGUCCAAAUCAUGUUAGCAAUUGCCGCAUUUUUAUGAAAUCUGGCAAAUGGAUAAACAAAACUACAUUCCUUAAUGGAUUUAAAGAAGAGUUGUAUAUGAUGCAACCAGAAGGUUUUGUCAAUCCUAAAGGUGCUAACAAAAUAUGCAAGCUCCAGCGAUCCAUCUAUGGACUGGUGCAAGCAUCUCGGAGUUGGAAUAUACGCUUUGAUAAGUUGAUCAAAGCAUAUAGUUUUAUACAGACUUGCGGUGAAGCCUGUAUUUACAAGAAAGUGAGUGGGAGCACUACAUCAUUUCUGAUAAGUAUAUGUGUAUGACAUAUUGUUGAUCGGAAAUAAUGUAGAAUUAUUCUGCAAAGCAUAAAGGAGUCUUUGAAAGGAUUUUGUCAAAGAAAACCUCGGUGAAGCUGCUUACAUAUUGAGCAUCAAGAUUUAUAGAGAUAGAUCAAGACGCUUGGUAAGUUUUUUUUUCAAUGAGUACAUACCUUGACAAGAUUUUGAAGUAGUUCAAAAUGGAACAGUCAAAGAAGGAGUUCUUGCCUAUGUUACAAAGGUGUGAAAUUGAGUAAGACUCAAAGCCCGACCACGGCAAAAGAUAGAAAGAGAAUGCAAGUCAUUCCCUAUGCCUCAGCCAUAGGUUCUAUAAAGUAUGCCAUGCUGUGUACCAGAUCUAUUGUAUACCCUACACUGUGUUAAGCAAGGGAGUACAGUAGUGAUCUAGGAGUAGAUCACUUGACAACGGUCAAAAAUUAUCCUUAGUGGAAUAAGGAUAUGUUUCUUGAUUAUGGAGGUGACAAAAGGUACAUCAUAAAAGGGUUACGUCGAUACAAGUUUUGGCACUAAUCUGGAUGACUCUUAGUCUUCAUCUGGAUACAUAUUGAAAGUGGGAGCAAUUAGCUAAAGUAGCUCCGUGCAAAGCAUUGUAGACAUAGAAAAUUGCAAAAUACUUACGGAUCUGAAUAUGGCAGACCUGUUGACUAAACUUCUCUCACAGGCAAAACAUGAUCACACCUUAGUACUCUUUGGGUGUUAAUCACAUAGCAAUGUGAACUAGAUUACUAACUCUAGUAAACCCUUUGGGUAUAGGUCACAUGACAAUGUGAACUAUGGGUGUUAACCACAUGGUGAUGUGAACUAUUAGUGUUGAAUCACAUGGCGAUGUGAACUAGAUUAUUGACUCUAGUGCAAGUGGGAGACUGAAGGAAAUAUGCCCUAGAGGCAAUAAUAAAGUUAUUAUUCAUUUCCUUAUAUCAUGAUAAAUGUUUAUUAUUCAUGCUAGAAUUGUAUUAACCGGAAACAUAAUACAUGUGUGUGAAUACAUAGACAAACAGAGUGUCACUAGUAUGCCUCUACUUGACUAGAUCGUUAAUCGAAGAUGGUUAUGUUUCCUAACCAUGAACAAAAGAGUUGUUAUUUGAUUAACGGGAUCACAUCAUUAGAAGAAUGAUGUGAUUGACAUGACCCAUUCCAUUAGCUUAGCACCCGAUCGUUUAGUAUGUUGCUAUUGCUUUCUUCAUGACUUAUACAUGUUCCUAUGACUAUGAGAUUAUGCAACUCCCAUUUACCGGAGGAACACUUUGUGUGCUACCAAACGUCACAACAUAACUGGGUGAUUAUAAAGGAGCUCUACAGGUGUCUCCAAAGGUGAAUGUUGGGUUGGCGUAUUUCGAGAUUAGGAUUUGUCACUCCGAUUGUCGGAGAGGUAUCUCUGGGCUCUCUCGGUAAUGCACAUCACAUAAGCCUUGCAAGCAUUACAACUAAUGAGUUAGUUGCAAGAUGAUGUAUUACGAAACGAGUAAAGAGACUUGCCGGUAACGAGAUUGAAAUAGGUAUUGAGAUACCGACGAUCGAAUCUCGGGCAAGUAACAUAUCGAUGACAAAGGGAACAACGUAUGUUGUUAUGCGGUCUGACCGAUAAAGAUCUUCGUAGAAUAUGUAGGAGCCAAUAUGAGCAUCCAGGUUCCGCUAUUGGUUAUUGACCGAAGACGUGUCUCGAUCAUGUCUACAUUGUUCUCGAACCCGUAGGGUCCGCACGCUUAAGGUUUCGAUGACAGUUAUAUGAUGAGUUUAUGCAUUUUGAUGUACCGAAGUUUGUUCGGAGUCCCGGAUGUGAUCACGGACAUGACGAGGAGUCUCGAAAUGGUCGAGAUAUAAAUAUUGAUAUAUUGGAAGCCUAUAUUUGGAUAUCGGAAGUAUUCCGGGUGAAAUCGGGAUUUGACCGGAGUACCGGGAGGUUACCGGAACCCCCCGGGAGGUAUAUGAGCCUUAGUGGGCCUUAGUGGAAGAGAGGAGAGGUGGCCAGGGCUGGGCCGCGCGCCCCUCCCCCCUAGUCCGAAUAGGACAAGUGGAGGAGGGCGACACCCCCCUUCCUUCUCUCUCUCCUCUUUCCCCCUUCCCGAAUCCUAUUCCAACUAGGAAAGGGGGGGGGGGAAUCCUACUCCCGGUGGGAGUAGGACUCCUCCUGGCGCGCCCUCCUCCUGGCCGGCCGCACCUCCCCUUGCUCCUUUAUAUACGGGGGCAGGGGGCACCCCUAGAGACAAAAGUUGAUCCACGUGAUCAUAUUCUUAGCCGUGUGCGGUGCCCCCUUCCACCAUAAUCCUCGAUAAUAUUGUAGCGGUGCUUAGGCGAAGCCCUGCGACGGUAGAACAUCAAGAUCGUCACCAGGCCGUCGUGCUGACGGAACUCUUCCCCGACACUUUGCUAGAUCAGAGUCCGGGGAUCGUCAUCGAGCUGAACGUGUGCUAGAACUCAGAGGUGUCGUAGUUUCGGUGCUUGAUCGGUCGGGCCGUGAAGACGUACGACUACAUCAACCGCGUUGUGCUAACGAUUCCGCUAUCGGUCUACAAGGGUACGUAGAUCACACUCUCCCCUCUUGUUGCUAUGCAUCACCAUGAUCUUGCGUGUGCGUAGGAAAUUUUUUGAAAUUACUACGUUCCCAACAGCCUUGUCAUGCGAAUUAGAAAAUAUUAUUACACUGUACUAUUUUAGGACUCUUGCCAAAUUAGUUAAUAACUUAAUAUUUCUGGUAGUGUUUGGAUGCUUGUGUUUGGGUAUGUACUUUCAGAGUCAAGGCAAUGUUUGAAUGUAGGUUGAAGAAGAAUCCAAGACAAGUUGCAUUCAUAAAGUUGAGCAUUCAGUCUAUAUGUAUCGUGUGGGUACAACAUAAACCUAAGUCUUGUAAUAAUCCUUGGACUUGAAUAAAAGGGUAGAGAAAAAAUUGCCCCAAAUUUGCUCUGUUUCUGAUGUGUGAGUGAGGUUGAUUCUUGGGUGAAAGCCAACAAGUUUCAAUUCCUCUAUCACACGCAUUUUCUGCGACAAAUUCUUUUCUUGCUGGGUUUAAACUUUAAAGAUCAGAAAGUUAAUGUGGAAUGGGAGUAGUCGCACUAUCUGGAGCUCAGGGCAGUGGGAAGGUAAUGAUAAUGAUAAAACUAAGAGCCUGUUUGGGACUGCUCUGCUCCUUAAAAUUCAGCUUCGCUUCAGGAAACACAAGCCAAACGGGGUAGCUCCACGAUAUGCCGCUCCACAAAAAAACUAGAAUCUGAGGCGCAACUCCCAAUUUCUUAUGAAGCUCUUCAGGGGGUGCUCCAAAAAACUAUAGAAGCUGGAGUUGGGUGGAAAUUACCCACCACUGCCACCAGUAAGUGGAUACCCCUUCGUUUCUCCCCCCUCAACCAAUCAAAUAGAUCCUUUCCACCAGAUUUCUCAUUCUUGAAGCUGAAGCUAGAUGGAAGCCAAACAUUCUCUUUGGUAGUGCUACAACUUCUGGAUGAAUCUGCUCCAAAAUGAAUUUAGUGGAGCGAAACUGAUUUUGGUGGAGCAGAAUAGUCCCAAAAUGCCCUAAGUUGUUGGUUUCUUGUAUAUCAUCCCAUGAACUGAGCUGCAUUUUCUAUCUUUUGACUCGAACACAAAAAAAUUGGAUUACAGAAUAUCAUGAGAGAGAACAUUUUUUGAACUAUUGAGAGAGAACAUUUGAAUUGAGCAACACCCUCUGUGUGACUCACAUCAUGUAUGCUACUGCCUUCUCUUAUGAAUUACGAAAUAUUAUUAAACAGUCCUUAGGAGUCUUGCCAAGUUAACAUAUUUGUCUGUUUUCGUGCAGGCACUAGGCAUGUACUCCCUCCGUAAACAAAUAUAAGAGCGUUUAAACGCUCUAGUAUUUAUAAAGUUGCCAGGUUAACAUAUUUGUUUGCUUUAGGAGUCAAGGUUUAGACUCCAAAACAAGUUGUAUUUAUAAAGUUGUCUGCAAAUUUGUCUGAAUAUUAAACACAACACUGAAAGAAUCCACAUGAAUUUUUACUUAAAGAAUCCCUAUGCACUGUUGCUGUUGAAUGUGUGUGGGGAUUUGGGGUGGUGGGAGGGGGAGCUGCAAUACCUAGAGCGAAGGGGCGGCGAUGUCAGUGGCCAGUCGGCGGUGUGAAUGCCGGGCCUGCCGAAGGGGUCUAUGCUGGCAGGGAGUAGGGCCGAGAACGCAAGUGCUAGAUGAUGGUAGGGGGAGGUCGUGCGCCAUGGGUUGGAGGGCAUGCGAGCCGGCUGCCGGCGCCACGCGGGAUUUGUCGCCAGCGGUGACCAAUGAAAUGAGUAGGUAGGUGCUACCUCUUGAGCACUGCGUUGGUUUUCCCUUGAAUAGAAAAGGGUGAUGCAGCAAAGUAGCGUAAGUAUUUUGCUCAGUUUUUGAGAACCAAGGUAUCAAUCCAGUAGGAGGCCACGCACGAGUCCCUCGCGCCUACACAAACAAAUAAAUCUUCGCAACCAACGCGAUAAGGGGUUGUCAAUCCCUACAUGGUCACUUACGAGAGUGAGAUCUGAUAGAUAUGAUAAGAUAAUAUUUUUGGUAUUUUUUAUGAUAAAGAUGCAAAGUAAAAUAAAAGGCAAUAAAAAUAACUAAGUGUUGGAAGAUUAACAUGAUGGAAAAUAGAGCCGGGGGCCAUAGGUUUCACUAGUGGCUUCUCUCAAGAGCAUAAGUAUUUACGGUGGGUGAACAAAUUACGGUUGAGCAAUUGACAGAAUUGAGCAUAGUUAUGAAAAUAUCUAGGUAUGAUCAUGUAUAUAGGCAUCAUGUCCGAGACAAGUAGACCGACUCCUGCCUGCAUCUACCACUAUUACUCCACACAUUGACAGCUAUCCAGCAUGCAUCUAGAUUAUUAAGUUCAUAAGAACAGAGAAACGCUUUAAGCAAGAUGACAUGAUGUAGAGGGAUAAACUCAUGGAAUAUGAUAUAAACACCAUCUUGUUAUCCUCGAUGGCAACAAUACAAUAUGUGCCUUGCUGCCCCUGCUGUCACUGGGAAAGGACACCGCAAGACUGAACCCAAAGCUAAGCACUUCUCCCAUUGCAAGAAAGAUCAAUCUAGCAGGCCAAACCAAACUGAUAAUUCGAAGAGACUUGCAAAGAUAACCAAUCAUACAUAAAAGAAUUCAGAGAAGAUUCAAAUAUUGUUCAUAGAUAAACUUGAUCACAAACCCACAAUUCAUCAGUCUCAACAAACACACCGCAAAAGAAGAUCACAUCGAAUAGAUCUCCACGAGAGAGGGGGAGAACAUUGUAUUGAGAUCCAAAAAGAGAGAAGAAGCCAUCUAGCUAAUAACUAUGGACCUGAAGGUCUGAAGUAAACUACUUAGACAUCAUCGGAGAGGCUAUGGUGUUGAUGUAGAAGCCCUCCGUGAUCGAUGCCCCCUCCGACGGAGCUCCGGAACAUGCCCCGAGAUGGGAUCUCACGGGUACAAAAGGUUGCGGCGGUGGAAUUAGGUUUUUGGAUCCGUAUCUGGUAGUUUGGGGGUAUGUAGGUAUAUAUAGGAGGAAGGAAUACGUCAGUGGAGCAACAGGGGCCCACGAGGGUGGAGGGCGCGCCCAGGGGGUAGGUGCGCCCCCUACCUCGUGGCCUCCUGGUUGAUGUCUUAAUGUAGGGUCCAAGUCCUCUGGAUCAUGUUCGUUCCGAAAAUCACGUUCCCGAAGGUUUCAUUCCGUUUGGACUCCAUUUGAUAUUCUUUUUCUGUGAAACUCUGAAGUAGGGAAAAAGCAGCAAUUCUGGGAUGGGCCUCCGGUUAAUAGGUUUGUCCCAAAAAUAAUAUAAAAGUGUAUAAUAAAGCCCAAUAAUGUCCAAAGCAGAAUAUAAUAUAGCAUGGAACAAUAAAAAACUAUAGAUACGUUGGAGACGUAUCAAGCAUCCCCAAGCUUAAUUCUUGCUCGUCCUCGAGUAGGUAAAUGAUAAAAACAGAAUUUUUGAUGUGGAAUGCUACUUGGCAUAAUUUCAAUGUAAUUCUUCUUAAUUGUGGUAUGAAUAUUCAGAUCCGAAAGAUUCAAGAUAAAAGUUCAAUAUUGACAUAAAAAUAAUAAUACUUCAAGCAUACUGACUAAGCAAUUAUGUCCGCUCAAAAUAACAUGGCCAAAGAAAGUUCAUCCCUACAAAAGUAUAUAGUUUAGUCAUGCUCCAUUUUCGUCACACAAGAAUGCUCUCAUCAUGCACAACCCCGAUGACAAGCCAAGCAAUUGUUUCAUACUUUAGUAAUCUCAAACUUUUUCAAUCUUCACGCAAUACAUGAGCGUGAGCCAUGGAUAUAGCACUAUGGUGGAAUAGAAUAUAAUGAUGGGGGUUAUGUGGAGAAGACAAAAAGGGAGAAAGUCUCACAUCAACAAGGCUAAUAAAUGAGCUAUGGAGAUGCCCAUCAAUUGAUGUUAAUCCAAGGAGUAGGGAUUGCCAUGCAACGGAUGCACUAGAGCUAUAAAUAUAUGAAAGCUCAACAAAAGAAACUAAGUGGGUGUGCAUCCAACUUGCUUGCUCACGAAGACCUAGGGCAUUUGAGGAAGCCCAUUAUUGGAAUAUACAAGCCAAGUUCUAUAAUGAAAAGUUCCCAUUAGUAUAUGAAAGUGACAAAACAAAAGACUCUCUAUCAUGAAGAUUAUGGUGCUACUUUGAAGCACAAGUCUGGUAAAAAGGAUAGUAACAUUGUGCCUUCUCUCUUUUUCUAUCAUUUUUUUGGGCCUUCUCUUUUUUUAUGGCCUUCCUCUUUUUUUCCUCACUUGGUACAAUGCUCUAGAAAAUGAUGAUCAUCACACUUCUAUUUGUUUACAACUCAAUGAUUACAACUCGAUACUAGAACAAAGUAUGACUCUAUAUGAAUGCCUCCGGCGGUGUACCGGGAUAUGCAAUGAACCAAGAGUGACAUGUAUGAAAGGAUUAUGAAUGGUGGCUUUGCCACAAAUACUAUGUCAACUACAUGAUCAUGCAAAGCAAUAUGACAAUGAUGAACAUGUCAUGAUAAAUGGAACGGUGGAAAGUUGCAUGGCAAUAUAUCUCGGAAUGGCUAUGGGAAUGCCAUAAUAGGUAGGUAUGGUGGCUGUUUUGAGGAAGAUCUAAGGAGGUUUAUGUGUGAAAGAGCAUAUCAUAUCACGGGUUUUGGAUGCACCGGCGAGGUUUGCACCAACUCUCAAUGUGAGAAAGGGCAAUGCACGGUACCAAAGAGGCUAGCAAUGAUGGAAAGGUGAGAGUGUGUGUAAUCCAUGGACUCAACAUUAGUCAUAAAGAACUCACAUACUUAUUGCAAAAAUCUACAAGUCAUCAAAAACCAAGCACUACGCGCAUGCUCCUAGGGGGAUAGAUUGGUAGGAAAAGACCAUCGCUCAUCCCCGACCGCCACUCAUAAGGAGGACAAUCAAAGAACACCUCAUGUUUCAAAUUUGUUACAUAACGUUUACCAUACGUGCAUGCUACGGGACUUGCAAACUUCAACACAAGUAUUUUUAAAAUUCACAACUACUCAACUAGCACAACUUUGAUAUCACUACCUCCAUGUCUCAAAGCAAUCGUCAAGCAUCAAACUUCUCUUAGUAUUCAACACACUCAUAAGAAAGUUUUUACUAGUCUUGAAUACCUAGUAUAUUAGGUUUAUUUAAGUAAAUUACCAUGAUAUUUAAGACUCUAAAAAUAAUCUAAGUGAAGCAUGAGAGAAUAAUAGUUUCUAUAAAACAAAACCACCACCGUGCUCUAAAAUAUAUAAGUUAAGUACUAGAGCAAAAACUAUAUAACUCAAAAGAUAUAAGUGAAGCACAUAGAUUAUUCUAAUAUUUUCCGAAUCAUGUGUGUCUCUCUCAAAAGGUGUGUACAGCAAGGAUGAUUAUGGUAAACUAAAAAGCAAAGACUCAAAGCAUACAAGACGCUCCAAGUAAAACACAUAUCAUGUGGUGAAUAAAAAUAUAGCUCCAAGUAAAGUUACCGAUGGAAGUAGACAAAAGAGGGGAUGCCAUCCGGAGCAUCCCCAAGAUUUGGCUUUUAGGUGUCCUUAGAUUAUCUUGGGGUGCCAUGGGAAUCCCCAAGCUUAGGCUCUUGACACUCCUUGUUCCAUAAUCCAUCAAAUCUUUAACCAAAACUUGAAAACUUCACAACACAAAACUUAAAGUAGAAAAUCUCAUGAGCUCCGUUAGCGAAAGAAAACAAAACACCACUUCAAGGUACUGUAAUGAACUCAUUAUUUAUUUAUAUUGAUGUUAAACCUACUGUAUUCCAACUUCUAUAUGGUUUAUAAACUAUUUUACUAGCCAUAGAUUCAUCAAAAUAAGCAAACAACACACGAAAAACAGAAUCUGUAAAAAACAGAACAGUCUGUAGUAAUCUGUAACUAACGCAAGAUCUGGAACCCCCAAAAUUCUAAAAUAAAUUUAUGGACUUGAGGAAUUUAUAUGUUAAUCAUUUUCAAAAAUAAUUAACUAAAUAGCACUUUCCAAAUAAAAAUGGCAGCAAUUCUCGUGAGUGCUAAAGUUUCUGUUUUUACAGCAAGAUUAAAAAGACUUUCCCCAAGUCUUCCCAACAGUUCUACUUGGAACAAACACUAAUUAAACACAAAAACACAACCAAAACAGAGUCUAGAUAAAUUAUUUAUUACUAAACAGGAGCAAAAAGCAAGGAAUAAAAAUAAAAUUGGGUUGCCUCCCAACAAGCGCUAUCGUUUAACGCCCCUAGCUAGGCAUAAAAAGCAAGGAUAGAUCUAAGUAUUGCCAUCUUUGGUAGGCAAUCCAUAAGUGGCUCUCAUAAUAGAUUCAUAAGGUAAUUUAAUUUUAUUUCUAGGGAAGUGUUCCAUGCCUUUCCUUAACGGAAAUUGGAAUCUAAUAUUCCCUUCCUUCAUAUCAAUAAUUGCACCAAUCGUUCUAAGGAAAGGUCUACCAAGAAUAAUAGGACAUGAAGGAUUGCAAUCUAUGUCAAGAACAAUAAAAUCUACAGGAACACAAUUCCUAUUUGCAACAAUAAGAACAUCAUUAAUUCUUCCCAUAGGUUUCUUAAUAGUGGAAUCUGCAAGGUGCAAGUUUAAAGAGAAAUCAUCAAAAUCACAGAAACCUAGCAAAUCACACAAAGUCUUUGGAAUCGUCGAAACACUAGCACCCAAAUCACACAAAGCAUAGCAUUCAUGAUCUUUAAUUUUAAUUUUAAUAGUAGGUUCCCACUCAUCAUAAAUUUUUCUAGGGAUAGAAACUUCAAACUCAAGUUUUUCUUCAUAAGAUUGCAUCAAAGCAUCAACGAUAUGUUUAGUAAAAGCUUUAUUUUGAUUAUAAGUGAUACGUCUCCAACGUAUCUAUAAUUUUUGAUUGCUUCAUGCUAUAUUAUCUAUUGUUGUGGACUAUAUUGGGCUUUAUUUUCCACUUUUAUAUUAUUUUUGGGACUAACCUAUUAACCGGAGGCCCAGCCCAGAAUUGCUAUUUUUUUGCCUAUUUCAGUGUCUCGAAGAAACGGAAUAUCAAACGGAGUCCAAACGGAAUGAAACCUUCGGGAACGUGAUUUUCUCACCGAGCGUGAUCCAGGAGACUUGGACCCUACGCCAAGGCAUCACAGAGGCGGUCACGAGGGUGGGGCCCCCCCCCCUAGGGCGCGCCCCCUGCCUCGUGGGCCCCUCGGAGCUCCACCGACAUACUCCUUCCUCCUAUAUAUACCUACGUACCCCCAAACGAUCAGAACAGGAGCCAAAAACCUAAUUCCACCACCGCAAUUUCUGUAUCCACGAGAUCCCAUCUUGGGGCCUGUUCCAGAGCUCCGCUGGAAGAGGGCCGUCAUCACGGAGGGCUUCUACAUCAUCAUAGCCUCUCCGAUGAAGUGUGAGUAGUUUACCUCAGACCUUCGGGUCCAUAGUUAGUAGCUAGAUGGCUUCUUCUCUCUUUUUGGAUCUCAAUACAAAGUUCUCCCCCUCUCUUGUGGAGAUCUAUUCGAUGUAAUCUUCUUUUUGCGGUGUGUUUGUUGAGACCGAUGAAUUGUGGGUUUAUGAUCAAGUCUAUCUAUGAAUAAUAUUUGAAUCUUCUCUGAAUUCUUUUAUGUAUGAUUGGUUAUCUUUGCAAGUCUCUUCGAAUUAUCCGUUUGGUUUGGCUAACUAGAUUGGUAGUUCUUGCCAUGGGAGAAGUGCGUAGCUUUGGGUUCGAUCUUGCGGUGUCCUUUCCCAGUGACAGAAGGGGCAGCAAGGCACGUAUUGCAUCGUUGCCGUCGAGGAUAACAAGAUGGGGUUUAUUUCAUAUUGCAUGAAUUUAUCUCUCUACAUCAUGUCAUCUUGCUUAAAGUGUUACUUUAUUUUUAACUUAAUACUCUAGAUGCUUGCUGGAUAGCAGUCGAUGAGUGGAGUAAUAGUAGUAGAUGCAGAAUCGUUUCGGUCUACUUGUCACGGACGUGAUGCCUAUAUACAUGAUCAUGCCUAGAUAUUCUCAUAACUAUGCUCAAUUCUGUCAAUUGCUCAACAGUAAUUUAUUCACCCACCGUAGAAUACUUAUGCUCUUGAGAGAAGCCACUAGUGAAACCUAUAGCCCCCGGGUCUAUUCUCAUCAUAUCAAUAUCCAUCACUUUAAUCUUGUUUUGCUUUUUUACUUUGCCUUUUACUUUUCACUUUGCAUCUCUAUACCAAAAAUACCAAAAAUAUUAUAUCUAUCAUAUCCCACUCUCGUAAGUGACCGUGAAGGGAUUGACAACCCCUAAUCGUGUUGGUUGCAAGUAGCUAUCGUUUUGUGCAGGUACGAGGGACUUGAGCGUGGCCUCCUACUGGAUUGAUACCUUGGUUCUCAAAAACUGAGGGAAAUACUUACGCUACUCUGCUGCAUCAUCCCUUCCUCUUCGAGGAAAACCAACGCAAGCUCAAGACGUAGCAAGAACGAUUUCUGGCGCCGUUGCCGGGGAGUCUACGCAAAAAGUCAACAUACCAAGUACCCAUCACAAUCCCUAUCUCUCGCAUUACAUUAUUUGCCAUUUGCCUCUCGUUUUCCUCUCCCCCACUUCACCCUUGCCGUUUUAUUCACCCUCUCUCUCUAUCCUCCCUCUCUAUUUGCCUCUUUUUCCCGUUUGCUCUUGUUUUCUCGUGUGCUAGUUUGCUUGUUUGUCGCGAUGGCUCAACCGAGAUUUGGUAUCUUCACCUUAAAAGGUUAGAGGAGAUCGAAACCAACGUUAGGAAGUUUAUGGUUUUGCAAUUUGAGCAUAAUAAUUUCUUUAGAAACGAGCUUAUGGAACAAAAAAGUUUUAUGGGUUAUAUGAAUAAAGAGCUUGAUGAUAUGUCUAAAGAAUUUGAUGGUAUAAGAUCCCAAAUUGCUCGUCUAGAAAAGAUGACUGCUGAAAUUUUGGAUAUGCAAGCCACCUUAGUCAAUAAGAUGGCCGCUAAAACGAAUUCCUAUGAAAAUCAAGAUGAAGAUCUAAAAGUUAUUGAUGUGUCUCCUAUUAAAUCUUUGUUUUGCAAUAUGAAUCUUGAUGAAACUGAAUAUGAUCUUCCUUUACCUAGAAGGCGUUCUAAAAAUUUGGAGUAUUUAGAUCUUUAUGAUGAAAUUGAUGAAAGUGGGAUUGAAAGAAAUAAAAAUCUAGAUGUUGCUAAACCCACUAUAUUGGAUUUCAAGGAAUUUAAUUAUGAAAGUUGCUCUUUAAUUGAUUGUAUUUCCUUGUUGCAAUCCGUGCUAAACUCUCCACAUGCUUAUAGUCAAAAGAAAGCCUUCACCGAACAUAUUGUUGAUGAUUUGAUGCAAUCUUAUGAAGAAAAACUUGAGUUGAAAGUUUCUAUCCCUAGAAAACUCUAUGAUGAGUGGGAACCAACUAUUAAAAUUAAAAUUAAAGAUCAUGAGUUUUAUGCUUUGUGUGAUUUGGGUGCUAGUGUCUCCACUAUUCCCAAGACUUUGUGUGAUUUGCUAGAUUUCCGUAAUUUUGAUGAUUGCUCUCUAAACUUGCAUCUUGCGGAUUCUACUAUUAAGAAACCUAUGGGGAGGAUUAAUGAUGUUCUUAUUGUUGCAAAUAGGAAUUAUGUGCCCGUAGAUUUCAUUGUUCUUGAUAUAUAUUGCAAUCCUUCUUGCCCUAUUAUUCUUGGUAGACCUUUCCUUAGAACAGUUGGUGCGAUUAUUGAUAUGAAGGAAGGGAAUAUUAGAUUUCAAUUUCCAUUAAAAAGGGCGUGGAACACUUUCCAAGAAAGAAAAUAAAAUUGCCAUAUGAAACUAUCAUAAGAGCCACUUAUGGAUUGCCUACCAAAGAUGGCAAUACCUAGAUCUAUUCUUGCUUGUUAUGCCUAGCUAGGGGCGUUAAACGAUAGCGCUUGUUGGGAGGCAACCCAAUUUUAUUUUUAUUCCUUGCUUUUUGCUCCUGUUUAGUAAUAAAUAAAUUAUUUAUCCUCUGUUUUGUUUGUGUUUUUUGUAUUUAAUUAGUGUUUGUGCCAAGUAGAACCGUUGGGAAGACUUGGGGAAAGUCUUGUUCAACUUGCUGUAAAAAACAGAAACUUUAGCGCUCACGAGAACUGCUGUCAUUUUUAUUUGGAAAGUGAUAUUUAGUUAAUUAUUUUUGAAGAUGAUUAAUAGAUAAAUUCCUCACGUCCAGCAAGUUAUUUUAGAAUUUUUGGGUUCCAGAUCUUGCGCUAGCUACAGAUUACUACAGACUGUUCUGUUUUUGACAGAUUCUGUUUUUCGUGUGUUGUUUGCUUAUUUUGAUGAAUCUAUGGCUAGCAAAAUAGUUUAUAAUCCAUAGAGAAGUUGGAAUACAGUAGGUAUAACACCAAUAUAAAUAAAUAAUGAGUUAAUUACAGUACCUUGAAGUGGUCUUUUGUUUUCUUUCGCUAACGGAGCUCACGAGUUUUCUACUUUAAGUUUUGUGUUGUGAAGUUUUCAAGUUUUGGGUGAAUUCUUUUGAUGGAUUAUGGAACAAGGAGUGGCAAGAGCCUAAGCUUGGGGAUGCCCAUUGCACCCCCAAGAUAAUCCAAGGAUACCAAAAAGUCAAAGCUUGGGGAUGCCCCGGAAGGCAUCCCCUCUUUCGUCCACUUCCAUCGGUAAUUUACUUGGAGCUAUAUUUUUAUUCACCAACAUGAUAUGUGUUUUGCUUGGAGUGUGUUGUAUUAUUUGUGUCUUUGUGUUCUAGUAUGCCACAAUCAUCAUUUCUGUACACACCUUUUGAUAGAGCCAUACAUGAAUUAAAAUUUGAUAGAAUACUCUAUGUGCUUCACUUAUAUUUUUUGAGCUAUGUAGUUUUGCUCUAUGUGCUUCACUUAUAUCUUUUGAGCGUAAUAAUUUUGCUCUAUGUGCUUCACUUAGAUCUUUUAUAGCGCGGUGGUGGAUUUGUUUUAAAGAAACUAUUGAUCUCUCAUGCUUCACUUAAAUUAUUUUGAGAGUCUCUUAAUAGCAUGGUAAUUUGCUUAAUAAUAAUAUGCUUGGUAUUCAAGAUUUGUGAAACUUUCUUUUGAGUGUGUUGAAUAAUAAGAAAAGAUUGAAGCAUGAUAAUUGUUUUGAGAUAUGGAGGUGAUAAUAUUAAAGUCAUGCUAGUUGAGUAGUUGUGAAUUUAAAGAAUACUUGUGUUAAAGUUUGUGAUACCUGUAGCAUGCACGUAUGGUGAACCGUUAUGUGAUGAAGUCGGAGCAUGAUUUAUUUAUUGAUUGUCUUCCUUAUGAGUGGUGGUCGGGGACGAGCGAUGGUCUUUUCCUACUAAUCUAUCCCCCUAGGAGCAUGCGCGUAAUACUUUGCUUUGAUAACUUCUAGAUUUUUGCAAUAAGUAUAUGAGUUCUUUAUGACUAAUGUUGAGUCCAUGGAUUAUACACACUCUCACCCUUCCACCUUUGCCAGCCUCUCUAAUACCGCGCACAUUUCGCCGAUAUUAUACACCCACCAUAUACCUCCCUCAAAACAGACACCAUACCUACCUAUUAUGGCAUUUCCAUAGCCAUUCCGAGAUAUAUCGCCAUGCAACUUUCCACCGUUCCGUUCAUGACACAUUCAUCAUUGUCAUAUUGCAUAUCCCGGUACACCGCCGGAGGCAUUCAUAUAGAGUCAUAUUUUGUUUUAAGUAUCGAGUUGUAAUUUUUGAGUUGUAAGAAAAAUAAAAGUGUGGUGAUCAUCAUUAUUAGAGCAUUGUCCCAAGUGAGGAAAGAAUGAUGGAGACUAUGAUUCCCCCAUAAGUCGGGAUGAGACUCCGGACGGAAAAAAAAGAGGCCAAAGAAGCCCAAAUAAAAAGAGGCCAUAAAAAAGGGAUAAAAGGCCCAAAUAAAAAAUAUAGAUAUAAAAAAAUGAGAGAAAAAGAGAGAAGGGACAAUGUUACUAUCCUCUUACCACACUUGUGCUUCAAAGUAGCACCAUGAUCUUCAUAGUAGAGAGUCUCUCAUGUUAUCACUUUCAUAUACUAGUGGGAAUUUUACAUUAUAGAACUUGGCUUGUAUAUUCCAAUGAUGGGCUUCCUCAAAUUUCCCUAGGUCUUCAUGAGCAAGCAAGUUGGAUGCACACCCACUUAGUUUCUUUUUGAGCUUUCAUAUACUUAUAGCUCUAGUGCAUCCGUUGCAUGGCAAUCCCUACUCACUCACAUUGAUAUCUAUUGAUGGGCAUCUCCAUAGCUCGUUGAUACGCCUAGUUGAUGUGAGACUAUCUUCCCCUUUUUGUCUUCUCCACAACCACCAUUCUAUUCCACCUAUAGUGCUAUAUCCAUGGCUCACGCUCAUGUAUUGCGUGAAGAUUGAAAAAGUUUUGAACAAGUUAGAGUAUGAAACAAUUGCUUGGCUUGUCAUCGGGGUUGUGCAUGAUUUAAAUACUUUGUGUGGUGAAGAUAGAGCAUAGCCAGACUAUAUGAUUUUGUAGGGAUAACUUUCUUUGGCCAUGAUAUUUUGAGAAGACAUAAUUGCUUUAUUAGUAUGCCUGAAGUAUUAUUAUUUUUAUGUCAAUAUAAACUUUUGUCUUGAAUCUUUUGAAUCUGAAUAUUCAUAUCACAAUUAAAAAGAUUUGCAUUGAAAUUAUGCCAAGUAGCACUCUGCAUCAUAAAUUCUCUUUUUAUCAUUUACCUACUCGAGGACGAGAAGGAAUUAAGCUUGGGGAUGCCUUAUACGUCUCCAAUGUAUCUAUAAUUUUUGAUUGCUCCAUGCUAUAUUAUCUACUGUUUUGGACUAUAUUGGGCUUUAUUUUCCACUUUUAUAUUAUUUUUGGGACUAACCUAUUAACCGGAGGCCCAGCCCAGAAUUGCUGUUUUUUUGCCUAUUUCAGUGUUUCGAAGAAACGGAAUGAAACCUUCGGGAACGUGAUUUUCUCACCGAACGUGAUCCAGGAGACUUGGACCCUACGCCAAGGCAUCAGAGAGGCGGUCACGAGGGUGGGGGCUCCCCCUACCUCAUGGGCCCCUCGGAUCUCCACCGACGUACUCCUUCCUCCUAUAUAUACCUACGUACCCCCAAACGAUCAUAACAGGAGCCAAAAACAUAAUUCCACAGCCGCAACUUUCUGUAUCCACGAGAUCCCAUCUUGGGGCCUGUUCCGGAGCUCCGCCGGAAGAGGUCCGUCAUCACGGAGGGCUUCUACAUCAUCAUAGCCUCUUCGAUGAAGUGUGAGUAGUUUACCUCAAACCUUCGGGUCCAUAGUUAGUAGCUAGAUGGCUUCUUCUCUCUUUUUGGAUCUCAAUACAAAGUUCUUCCCCUCUCUUGUGGAGAUCUAUUCGAUGUAAUCUUCUUUUUGCGGUGUGUUUGUUGAGACCGAUGAAUUGUGGGUUUAUGAUCAAGUCUAUCUAUGAAUAAUAUUUGAAUCUUCUCUGAAUUCUUUUAUGUAUGAUUGGUUAUCUUUGCAAGUCUCUUCGAAUUAUCCGUUUGGUUUGGCCAACUAGAUUGGUAGUUCUUGCCAUGGGAGAAGUGCUUAGCUUUGGGUUCGAUCUUGUGGUGUCCUUUCCCAGUAACAGAAGGGGCGGCAAGGCACGUAUUGCAUCGUUGCCAUCGAGGAUAACAAGAUGGGGUUUAUUUCAUAUUGCAUGAAUUUAUCUCUCUACAUCAUGUCAUCUUGCUUAAAGCGUUACUCUGUUUUUAACUUAAUACUCUAGAUGCAUGCUGGAUAGCGGUCGAUGAGUGGAGUAAUAGCAGUAGAUGCAGAAUCGUUUCAGUCUACUUGUCACGGACGUGAUGCCUAUAUACAUGAUCAUGCCUAGAUAUUCUCAUAACUAUGCUCAAUUCUGUCAUUGCUCAACAGUAAUUUAUUCACCCACCAUAGAAUACUUAUGCUCUUGAGAGAAGCCACUAGUGAAACCUAUGGCCCCCGGGUCUAUUCUCAUCAUAUCAAUCUCCAUCACUUUAAUCUUGUUUUGCUUUUUUACUUUGCCUUUUACUUUUCACUUUGCAUCUCUAUACCAAAAAUACCAAAAAUAUUAUAUCUAUCAGAUCUCACUCUCGUAAGUGACCGUGAAGGGAUUGACAACCCCUAAUCGCAUUGGUUGCGAGUAGCUAUCGUUUUGUGCAGGUACGAGGGACUUGAGCGUGGCCCCUACUGGAUUGAUACCUUGGUUCUCAAAAACUGAGGAAAAUACUUACGCUACUCUGCUGCAUCAUCCCUUCCUCUUCAGGGAAAACCAACGCAAGAUCAAGACGUAGCAAUAAGCAUGAGGAGUAUUUAGCACAGAUUGCAACAAGAAAAUACAAUCUAUCAAAGAGCAAUUAUCAUAAUUAAAUUCCUUGAAAUCCAAAAUAGUGGGUUCAUUAAUAUUUAAAGUUUUGAUCUCUUCAAUCCCACUUUUACCAAUUUUUGCAUUAAGAUCUAAAAACUCCGAAUUUUUUGAACGCCUUCUAGGUAAAGGAGGAUCAUAUUCAGUCCCAUCAUUAUCGAGAUUCAUAUUGCAAAACAAAGAUUUAAUAGGGGACACAUCAAUAACUUUUAUAUCUUCAUCUUUAUUUUCAUGGAAACUAGAAGAACACACUUUUAUAAAGCAAUCUCUCUUAGCACACAUCCUAGCGGUUCUUUCUUUGCACUCAUCAAUGGAAAUUCUCAUGGCUUUUAGAGACUCAUUGAUAUCAUGCUUAGGUGAAAUAGAUCUAAGUUUCAAAGAAUCAACAUCAAGAGAAAUUAUAUCAACGUUCCUAGCCAACUCAUCAAUCUUAAGCAAUUUUUCUUCAAUCAAAGCAUUGAAAUUCUUUUGCGAAGUAAUAAAUUAUUUAAUAUUAGAUUCAAAAUCAGAGGGCAUAUUAUUAUAAUUUCCAUAAGAAUUGUUGUAGGAAUUACCAUAAUUAUUAGAGGAAUUACUAGGAUACGGCCUAUGAUUAAAGUUUCCUCUAUACGCGUUGUUACCAAAAUUAUUCCUACCAAGAAAAUUCACAUCCAUAGAUUCAUUAUUAUUCUCAAUCAAAGUAGACAAAGGCAUAUCAUUAGGAUCAGAAGAAACACUUUUAUUAGCAAAUAAUUUCAUAAGUUCAUCCAUCUUUCCACUCAAAACCUUAAUUUCUUCUAUCGCAUGCACUUUCUUAUUAGUAGAUCUUUAAGUGUGCCAUUGAGAAUAAUUAACCAUAAUAUUAUGUAGGAGUUUAGUAGCUUCUCCUAAAGUGAUUUCGAUAAAAGUGCCUCCCACAGCCGAAUCUAAAAGAUUUCUAGAAGCAAAAUUCAGUCUGGCAUAAACAUUUUGUAUAAUCAUCCACAAAUUCAAAUCAUGCGUAGGGAAAUUACGUAUCAUUAAUUUCAUCCUCUCCCAAGCUUGUGCAACAUGUUCACGAUCAAGUUGCUUAAAAUUCAUAAUAUCGUUUCUAAGAGAGAUAAUCUUAGCGGUAGGAAAAUACUUAGAGAUAAAAUCAUCUUUGCACUUAUUCCAAGAAUCAAUACUAUUUUUAGGCAAAGACGAAAACUAAGCUUUAGCAUGAUCUCUAAGCGAAAAAGGAAAUAACUUCAAUUUAACAAUAUCAUUAUCCACAUCUUUCUUAUUUUGCAUAUCACACAAACCAACGAAGCUAUUUAGAUGGGUAGCGGCAUCUUCACUAGGAAGGCCGGCGAAUUGAUCUUUCAGGACAAGAUUCAAUAAAGCAGCAUUGAUUUCACAAGAUUCAGUAUCGGUAAGAGGAGCAAUCAGAGUGCUAAGGAAAUCAUUGUUGUUGGUAUUGGUGAAGUCACAAAUUUAGUAUUAUCUUGAGCCAUCGUGAUAAGCAAGCAAUCCAACACACGAGCAAACAAGAGACGGGCAAACAAGAGAGGGAGGAUGGAGAGAGAGGGCAAAUAAAACGGCAAGGGUGAAGUGGGGGAGAGGAAAACGAGAGGCAAAUGUCAAAUAAUGUAAUGCGGGAGAUAAGGGUUUGUGAUGGGUACUUGGUGUGUUGACUUUUGCGUAGACCUCCCCGGCAACGGCACCAGAAAUCCUUCUUGCUACCUCUUGAGCACUGCGUUGGUUUUCCCUUGAAGAGGAAAGGGUGAUGCAGCAAAGUAGCAUAAGUAUUUCCCUCAGUUUUUGAGAAACAAGGUAUCAAUCCAGUAGGAGGCCACGCACGAGUCCCUCACACCUACACAAACAAAUAAAUCCUCGCAACCAACGCGAUAAGGGGUUGUCAAUCCCUACACUGUCACUUACGAGAGUGAGAUCUGAUAGAUAUGAUAAGAUAAUAUUUUUGGUAUUUUUUAUUAUAAAUAUGCAAAGUAAAAUAAAAGGCAAUAAAAAUAACUAAGUGUUGGAAGAUUAAUAUGACGGAAAAUAGACCCGGGGGGCAUAGGUUUCACUAGUGGCUUCUCUCAAGCGCAUAAGUAUUUACGGUGGGUGAACAAAUUAUUGUUGAGCAAUUGAUAGAAGAGCAUAGUUAUGAGAAUAUCUAGGUAUGAUCAUGUAUAUAGGCAUCACGUCCGAGACAAGUAGACUGACUCAUGCCUGCAUCUACUACUAUUACUCCACACACCGACCGCUAUCCAGCAUGCAUCUAGAGUAUUAAGUUCAUAAGAACAGAGUAACGCUUUAAGCAAGAUGACAUGAUGUAGAGGGAUAAACUCAUGCAAUAUGAUAUAAACCCCAUCUUGUUAUCCUCGAUGGCAACAAUACAAUACGUGCCUUGCUGCCCCUACUGUCACUGGGAGAGGACACCGCAAGAUUGAACCCAAAGCUAAGCACUUCUCCCAUUGCAAGAAAGAUCAAUCUAGUAGGCCAAACCAAACUGAUAAUUCGAAGAGACUUGCAAAGAUAACCAAUCAUACAUAAAAUAAUUCAGAGAAGAUUCAAAUAUUGUUCAUAGAUAAACUUGAUCAUAAACCCACAAUUCAUCGGUCUCAACAAACACACCGCACAAGAAGAUUACAUCGAAUAGAUCUCCACAAGAGAGGGGGAGAACAUUGUAUUGAGAUCCAAAAAGAGAGAAGAAGUGAUGACCCACAAGUAUAGGGGAUCUAUCAUAGUCCUUUCGAUAAGUAAGAGUGUCGAACCCAACGAGGAGCAGAAGGAAAUGAUAAACGGUUUUCAGCAAGGUAUUCUCUGCAAGGACUGAAAUAAGUGGUAACAGAUAGUUUUGUGAUAAGAUAAUUUGUAACGAGCAACAAGUAACAAAAGUAAAUAAAGUGCAACAAGGUGGCCCAAUCCUUUUUGUAGCAAAGGACAAGCCUGGACAAACUCUUAUAUAAGGAAAAGCGCUCCCGAGGACACAUGGGAAUAUCGUCAAGCUAGUUUUCAUCACGUUCAUAUGAUUCGCGUUCGGUACUUUGAUAAUUCGACAUGUGGGUGGACCGGUGCUUGGGUGCUGUUCUUACUUGAGCAAGCAUCCCACUUAUGAUUAACCUCUAUUGAAAGCAUCCGCAACUACAACAAAAGCAUUAAGGUAAACCUAACCAUAGCAUGAAACAUAUGGAUCCAAAUCAGCCCCUUACGAAGCAACACAUAAACUAGGGUUUAAGCUUCUGUCACUCUAGCAACCCAUCAUCUACUUAUUACUUCCCAAUGCCUUCCUCUAGGCCCAAAUAAUGGUGAAGUGUUAUGUAGUCGACGUUCACAUAACACCACUAGAGGCUAGACAACAUACAUCUUAUCAAAAUAUCGAACGAAUACCAAAUUCACAUGACUACUAACAGCAAGACUUCUCCCUUGUCCUCAGGAACAAACGUGACUACUCACAAAGCAUAAACAUGUUCAUAAUCAGAGGGGUAUUAAUAUGCAUAUAGGAUCUGAACAUAUGAUCUUCCACCAAUUAAACCAACUAGCAUCAACUACAAGGAGUAAUUAACACUAUUAGCAGCCUACUAGCACCAAUCCCGGACUUGAAGACAAGAAUCGGAUACAAGAGAUGAACUAGGGUUUUGAGAUGAGAUGGUGCUGAUGAAGAUGUUGAUGGAGAUUGCCCUCUCCCGAUGAGAGGAGCGUUGGUGAUGACGAUGGCGAUGAUUUCCCCCUCCGGGAGGGAAGUUUCCUUGGCAGAACAGCUCUGUCGGAGCUCUAGAUUGGAACCGCCAAGGUUCCGCCUCGUGGCGGCGGAGUUUCGUCCCGAAAGGUUGCUUAUUAUUUUUUUCUCGACGGAAGACUUCAUAUAGGAGAAGAUGGUCAUCGGAGAACCACCAGGGGGCCCACGAGGUAGGGGGGCGCGCCCCCCACCCUCAUGAGCAGGGUGUGGGCCCCCUGGUCUUCAUAUUUGGCGAGGAUUUUUCAUUAUUUAUUAUAAGGUAUUCCUUGGAGUUUCAGGACUUUUGGAGUUGUGCAGAAUAGGUCUCUAAUAUUUGCUCCUUUUCCAACCUAGAAUUCCAGCUGUCGGCAUUCUCCCUCCUUAUGUAAACCUUGUAAAAUAAGAGAGAAUAGCCAUAAGUAUUGUGACAUAAUAUGAAAUAACAGCCCAUAAUGCAAUAAAUAUCGAUAUAAAAGCAUGAUGCAAAAUGGACGUAUCAACUCCCCCAAGCUUAGACCUCGCUUGUCCUUAAGCGAAAGCCGAUAACAAUAAAUAUGUCCCCAUGUUUAGAGGUAGAGGCGUCGAUAAAAAUAAAAUACGGACAUGAGGGCAUCAUGAUUAUUCUCAUAACAACAACAUAUAUAGAUAUUGUCAUAUGAUUACUUAUGUUCAAGUGAUGAUCUAUUCACAAUGCAAAAGUAUGAAUCAGAAACCUUAUUGAGAACCAACAAACUAUAACCUCAGUCAUUGAAGCAAUUGCAAUUUAUCAUAACAUCAGAAAGAGUCUAUGUCAGAGCUAAAAAGUUGUUGGGUAACGUAGUAAUUUCAAAAAAAUUCCUACGCACACGCAAGAUCAUGGUGAUGCAUAGCAACGAGGGGAGAGUGUGAUCUACGUACCCUUGGUAGAUCGACAACGGAAGCGUUUGGUUGAUGUAGUCGUACGUCUUCACGGCCCGACCGAUCAAGCACCGAAACUAUGGCACCUCCGAGUUUUAGCACACGUUCAGCUCGAUGACGAUCCCCGGACUCCGAUCCAGCAAAGUGUCGGGGAAGAGUUCCAUUAGCACGACGGCGUGGUGACGAUCUUGAUGUACUACUGCUGCAGGGCUUCGCCUAAGCACCGCUACAAUAUUAUCGAGGACUAUGGUGGCUGGGGGCGCCGCACACGGCUAAGAAUAAGAUCACCUGGAUCAACUUGUGUGUUUCUUGUGCCCCUGCCUCCGUAUAUAAAGGACUAAAGGGGGGUGCGGCCGGCCUAGGAGAGGCGCGCCAGGAGAGUCCUACUCCCUCUGGGAGUAGGAUCCCCCCCCCCAAUCCUAGUUGGAAUAGGAUUCGCGGAGGGGGGAAAAGAGAGAGAGGGGCCGGCCCCCUCUCCUUGUCCUAUUCGGACCAAGGGAGGGGAGGGGCGCGUGGCCCAUGUUGGGCUGCAUAUUCUCUUUUCCACUAAGGCCCACUAUGGCCCAUAUAGCUCCCGGGGGGUUCCGGUAACCUCCCGGUACUCCGGUAAAAUCCCGAUUUCACCCGGAACACUUCCAAUAUCCAAACAUAGGCUUCCAAUAUAUCAAUCUUUAUGUCUCGACCAUUUCGAGACUCCUCGUCAUGUCCGUGAUCACAUCCGAGACUCCGAACAAACUUCGUUACAUCAAAAUGCAUAAACUCAUAAUAUAACUAUCAUCGUAACCUUAAGCGUGCGGACCCUACGGGUUCGAGAACAAUGUAGACAUGACCGAGACAUGUCUCCGAUCAAUAACCAAUAGCGGGACCUGGAUGCCCAUAUUGGCUCCUACAUAUUCUACGAAGAUCUUUAUCGGUCAGACCGCAUAACAACAUACGUUGUUCCCUUUGUCAUCGGUAUGUUACUUGCCCGAGAUUCGAUCGUCGGUAUUCCAAUACCUAGUUCAAUCUCGUUACCGGCAAGUCUCUUUACUCGUUCUGUAAUACAUCAUCCCGCAACUAACUCAUUAGUUGCAAUGCUUGCAAGGCUUAAGUGAUGUGCAUUACCGAGAGGGCCCAGAGAUACCUCUCCGACAAUCGGAGUGACAAAUCCUAAUCUCGAAAUACGCCAACCCAACAUGUACCUUUGGAGACACCUGUAGAGCUCCUUUAUAAUCACCUAGUUACGUUGUGACGUUUGGUAGAACACAAAGUGUUCCUCCGGCAAACGGGAGUUGCAUAAUCUCAUAGUCAUAGGAACAUGUAUAAGUCAUGAAGAAAGCAAUAGCAACAUACUAAACAAUCGGGUGCUAAGCUAAUGGAAUGGGUCAUGUCAAUCAGAUCAUUCACUUAAUGAUGUGAUCCCGUUAAUCAAAUAACAACUCAUUGUUCAUGGUUAGGAAACAUAACCAUCUUUGAUUAACAAGCUAGUCAAGUAGAGGCAUACUAGUGACACUUUGUUUGUCUAUGUAUUCACACAUGUAUUAUGUUUCCGGUUAAUACAAUUCUAGCAUGAAUAAUAAACAUUUAUCAUGAUAUAAGGAAAUAAAUAAUAACUUUAUUAUUGCCUCUAGGGCAUAUUUCCUUCAGUCUCCCACUUGCACUAGAGUCAAUAAUCUACAUUACAUAGUAAUGAUUCUAACACCCAUGGAGCCUUGGUGCUGAUCAUGUUUUGCUCAUGGAAGAGGCUUAGUCAACGGGUCUGCAACAUUCAAAUCCGUAUGUAUCUUGCAAAUCUCUAUCUCUCCCACCUGGACUAGAUCCCGGAUGGAAUUGAAGCGUCUCUAGAUGUGCUUGGUUCUCUUGUGAAAUCUGGAUUCCUUUGCCAAGGCAAUUGCACCAGUAUUGUCACAAAAGAUUUUCAUUGGACCCGAUGCACUAGGUAUGACACCUAGAUCGGAUAUGAACUCCUUCAUCCAGACUCCUUCAUUUGCUGCUUCCGAAGCAGCUAUGUACUCCGCAUCACAUGUAGAUCCUGCUACAACGCUUUGUUUAGAACUGCACCAACUGACAGCUCCACCGUUUAAUGUAAACACGUAUCCGUUUGCGAUUUAGAAUCGUCCGGAUCAGUGUCAAAGCUUGCAUCAACGUAACCUUUUACGAUGAGCUCUUUGUCACCUCCAUAUACGAGAAACAUAUCCUUAGUCCUUUUCAGGUACUUCAGGAUGUUCUUGACCGCUGUCCAGUGAUCCACUCCUGGAUUACUUUGGUACCUCCCUGCUAGACUUAUAGCAAGGCACACAUUAGGUCUGGUACACAUCAUUGUAUACAUGAUAGAGCCUAUGGCUGAAGCAUAGGGAACAUCUUUCAUAUUCUCUCUAUCUUCUGCAGUGGUUGGGCAUUGAGUCUUACUCAACUUUACACCUUGUAACACAGGCAAGAACUCUUUCUUUGCUUGAUCCAUUUUGAACUUCUUCAAAACUUUGUCAAGGUAUGUGCUUUGUGAAAGUCCAAUUAAGCGUCUUGAUCUAUCACUAUAGAUUUUAAUGCCUAAUAUGUAAGCAGCUUCACCGAGGUCUUUCAUUGCAAAACUCUUAUUCAAGUAUCCCUUUAUGCUAUCCAGAAAUUCUACAUCAUUUCCAUUUAGUAAUAUGUCAUCCACAUAUAAUAUCAGAAAUGCUAUAGAGCUCCCACUCACUUUCUUGUAAAUAUAGGCUUCUCCAAAAGUCUAUAAAAAACCAAAUGCUUUGAUCACACUAUCAAAACGUUUAUUCCAACUCCGAGAGGCUUGCACCAGUCCAUAAAUGGAUCGCUGGAGCUUGCACACUUUGUUAGCUCCCUUUGGAUCGACAAAACCUUCUGGUUGCAUCAUAUAUAACUCUCCUUCCAGAAAUCCAUUCAGGAAUGCAGUUUUGACAUCCAUCUGCCAAAUUUCAUAAUCAUAAAAUGCGGCAAUUGCUAACAUGAUUCGUACAGACUUAAGCAUCGCUACGGGUUAGAAGGUCUCAUCGUAGUCAAUCCCUUGAACUUGCCGAAAACCUUUUUGCGACAAGUCGAGCUUUGUAGAUAGUAAUAUUACCGUCAGUGUCAGUCUUCUUCUUGAAGAUCCAUUUAUUCUCAAUUGCUUGCCGAUCAUCGGGCAAGUCAACCAAAGUCCAUACUUUGUUCUCAUACAUGGAUCCCAUCUCAGAUUUCAUGGCUUCAAGCCAUUUUGUGGAAUCUGGGCUCACCAUCGCUUCUCCAUAGUUCGUAGGUUCAUCAUGAUCUAGUAGCAUGACUUCCAGAACAGGAUUACCGUACCACUCUGGCGUGGAUCUCAGUCUGGUUGAUCUAUGAGGUUCAGUAGUAUCUUGUUCUGAAGUUUCAUGAUCAUUAUCAUUAGCUUCCUCACUAACUAGUGUAGGUGUCACUGAAACAGUUUUCUGUGAUGUACUACUUUGCAAUAAGGGAGCAGACACAGUUACCUUGUCAAGUUCUACUUUCCUCCCACUCACUUCUUUCGAGAGAAACUCCUUCUCCAAAAAGUUUCCGAAUUUAGCAACAAAAGUCUUGCCUUCGGAUUUGUGAUAGAAGGUGUAUCCAAUAGUCUCCUUUGGAUAUCCUAUGAAGACACAUUUCUCCGAUUUGGGUUCGAGCUUAUCAGGUUGAAGGUUUUUCACAUAAGCAUCGCAGCCCCAAACUUUCAGAAACGACAACUUUGGUUUCUUGCCAAACCAUAGUUCAUAAGGCGUCGUCUCAACGGAUUUUGAUGGUGCCCUAUUUAACGUGAAUGCGGCUGUCUCUAGAGCGUAUCCCCAAAACGAUAGCGGUAAAUCAGUAAGAGACAUCAUAGAUCGCACCAUAUCUAGUAAAGUACGAUUACGACGUUCGGACACACCAUUACGCUGUGGUGUUCUGGGUGGCAUGAGUUGCGAAACUAUUCCGCAUUGUUUCAAAUGUACACCAAACUCGUAAAUCAAAUAUUCUCCUCCAUGAUCAGAUCGUAGAAAUUUUAUUUUCUUGUUACGAUGAUUUUCAACUUCACUCUGAAAUUCUUUGAACGUUUCAAACGUUUCAGACUUAUGUUUCAUUAAGUAGAUAUACCCAUAUCUGCUUAAGUCAUCUGUGAAGGUGAGAAAAUAACGAUAUCCGCCACGAGCCUCAAUAUUCAUCGGGCCACAUACAUCUGUAUGUAUGAUUUCCAACAAAUCUGUUGCUCUCUCCAUAGUACCAGAGAACGGUGUUUUAGUCAUCUUGCCCAUGAGGCAUGGUUCGCAAGUACUAAGUGAUUCAUAAUCAAGUGGUUCCAAAAGUCCAUCAGUAUGGAGUUUCUUCAUGCUCUUUACACCGAUAUGACCUAAACGGCAGUGCCACAAAUAAGUUGCACUAUCAUUAUCAACUCUGCAUCUUUUGGCUUCAACACUAUGAAUAUGUGUGUUACUACUAUCGAGAUUUAAUAAAAAUAGACCACUCUUUAAGGGUGCAUGACCAUAAAAGAUAUUACUCAUAUAAAUAGAACAACCAUUAUUCUCAGAUUUAAAUGAAUAACCGUCUCGCAUCAAACAAGAUCCAGAUAUAAUGUUCAUGCUUAACGCUGGCACCAAAUAACAAUUAUUUAGGUCUAAUAUUAAUCCCGAAGGUAGAUGUAGAGGUAGCGUGCCGACUGCGAUCACAUCAACUUUGGAACCGUUUCCCACGCGCAUCGUCACCUCGUCCUUAGCCAAUCUUCGCUUAAUCCAUAGUCCCUGUUUCGAGCUGCAAAUAUUAGCAACAGAACCAGUAUCAAAUACCCAGGUGCUACUGCGAGCAUUAGUAAGGUACACAUCAAUAACAUGUAUAUCACAUAUACCUUUGUUCACCUUUCCAUCCUUCUUAUCCGCCAAAUACUUGGGGCAGUUCCGCUUCCAGUGACCAGUCUGCUUGCAGUAGAAGCACUCAGUUUCAGGCUUAGGUCCAGGUUUGGGUUUCUUCUCUUGAGUAGCAACUUGCUUGCUGUUCUUUUUGAAGUUUCCCUUCUUCUUCCCUUUGCCCUUUUUCUUGAAACUAGUGGUCUUCUUGACCAUCAACACUUGAUGCUCCUUCUUGAUUUCUACCUCCGCAGCUUUCAGCAUCGCGAAGAGCUCGGGAAUAGUCUUAUUCAUCCCUUGCAUAUUAUAGUUCAUCACGAAGCUCUUGUAGCUUGGUGGCAGUGAUUGGAGAAUUCUGUCAAUGACGCAAUCAUCUGGAAGAUUAACUCCCAAUUGAAUCAAGUGAUUAUUAUACCCAGACAUUUUGAGUAUAUGCUCACUAACAGAACUGUUCUCCUCCAUCUUACAACUAUAGAACUUAUUGGAGACUUCAUAUCUCUCAAUCCGGGCAUUUUCUUGAAAUAUUAACUUUAACUCCUAGAACAUCCCAUAUGCUCCAUGACGUUCAAAACGCCGUUGAAGUCCCGAUUCUAAGCCAUAAAGCAUGGCACACUGAACUAUUGAGUAGUCAUUAGCUUUGCUCUGCCAGACGUUCAUAACAUCCGGCGUUGCUCCAGCAGCAGGCCUGGCACCCAGCGGUGCUUCCAGGAUGUAAUUCUUCUAUGCAGCAAUGAGGAUAAUCCUCAAGUUACGGACCCAGUCCGUGUAAUUGCUACCAUCAUCUUUCAACUUUGCUUUCUCAAGGAACGCGUUAAAAUUCAAUGGAACAACAGCACGAGCCAUCUAUCUACAAUCAAGCAUAAACAAGCAAGAUACUUAUCAGGUACUAAGUUUCAUGAUAAAUUUAAGUUCAGUUAAUUUACUUAAAGAACUCCCACUUAGAUAGACAUCCCUCUAAUCCUCUAAGUGAUUACGUGAUCCAAAUCAACUAAACCAUGUCCGAUCAUCACGUGAGAUGGAGUAGUUUCAUUGGUGAACAUCACUAUGUUGAUCAUAUCUACUAUAUGAUUCACGCUCGACCUUUCGGUCUCCGUGUUCCGAGGCCAUAUCUGUAUAUGCUUGGCUCGUCAAGUAUAACCUGAGUAUUCCGCGUGUGCAACUGUUUUGCACCCGUUGUAUUUGAACGUAGAGCCUAUCACCCCCGAUCAUCACGUGGUGUCUCAGCACGAAGAACUUUCACAACGGUGCAUACUCAGGGAGAACACUUCUUGAUAAUUAGUGAGAGAUCAUCUUAUAAUGCUACCGUCAAUCAAAGCAAGAUAAGAUGCAUAAAAGAUAAACAUCACAUGCAAUCAAUAUAAGUGAUAUGAUAUGGCCAUCAUCAUCUUGUGCUUGUGAUCUCCAUCUCCGAAGCACUGUCGUGAUCACCAUCGUCACCGGCGUGACACCUUGAUCUCCAUCGUAGCAUCGUUGUCGUCUCGCCAAGCUUGUGCUUCCACGACUAUCGCUACCGCUUAGUGAUAAAGUAAAGCAUUACAUCGCGAUUGCAUUGCAUACAAUAAAGCGACAACCAUAUGGCUCCUGCCAGUUGCCGAUAACUCGGUUACAAAACAUGAUCAUCUCAUAAAACAAAAAUCAGCGUCAUGUCUUGACCAUAUCACAUCACAACAUGCCCUGCAAAAACAAGUUAGACGUCCUCUACUUUGUUGUUGCAAGUUUUACGUGGCUGCUACGGGCUUAAGCAAGAACUAAUCUUACCUACGCAUCAAAACCACAACGAUAGUUUGUCAAGUUGGUGCUGUUUUAACCUUCGCAAGGACCGGGCGUAGCCACACUUGGUUCAACUAAAGUUGGAGAAACUGUCACCCGCAAGCCACCUCUGUGCAAAGCACGUCGGGAGAACCGGUCUCGCGUAAGCGUACGCGUAAUGUCGGUCUGGGCCGCUUUGUCCAACAAUACCGCCGAACCAAAGUAUGACAUGCUGGUAAGCAGUAUGACUUAUAUCGCCCACAACUCAUUUGUGUUCUACUCAUGCAUAUAACAUCAACAAAUAAAACCUAGGCUCGGAUGCCACUGUUGGGUAACGUAGUAAUUUCAAAAAAAUUCCUACGCACACGCAAGAUCAUGGUGAUGCAUAGCAACGAGGGGAGAGUGUGAUCUACGUACCCUUGGUAGAUCGACAAUGGAAGCGUUUGGUUGAUGUAGUCGUACGUCUUCACGGCCCGACCGAUCAAGCACCGAAACUACGGCACCUCCGAGUUUUAGCACACGUUCAGCUCGAUGACGAUCCCCGGACUCCGAUCCAGCAAAGUGUCGGGGAAGAGUUCCGUCAGCACGACGGCGUGGUGAUGAUCUUGAUGUACUACUGCUGCAGGGCUUCGCCUAAGCACCGCUACAAUAUUAUCGAGGACUAUGGUGGCUGGGGGCGCCGCACACGGCUAAGAAUAAGAUCACCUGGAUCAACUUGUGUGUUUCUGGGGUGCCCUUGCCUCCGUAUAUAAAGGACUAAAGGGGGGGUGCGGCCGACCUAGGAGAGGCGCGCCAAGAGAGUCCUACUCCCUCUGGGAGUAGGAUUCCCCCCCCCCCAAUCCUAGUUAGAAUAGGAUUUGCGGAGGGGGGAAAAGAGAGAGAGGGGCCGGCCCCCUCUCCUUGUCCUAUUCGGACCAAGGGAGGGGAGGGGCGCGCGGCCCAUGUUGGGCUGCCUCUUCUCUUUUCCACUAAGGCCCACUAUGGCCCAUAUAGCUCCCGGGGGGUUCCGGUAACCUCCCGGUACUCCGGUAAAAUCCCGAUUUCACCCGGAACACUUCCGAUAUCCAAACAUAGGCUUCCAAUAUAUCAAUCUUUAUGUCUUGACCAUUUUGAGACUCCUCGUCAUGUCCGUGAUCACAUCCGGGACUCCGAACAAACUUAGGUACAUCAAAAUGCAUAAACUCAUAAUAUAACUGUCAUCGUAACCUUAAGCGUGCGGACCCUACGGGUUCGAGAACAAUGUAGACAUGACCGAGACAUGUCUCCGGUCAAUAACCAAUAGUGGGACCUGGAUGCCCAUAUUGGCUCCUACAUAUUCUAUGAAGAUCUUUAUCGGUCAGACCGCAUAACAACAUACGUUGUUCCCUUUGUCAUCGGUAUGUUACUUGCCCGAGAUUCGAUCGUCGGUAUUCCAAUACCUAGUUCAAUCUCGUUACCGGCAAGUCUCUUUACUCGUUCUGUAAUACAUCAUCCUGCAACUAACUCAUUAGUUGCAAUGCUUGCAAGGCUUAAGUGAUGUGCAUUACCGAGAGGGCCCAGAGAUACCUCUCCGACAAUCGGAGUGACAAAUCCUAAUCUCAAAAUACGCCAACCCAACAUGUACCUUUGGAGACACCUGUAGAGAUCCUUUAUAAUCACCCAGUUACGUUGUGACGUUUGGUAGCACACAAAGUGUUCCUCUGGCAAACGGGAGUUGUAUAAUCUCAUAGUCAUAGGAACAUGUAUAAGUCAUGAAGAAAGCAAUAGCAACAUACUAAACGAUCGGGUGCUAAGCUAAUGGAAUGGGUCAUGUCAAUCAGAUCACUCACUUAAUGAUGUGAUCCCGUUAAUCAAAUAACAACUCAUUGUUCAUGGUUAGGAAACAUGACCAUCUUUGAUUAACGAGCUAGUCAAGUAGAGGCAUACUAGUGACACUUUGUUUGUCUAUGUAUUCACACAUGUAUUAUGUUUCCGGUUAAUACAAUUCUAGCAUGAAUAAUAAACAUUUAUCAUGAUAUAAGGAAAUAAAUAAUAACUUUAUUAUUGCCUCUAGGGCAUAUUUCCUUCAAAAGCAAGUCCACAUACUCAACUAUCAUCUAGUCCUUCAUAAUUGCUAACACUCGCGCAAUACUUGUGGUUACGGAGUUUUAAUCGGACACAGAGAAAGAUAGGGGCUUAUAGUUUCGCACCAUAACCUUUUACCUCAAGGGUAGUGUCAACAAUAAUAACUCAUGCCCCCCUACAUCCAAUUUGAUAUAUCUAUCACGAUCUUUCCAACACACUGUGCUUGCCAAAGGAUAAAAUGUAAACAGGAAAGGUGAAGAUCACCAUGACUCUUGCAUAAGGUAGAAGAUAAUAAUAAAAGAUAGGCCCUUCGCAGAGGGAAGAAGAGGUUGCCAUGCGCUUUUAUGGUUGGAUGCACAAAAUCUUAAUGCGAAAGAGCGUCACUUUAUUUUGCCCCUUGUGAUAUGAACCUUUAUUAUGCACUCCGUCGCUUUUAUUACUUCCACAUCACAAGAUCAUAUAAAGCUUAUUUCUCCCACACCAAUCAAUCAUACAUAUUUAGAGAGCAAUUUUUAUUGCUUUGCACCGAUGACAACUUACUUGAAGGAUCUUAUUCAAUCCAUAGGUAGAUAUGGUGGGCUCUCAUGGCAAAACUGGUUUAAGGGUAUUUGGAAGCACAAGUAGUAUCUCUACUUGGUGCUGAGAAUUUGGCUAGCAUGAGGGGGAAAGGAAAGCUCAACAUGUUGGAUGAUCCAUGACAACAUACUUUAUCUCAGAUAUAAGAAAACAUAACCCAUUACGUUGUCUUCCUUGUCCAACAUCAACUCUUUAGCAUGUCAUAUUUUGAUGAGUGUUCCCAAUCAUAAAAAAUGUCAAUGAUAGUAUAUUUAUAUGUGAAACCUCUCUUCCCUUAUUACUUCCUAUUAAUUGCAAUGACGACCAAAGCUAUGUCUGCCAACUCCCAACAACUUUUAAUCAUCACACUCUUUCUAUGUGAAGUCAUUGCUAUCAAUAAGAUCAAUAUGAACUUUUGUUUCUUUUUAUUCUUUUUCUCUCUUUUAUUCACCCAAGAUCAUAGCAAGAAAAUCAAGCCCUUGACUCAACACUAAUCUCUAUUAUAUAGCUCACGAACUCGAUUACAUAGAAGGAUAAUAAAGCAAAACUCACAACUAGAUCAUGCCAUAAAAUUUAUUCUACUAGAUCAGAAUAUUACCAAAAGGAUCGAACUAAGAAAAACUCUAAUGAUAAAAGUGAUGGUGAUACGAUACCGGGGCACCUCCCCCAAGCUUGGCAGUUGCCAAGGGGAGUGCCCAUACCCAGGUGAUUAUGUCUCUCUUUUCGGGGAUGGUGAUGUGAUGUUCUUGGCGAUGAUGCCCCUCAAGAUACGAUUCUCCUCCUCAAGCUUGUUGACUUGCUGCUUGAGAUCCAUUAUUUCCUUUCGGAGUUUUCCUGCAACAGCCAAAGCUCCCUGCACCCAAGGGUCCUGCAUAGCUGCGGGAGAACCAGUGACACUCUUUUUCAUAUUCUCACAAGAAAGAAAUCUAACAUUGGAAGGGAUAACCGAGUUUGGAAUAGCUGAGCUCUGCAGUUCCCCCAUCGUGAACCUAGCUCGGAAGCGAGAGGUGACUUCUUGAUCCUCCAUCACAUCUACCCUCAUUAAGUCGGCCUCCAUCUCUUCCUCCAUUGCUGGCCCAAAGUGGUCAGGGUUGCUGUUUGCCCUUGGUUCCGGUGCCGGAUUAGAUACCCGGCUCUCCCCGACUGACUCUUGAGAAGACAUCUUGCUCUAAUCUGCAGAAGCAACAGCUCGAAACAAAAACAGAGGAUAUUCGCGUGAUACAGGAGUCAAAACCGUUGGGAGAUUAUAUAAUGAAUAUUUACCGACCAAAGUGCGUAUUGUGCAAGAAAACGGAGUCCGGAGGGCACACGAGGAGCUCAUGAGGUAGGGGCGCGCCCUAGGGGGGCGCCCUCCACCCUCGUGGGGCCCUCGUGUCCUUCUCGGACUGCUACUUAAUUUUCUAAUUUUUCUAAAUAUUCCAAAACGGAGAAAUAUUGCCUUAAAAAUUGUUUUCGAGUCGGUUUACUUACCGUACCACAUACUUAUUCCUUUUCGGAGUCUGAAAUGUUCUAGAAAGUGUCCCUUAUGUAUUCCUCCGGGGUUACGGUUUCAAUAAUAUUGGUUUCAACAUUUAUGGGAUUACCUGAGAUAUAAAGUUUAAUUCUCUGGCCGUUUACCACCUUCGGAUUUGUGCCUUCGAAGUUGUUGAUUUUUAUGGCACUGGAACGAUAGACCUCCUCGAUAACAUAGGGGCCUUCCCAUUUAGAGAGAAGUUUUCCUGCAAAAAAUCUUAAACGAGAGUUGUAUAGCAAUACAUAAUCACCUACAUUAAACUCACGCUUUUGUAUCCUUUUGUCAUGCCAUCUUUUAACUUUUUAUUUAAACAACAUGGCAUUUUCAUAGGCUUGGGUUCUCCAUUCAUCAAGUGAGCUAAUAUCAAAUAACCUCUUUUCACCGGCAAGUUUGAAAUCAUAGUUGAGCUCCUUAAUAGCCCAAUAUGCCUUAUGUUCUAGUUCGCGAGGUAAGUGACAUGCUUUUCCAUAUACCAUUUUAUACGGAGACAUACCCAUAGGAUUUUUAUAUGCAGUUCUAUAGGCCCAUAAUGCAUCAUCAAGUUUCUUGGACCAAUUCUUUCUAGACCUAUUGACAGUCUUUUGCAAAAUUAAUUUGAGUUCUCUAUUACUCAAUUCUACUUGACCACUAUAUUGUGGGUGAUAUGGAGAUGCAAUUCUAUGAUUGACGUCAUAUUUAGCAAGCAUUUUACGGAAAGCACCAUGAAUAAAAUUUGAACCACCAUCAGUCAUUAAAUAUCUAGGGACUCUGAACCUCGGAAAAAUAACUUCUUUAAGCAUUUUAAUUGAAGUGUUAUGAUCAGCACUACUAGUUGAAAUGGCUUCUACCCACUUAGUAACAUAAUCAACAACAACUAAAAUAUGUGUAUAUCCAUUAGAGGCAGGAAAAGGUCCCAUAUAAUCAAAACCCCAAACAUCAAAUGGUUCAAUAACAAGUGAAUAAUUCAUAGGCAUUUAUUGACGUCUACUAAUAUUACCAAUUCUUUGACAUUCAUCACAAGAUAGGACAUACUUACGGGCAUCCUUGAAGAGAGUAGGCCAAUAAAAACCGGAUUGCAAUACCUUAUGUGCAGUUCUAUCUCCCGCGUGGUUUCCUCCAUAAGUUUCGGAGUGGCACUUGUGUAGGAUCUGUUCCUGUUCAUGCUCAGGUACACAACAUCUAAUAACACCAUCUACUCCUUCUUUAUAAAGAUGUGGGUCAUCCCAAAAGUAAUGUCUCAAAUCAUAGAAUAACUUUUUCUUUUGUUGGUAUGUGAAGCUAGGUGGUAUAAAUUUAGCAACUAUGUAAUUAGCAUAAUCAGCAUACCAAGGAGUACUACGGGAAGUACUUAUGACAUUUAAUUGUUCAUCAGGAAAGCUAUCGUCAAUAGGUAGUGGGUCAUCAAGAACAUUCUCUAACCUAGAUAAAUUGUCUGCAAUGGGGUUCUCAGCUCCUUUUCUACCAACAAUAUGCAAAUCAAAUUCUUGUAACAAGAGAACCCGUCUAAUAAGUCUAGGUUUAGCAUCUUUCUUCUCCAUAAGAUAUUUAAUAGCAGCAUGAUUAGUGUGGAUAGUUACUUUAGAAUCAACAAUAUAAGGUCUGAACUUAUCACAAGCAAAUACAACUGCUAAAAGUUCUUUUUCAGUAGUAGCAUAAUUUCUUUGAGCAUUGUCUAGAGUCUUACUAGCAUAAUGGAUAAUAUUUAGUUUCUUAUCAACUCUUUGCCCUAGAACAGCACCUACAGCAUAAUCGCUAGCAUCACACAUAAUUUCAAAGGGUAAAUUCCAAUCAGGUGGUUGAACAAUAGGUGCAUAGACUAAUGCUUUCUUAAGUAUUUCAAAUGCUUCUACACAAUCAUCAUCAAAGACAAAUGGUAUAUAUUUUUGUAAUAAAUUAGUCAAAGGCCAAGAAAUUUUUGAGAAGUCCUUAAUGAACCUCCUAUAAAAUCCAGCAUGACCAAGGAAACUUCUUAUACCUUUGAUGUCCUUGGGACAUGGCAUCCUUUCAAUAGCAUCAACCUUGGCUUAAUCAACUUCAAUACCUCUUUCAGAAACUUUAUGCCCCAAGACAAUACCCUCAUUAACCAUAAAGUGGCACUUUUCCCAAUUCAAGACAAGAUUAGUUUCUUCACAUCUCUACAAAACUCGAUCAAGAUUGCUCAAGCAAUCAUCAAAAGAAGAUCCAUAGACGGAAAAGUCGUCCAUGAAAACCUCACAAAUCUUUUCACAAAAGUCAGAGAAUAUAGCCAUCAUGCAUCUUUGAAAUUUAGCAGGUGCAUUACAUAAACCAAAAGGCAUACGUCUAUAAGCAAAAGUACCAAAAGGGCAUGUAAAAGUAGUCUUUAGUUGAUCUUUAGCCGACACAGGUAUUUGAGAGAAACCAGAAUAACCAUCUAGAAAGCAAUAAUGUGUAUGUUUGCAUAAUCUUUCUAGCAUUUGAUCGAUAAAAGUUAAGGGGUAAUGAUCUUUCUUAGUAGCCUUAUUUAAUUUGCGGAAAUUAAUUACCAUCCUAUAACCUGUAAUAAUUCUUUGUGGAAUCAAUUCAUCUUUAUCAUUAGGAACAACAGUAAUACCUCCCUUCUUAAGGACACAAUGAACAAGACUUACCCACUGACUAUCAGCAACGGGAUAAAUUGUACCUGCCUCCAGAAGCUUUAGUAUUUCUUUUCUUACCACUUCUUUUAUUUUAGGAUUCAGACGCCGUUGAGGAUCACGAACUGGUUUGGCAUCUGCUUCCAAAUUUAUUUUAUGUUGACAUAGAGUGGGACUAAUGCCCUUAAGAUCAUCAAGAGUAUAUCCAAUAGCAGCACGGUGCUUCUUCAGAGUUUUCAAUAAUCUUUCUUCUUCAUGCUCUGAAAGGUUAGCACUAAUAAUAACAUGAUAUAUCUUCUUUUCAUCAAGAUAUGCAUAUUGAAGAUUAUCAGGCAAUGGUUUAAGCUCAAACACGGGAUCACCCUUAGGUGGAGGGGGAUGCCCUAGGAUUUCAACAGGCAAAUUGUGUGUCAGCAUAGGUUCUUGUUUAAAGAACACUUCAUCUAUUUCCCUUCUUUCAUUCAUAAACAUAUCAUUCUCAUGGUCUAGCAAAUAUUGUUCUAAAGGAUUACUAGGAGGUACGGCAAUAGAAGCAAGACCAAUAAUUUCAUCCUUACUAGGCAAUUCUUCUUCACGGUGUUGUUUACUAAAUUUAGAGAAAUUAAACUCAUAAGUCAUAUCAUCUAAGCCAAUAGUAACAACAUUCUUUUCGCAGUCUAUCCUAGCAUUAACUGUAUUCAAGAAAGGUCUACCAAAUAUAACGGGACAAAAGCUAUCUUGUGGGGAACUAAGAACAAGAAAAUCAGUAGGAUAUUUAGUUUUCCUGCACAAGACUUCAACAUCUCUAACAAUUCCCAUUGCUGAAAUAGUAUCUCUAUUAGCAAGUUUAGUUGUGACAUCAAUAUCUUCUAACUCAGCAGGUGCAAUUUCAUGCUUGAUUUCUUUAUACAAGUCAUAAGGUAUAACACUAGCACUAGCACCCAUAUCACAUAAGCCAUGAUAACAAUGAUCUCCUAUUUUAACAGAAAUAACAGGCACGCCUACCACAGGUCUAUGUUUAUCUUUAGCACAAGGUUUAGCAAUUCUAGCAGUUUCACCGCAGAACUGAAUAACAUGCCCAUCAAUAUUAUCAGACAAGAGCUCUUUAACAAUAGCAACAUUAGGUUCAACUUUAACUUGCUUAGGAGGUGUAUAUGUUUUAAUAUUGCUUUUUUGAACAACAGUUGAAGCUUUAGCAUGAUCCUUUAUUCUAACAGGGAAAGGUGGUUUCUCAACAUAAGAAGUAGAAACAAUAGGAUCAUUAUAAGUGAUAGUCUUUUCUUCAACUUUAAUAGGUGCAGCUACUUUUACUUCUAUGGGAGGAUGAUAUUUAAACAACUUCUCCUUAGGGAGAUCAACAUAAGUAGCAAAAUAUUCACAGAAAGAAGCUACUAUCUCAGAAUCAAGUCCAUAUUUAGUACUAAACUUACGGAAAAUAUCGGUAUCCAUAAAAGAGUUAACACAAUCAAACUUAGGUGUCAUACCUGACUCCUUACUAUUGUCGAGGUCCCAAUCUUCAGAGUUGCGUUUAAUUCUAUUCAAUAAAUCCCAUUUGAAUUCAAUAGUCUUCAUCAUAAAAGAGGCAGCACAAGAAGUAUCAAGCAUGGUGCGAUUGUUAUCAGAAAGCCGAGCAUAAAUUUUUUGAAGAAUUGUUUCUCUUGGAAGCUCAUGGUUGGGGCAUGAAUAUAACAUUGAUUUAAGCCUCCCCCAAGCUUGAGCGAUGCUUUCUCCUUCACGGGGCCAAAAAUUAUAUAUAUAACUGCGAUCACGAUGAAAAAGAUGCAUAGGGUAAUACUUUUGAUGAAAUUCCAAUUUCAAUCUUCUAUAGUUCCAUGAUCCCGUAUCAUCACAUAGCCUAUACCAUACCAAUGCGUCUCCCUUCAAAGAUAAAGGGAAGACCUUCUUAGCAACAUCAUCGGGUAUACCUGGAAGCUUAAAUAAUCCACAAACUUCAUCCACAUAUAUUAGGUGUUCAUCAGGAUGCUUUGUUCCAUCUCCUGUAAAAGGAUUAGCUAGCAGUUUUUCUAUCAUACUCGAAGGAUACUCAUAAGGAAUUUCAUUUUCAUAUUCAUUUUCAAUAGGUUCAGUAGGUUGAGGAGCAACUGUUUGCUCUACUGGUCGGGGUGAAGAUACCCCGAACAAGCCCCUUAGAGGAUUACUUUACAUAGUAACAAGUGACAGUAAAUUUCCGCACACUAUAUAAAUCUUUCCUUACCAAAUUCCACCUACCAAAGGCGCUUCACUCCCUGGCAACGGUGCCAGAAAAGAGUCUUGAUGACCCACAAGUAUAGGGGAUCUAUCGUAGUCCUUUCGAUAAGUAAGAGUGUCGAACCCAACGAGGAGCAGAAGGAAAUGAUAAACGGUUUUCAGCAAGGUAUUCUCUGCAAGUACUGAAAUAAGUGGUAACAGAUAGUUUUGUGAUAAGAUAAUUUGUAACGAGCAACAAGUAACAAAAAGUAAAUAAAGUGCAGCAAGGUGGCCCAAUCCUUUUUGUUGCAAAGGACAAGCCUGGACAAACUCUUAUAUAAGGAAAAGCGCUCCCGAGGACACAUGGGAAUAUCGUCAAGCUAGUUUUCAUCACGUUCAUAUGAUUCACGUUCCGUACUUUGAUAAUUUGACAUGUGGGUGGACCGGUGCUUGGGUGUUGUUCUUACUUGAACAAGCAUCCCACUUAUGAUUAACCUCUAUUGCAAGCAUCCGCAACUACAACAAAAUCAUUAAGGUAAACCUAACCAUAGCAUGAAACAUAUGGAUCCAAAUCAGCCCCUUACGAAGCAAUGCAUAAACUAGGGUUUAAGCUUCUGUCGCUCUAGAAACCCAUCAUCUACUUAUUACUUCCCAAUGCCUUCCUCUAGGCCCAAAUAAUGGUGAAGUGUUAUGUAGUCGACGUUCACAUAACACCACUAGAGGCUAGACAACAUACAUCUUAUCAAAAUAUCGAACACAUACCAAAUUCACAUGACUACUAAUAGCAAGACUUCUCCCUUGUCCUCAGGAACAAACAUAACUACUCACAAAGCAUAAACAUGUUCAUAAUCAGAGGGGUAUUAAUAUGCAUAUAGGAUCUGAACAUAUGAUCUUCCACCAAUUAAACCAACUAGCAUCAACUACAAGGAGUAAUUAACACUACUAGCAACCUACUAGCACCAAUCCCGGACUUGAAGACAAGAAUCAAAUACAAGUGAUGAACUAGGGUUUUGAGAUGAGAUGGUGCUGAUGAAGAUGUUGAUGGAGAUUGCCCUCUCCCGAUGAGAGGAGCGUUGGUGAUGACGAUGGUGAUGAUUUCCCCCUCCGGGAGGGAAGUUUCCCCGGCAGAACAGCUCUGCCGGAGCUCUAGAUUGGAUCCGCCAAGGUUCCGCCUCAUGGCGGCGGAGUUUCGUCCCGAAAGGUUGCUUCUUUUUUUUCUCGACGAAAGACUUCAUAUAGGAGAAGAUGGUCAUCGGAGAGCCACCAGGGGGCCCACGAGGUAGGGGCGCGCCCUAGGGUGGGCGCCCCCCACCCUCAUGAGCAGGGUGUGGGGCCCCUGGUCUUCAUCUUUGGCGAGGAUUUUUCAUUAUGUAUUAUAAGGUAUUCCGUGGAGUUUCAGGACUUUUGCAGUUGUGCAGAAUAGGUCUCUAAUAUUUGCUCCUUUUCCAGCCCAGAAUUCCAGCUGCCGGCGUUCUCCCUCCUUAUGUAAACCUUGUAAAAUAAGAGAGAAUAGCCAUAAGUAUUGUGACAUAAUGUGAAAUAACAGCCCAUAAUGCAAUAAAUAUCGAUAUACAAGCAUGAUGCAAAAUGGACGUAUCAAGAAGCCAUCUAGCUAAUAACUAUGGACCCGAAGGUCUGAAGUAAACUACUCACACAUCAUCGGAGAGGCUAUGGUGUUGAGGUAGAAGCCCUCCGUGAUUGAUGCCCCCUUCAGUAGAGCUCCGAAACAGGCCCCAAGAUGGGAUCUCACGGGUACAGAAGGUUGCGGCGGUGGAAUUAGGUUUUUGGCUCCGUAUCUGGUAGUUUGGGGGUACGUAGGUAUAUAUAGAAGGAAGGAGUAUGUCGGUCGAGCAACAGGGGGCCCACGAGGGUGGAGGGCGCGCCCCCCACCUCGUGGCCUCGUGGUUGAUGUCUUGACGUAUGGCCCAAGUCCUCAUGAUCACGUUCGUUCCAAAAAUCACGUUCCCGAAGGUUUCAUUCCGUUUGGACUCCGUUUGAUAUUCUUUUUCUGCGAAACCCUGAAAUAGGCAAAAAAACAACAAUUCUGGGUUGGGCCUCCGGUAAAUAGGUUAGUCCCAAAAAUAAUAUAAAAGUGUAUAAUAAAGUCCAAUAAUGUCCAAAACAGAAUAUAAUAUAGCAUGGAACAAUAAAAAAUUAUAGAUACGUUGGAGACGUAUCAGUAGGCAGCCAGAGUCAGCAGGAAAUUUGACCUUUUUCCCUUGCUUUUGGCUGGGCUUUAGGUGGGCCUUGCUUAAUCAUACGCCGGGCCGGGCUGAACAAUGUAUGUUUGAAAAUCCCCAAGUUGAGCCAGGACCGGCCCAGCCCAAAUGUUAUUUCCUACUAGUAUUUAACUUAUGGAAAAAAUUGCAACUCUAGAUUUUGCCAAUUUUCCUUAUGCCACUCUAGAUUUUGACAUUUCACUUUUGUCACUCUUAGUUUUCGACAAUUAUCACAAUUGCCAUUCCCAUGGCAAAAGCAAAAUUUUCAAUGGAAUGGCAAUUGUGAUAAUUGUCAAAAACUAAGAGUGGGCAAAAUAAAAUAAAAUUAUUUUGCUUUUGCCACAGAAUGGCAAUUGUGAUAAUUGUGCAAAACUAAGAGUGGUAAAGGUGAAAUGUCAAAAUCUAGAGUGGCAUAAGGAAAAUUGGCAAAAUCUAGAGUGGCAAAAACAUAAUUUUCCCUUUAACUUAAGACUGAAAAAACUAGUAUUUAACUUAAUCAUUUUCAGGGUAUUAAAAAUAAAUAUAUUACCAUACCUCAUAUAUGAAUAAAAUGCCAAGUAUGACCUUGUUUGGGCUUUUUUUGAGCUUUUGGACGAGAAAGCUGAGCUUGAGCCUAGCCCAAAUGUCUGGGGCCCCGGGCAGUUGGGCCGGGCUUCCAAGCUCAUGUUUAGGUGGACCCUAGUUCAUAUUGGACAUAUUUUUUGCUUCCUUUUGAGUGUUGAACGAUCAAGUCAAAUUUGUGCGUUCAGCGAUGUGAUAUGGCGUAUAGCGAUGUAGACGAAAAUUAAUCAUAUAACCAACAUUCAUAAUUAGCAAGUACUCGUUUUCACCAGGUUUUAAAAUAACUAAUAGCGGGUUCAUAGUUGUUCAGCCUUCAACAUGGUUAGGACUAAAUAUUGAUUGAUAUGAUCGUAGAAUAAAUCGACACUUGGUAUCAGUGAGAAUGUGUAACCGAUAAUUUGAACAUGACUGAAAGAGCAUGGUGCCCCAUGUUUGGUUUUGGUAAUUGAUGACAAUCCCUAUGGACUAAUUGUUGCCUUGAGUUAUAUUUGAAGGGUUUGUCCACAGGUAUUGCUUGAAGACCAUUUGUUGGCUUCAAGGUUAUAAGAAGAAGAUUAUGUAUUAGCAAGGUGUUAUUCAAGGAGUUAUCCAGAGAUUGGUCAUGUGAGAAUUGAGCCUAUUGCAAGCAUGUCUUGAGGUGGGGGGAGGUCGUGCGCCAUGGGUUGGAGGGCGUGCGAGCCGGGCACUAGCGCCGUGUGGGAUUUGUCACUAGCGGUGAGCAAUAAGAUGAGUGUUUUUUAGGGGAAAUAAAAUGAGCUGGCAGGAAGUUGGACCUUUUUCCUUCAUUUGGGUUGAGCUUUAGGUGGACCUUGACCUGAUCAUACCCCGGGCUGGGCUCAACAAUGUACGUCUGAAAAUCCCAAGUUGAGCCAGGACCGGCCCAACCCAAAUAUAAUUUCCUAGUAUUUAACUUAAUUGUUUUCAGGGUAUUUGAAAUAAAUAUAUUACCAUACCUAAUAUUCAGAUAAAAUGCCAAUUAUGACCUAGUUUGGGUUUUUUCGUGCUUUGGACGGGAAAGAUUGUGGUGUUAUCAAGGUUGAUAUCGAAAAGGAAGAUAUCAUCUAACCCAUGGAAGAUGACAUCAAAGUGGUGAUCGUCAUCAAGGUUGCAGUGUGCAAGUUCAAGUGGAGCAUCACGAAGAGAUUGGACUUGAAGCUUGCCAUCCAUUCUCGUGAUAAUGGAUAUGUGAAGAUGUGUCUAAGAGAGGCUCACCCAUAGUAGAGUAUGAGGGAGCAAUCUAGUAGUCUUCAUCGAGUGUACGCUAUCAAGAAAGGUGGUCCAACUUGAGGAAGUCAAGAUCGUCAUCAUCUAGCUCAAGUGGACUAUGCGCAAGGCAAAGGUUUGACCGUGAUAGGUUUUCUAUUUUACCAGUCUCAUGGUGCUAGUUGGGAGACCGGGUUAUNNNNNNNNNNNNNNNNNNNNNNNNNNNNNNNNNNNNNNNNNNNNNNNNNNNNNNNNNNNNNNNNNNNNNNNNNNNNNNNNNNNNNNNNNNNNNNNNNNNNNNNNNNNNNNNNNNNNNNNNNNNNNNNNNNNNNNNNNNNNNNNNNNNNNNNNNNNNNNNNNNNNNNNNNNNNNNNNNNNNNNNNNNNNNNNNNNNNNNNNNNNNNNNNNNNNNNNNNNNNNNNNNNNNNNNNNNNNNNNNNNNNNNNNNNNNNNNNNNNNNNNNNNNNNNNNNNNNNNNNNNNNNNNNNNNNNNNNNNNNNNNNNNNNNNNNNNNNNNNNNGGGAGCUCAAACCAUUGCAUAAUUGGCAUCAUCUUUCUUGGUUCUUGUUUGGAUUUUCUCUAUGUGAGUUUUGGAGCUUGUGGUCAUUUUCAUGACAAGCUCAAGUUCAUCGAAAACGGAUUUUCUAUGCAUCAUCUAUUAUGUUUUUCAUGUUGGAGUUUAUUGUCGAUUCUUCGCUGAUGGUGGUUUCACACCUCUAUAUCAUUGGCAUAUUUCUAUUUGUGAUUUGACAUCUCUUUUUGUUAGCUUUCUAUCAAUCUUAAGUUCGUCGAAAUCAGAGUUCAUUUGCAGAAGUUAUGACAGUUUCUGUCUUACUUGUUUCAUCUGUUGUGCAUUGGUCUUUUGGCAGAGACUAGGCAGUAGUACUGCUGGUGCCCACGGUAGUGCCGCUUCGGCGGUACUUCCGCUGGCUUGUACCGCGCUACUUUCGCUUGGCUGGAGUCUUGUGUUCCCCUCAAUUGCUCGCGGUAGUACCACUUAGGCGGUACUUCUACUGGGCAGUACCGCAGCUACUUCCACUUGAGUUGAGUCUUUUGUAUGCUCUCCGCCAAUUCAUGGUAGUAUUGCUAGCACUAUACGGUAGUACCGCUUCAUGUGGUACUUCGGCUCUGGUGAUGUGUUGGCUACCGAUGGUUCCUCUGUAACCCUUCGACAAUUAGCGGCAGUACCGCUAGUCGGCGGCAGUAGUACCACUCCGGUGAAACUAUCGUUCUAGUACUUCAGUACUCAUUGGGUUGCAUUGACUGGGCUAAGCGGUGGUAUCGCUCCCCGAGCGAUAUUACUGCUCCCUUGAGCGAUACUACCGUUGGUGCACGACAUGUGCACAUAACGGUUGGAUCUGAGCCCCAUCUAUAAAAGGGGGUCUUCUUCCCCAAUUCCCCAACAUUUAUUUGCAAGCUUUCUCUGCAAUUGUUGACCUCCAAAAGCUUUUUUUCUCUAUUCCUCCCAUGAAUAUUGCAUCUUUUUGAGGGAAAAGAGAUAGGAGAUCUAGAUCUACAUUUCCGCCAAUUCAUAUCUCCUCUAAGUGAGGGGAACCUUGUGGAUAUACAUCUUGGAGUUUCUUUUGUGUUCUCCUUGGUCUUCCUCUCAUAUUCCUCCAUAGCUGUCGUUGCAUUGGUGGGAUUUGAGAGUGCGGGACUUGAGCAAUUCGUGUGUUCUUGUCAUUGCAUUAGUUGCACUAGGUUGAGUUCUCCACGGUGAUACGUGGAAGUGAAAGUUGAGAAGCUUAUUACUCUUGGGUGUUUUAGCACCCUAGCUAGAGCUUGUGCCUCUUGGGUGCUUGGGCGCCCUAGACAGUUGGUUGUGUUGCGGAGCUUAAUCAUUGUGGUGUAAAGCUCCAGGCAAGCUUCGGGGUCUCCAAUUAAGUUGUGGAGAUUGCCCCAACCAAAUUGUAUGGGUUCGGUGAUCGCUCCAAGGGUCGCCAGUUGUACGGGUUCGGUGACCGUCCUCAAGGGUCCCAUAGCGGGAUCAUGGUAUCUUGCAUUAUGCGAGGGCGUGAGGCGAAUAUAGUGGCCCCUAGGCAUUUUGGGGAGCAUUGUGCCUCCACACCACUCUAAUGAAGAUUAGCAUUCUCAAGGGUGUGAACUUCGGCAUACAUUGUUGUCUACGCGUGCCUCGGUUAUAUCUUACCCGAGCCUCUUUACUUAUACACUUUACUUUGUGAUAGCCUUCGUGUUUCAAGUAUAUAUCUUACUAUCACAUAGUUGUUUAUCUUGUUUAGCAUAAGUUGUUGGUGCACAUAGUUGAGCCUGGUAUACUUAGGUUUUGUGCUAGACAAAUUAAAUGCUAGUUUUGUUCCGCACGUGUUCAAGCCUAACCAUAAUCUCUACUGCUAAUGGGGGAGUACGUUGUCAUUUCGUUUGGUUAGACUUCCCCAUCGAACAAUAAAAACAACCCCACCGAUGUUUUUCCUUCUGCUUCGUUCCUGAUCCAUUCCUGAUUAUGCUUUUCUUUCCAAACCCGCCCCCACCCGGAUUGCUUCAUGUCCAUCCCCUCUCGUCCCUUGAGAUGGAAAGUAAUCUGCUCCCGGUAAUCAACCAAAUCAUAUCCCAUAUAUGGAAGAGAUGGAGAGAUAAGCAUGGCAUGGAGAGAGGAGAGACACGGAGGUGCAUGCAUGCAAAGCCCACCCCUGUAUAAGCUUGAAGAGUAGGCUAUGCAGUUACAACAGAGACGUACAACACCUUGCGCCAGCCAUGGAAGAUAGACACAUAGUAGAGGGGAGCGUGGUGGCCUCUGGCUGUCGCGCUGGAGUACAGAUGGGACAUGAUUUGUGUGGAAUCACUAGAAUAUGUGUGCCAUCUAAUGAGUUGAUUGGGUGGGAAGUGCGAUUCGGUAUGAUCCUAGAUCUCUCUCUCUCUCUCUCUCUCCUCGCACUUUAAAUGGCUUCCUGCCCAGUAGAUGGAAAGAGGGGUUUGGGUUGGGAGGAAGAAGCUGUACAGAUCGAAGGAAAAGUAGAACAAAGGGACGGGUACGAAUCACAUUUGUUCGAAUGUCUUCUCUCUUUUGGUAGUUUUAGAGUCAUCGGCACAUCAAGAAUGGCGCUAACGUUUUCAUUUUGGUCAAAUCAGGGAUUUAAAGCAUCCACACGAUCUCAGUCGUCAAUGUCCUGAAGCCAAAUUUUAUUUAUGUUAUCUCACAAAUGGUCGUGCGCUGAACCAAUAAAUAAAUAAACAUGUUUUAUCUAUUUUCACACAUUGAAUCUACUUAUUUUCUCAGAUUCUUCUCUUGACUUCGGUUCCAAUUGCAUUUCAAUAUAUCUAUUUUCACUUUACAUUAGUACAAAUAUAUCAUGCCUAUUAGAAUUAGUCAUCACAUAGUAUUGAUCGACAUGCAUGAUUAUCUUACCAAUGUUUUAUUCCAAAUGUUGUGUUGUAAUUCAUAUAUUGAUUUAAUAUUUCUUAGGUUUUUGUUGCAAGUAACUAUAUAAUUCCUUGUUACACUUCUACUACAAUUGCCAUUGACAUCACUGGCUGGUUGGCGAUACUUCAUGUGAGGUUGAUGAGGCAGCACCAGAAGUUUGAUACUCUACUGGAUGGUUGAUAAUUGUCUUAUUGGAAAGGCAAGUGCUAAACAAAAUUGUUCUAUUGGAAAUGGAUUGUGCUAUCAAGAGACUACAAUAUAUGGGUGGUUUUAUGUAUCGACAGUGCAACUCUCACCGAAUUUAAUUUGUAUUCUCUUGCUCUAACAAGGUUUCAUGAAGAUGUGCAGUAGAUACGGUAUUUUUCUAAUCGAGGCACACUUGUUCUUCCCCAAGAGAUCCCUAAGUGGUACUUAAUUUCCAGAUACUUCAAGUACAUUGACUUUUUUUGAGGAAAAGGUAAAAAAUUUCCAUGGGAUUAUUUUCACCGUCAAUUUUAGUUCAGACGAUGAUAGUUCAUAGAAUGUUAGAUUGUCCAUUGGGAAAGUUACUGAACUACGAUGGACCAGACUAUAAACUAAUCGAGUUUUACACAAUCAAAAAAGAUGGAAACAAACAAUUGUUCUUCUUCUGUAUAGAUAUGUUGCACAUGAUAAUUCAAAAGAUGAAUUUCUAUAUAUGUUUAUGUUUGCAUAUUAUGAAAAGAUGGAGAUGGAUUAUGUGGAUGUUCAGAAAUAAUCCAUUUGUGAGGGUCCUAAAGCGAUGUCAUUGGAAGGGGCCAAAAAUUCAUUGUGACGCCCGGAUAAUUAGGCUAGAGUAAUCACGUGUUAAUGAUGCCAAGCCAUCAAAGUUACUGUCGUUAAUCUCGCGUUAGUUCAGAACCGAUCCAAAUUCAAAUUUGAAAGAAAGGCAAACAACAAAACUUUUGAAACAUUAAAACCAAAAUGUUCGGUUUGUGGCAAAUAAUCCUUACUAACUAUUUGUGAAGGAACCACACUUUUAUUAUGUGUUUUAAUGCACUAAAAUGAUUUAAAUAUUAGCAAACCUGAUUAUUUAAAUGCCUUUGCAGAUUGAUAAAAUAUCAAACCAAAUUAAUUGGGGUCUAGACUUUUGUGGCGGUAGACUAAAUCGAAAUGUUCAAUUAGAUGCAAAGUAUAUAUUUUUACAGAACCUAAAAUAAUAGGAAACAAAAAUAAAACAGAAAAGAAAAGAGAAAAAUAAAGAAAACAAAAAAAAAUCAAAAACAAAGGGGACACCCCCCGGCCAACUGGGCCAACAGGCCCAGCUAGCCACCCACGCGACCCAGCCGGCCCAACCCGGUGGUAUAACCCCCACGCACCUGAAACCCUAGCCCGAUCCCUUCCCCACUUCCCCCCUCUCGGUCCACUCCCCCCCCACGACCUCCUCUGCCCUCGAUCUGGAUCGAGGAAAGNNNNNNNNNNNNNNNNNNNNNNNNNNNNNNNNNNNNNNNNNNNNNNNNNNNNNNNNNNNNNNNNNNNNNNNNNNNNNNNNNNNNNNNNNNNNNNNNNNNNNNNNNNNNNNNNNNNNNNNNNNNNNNNNNNNNNNNNNNNNNNNNNNNNNNNNNNNNNNNNNNNNNNNNNNNNNNNNNNNNNNNNNNNNNNNNNNNNNNNNNNNNNNNNNNNNNNNNNNNNNNNNNNNNNNNNNNNNNNNNNNNNNNNNNNNNNNNNNNNNNNNNNNNNNNNNNNNNNNNNNNCCCGACGUCGGCGCCGCUCCCCCCCUGUCGCCCGCCUCGCUGGACGCCCCCGCCGCCUCGACGCCACGCCCCUGCCUCGACAUGGACGACCCCGUCGUCGUCCACCCGUCGCCUCGCCGGUGCCACCCGACCCACGCCACCUCGAGCCGCUGCCUCCCCGUCCGGCUCACUGUGAGCCCCAUCCUCCCUCCUCUCUCCCCCCCGCGCAUCGACCGCGCCCGAAGGCCGCGCGCCCCGCAACCCGCACCGUGCGCCGCCCCCGUGCCAUGCGCGUUGUGGCCACGCACACAGCCCCACACCCCCGCCACGUCCUUGGUCACCUGCAGCCGCGCCCGUCACUGCCUGCCUCGCCCAGGUCGGACGCUGACCGCGCCCGGCGCGCNNNNNNNNNNNNNNGACCCCGUCGUCGUCCACCCGUCGCCUCGCCGGCGCCACCCGACCCGCGCCACCUCGAGUCGCUGCCUCCCCGUCCGGCUCACUGUGAGCCCCAUCCUCCCUCCUCUCUCCCCCCCGCACAUCGACCGCGCCCGAAGGUCGCGCGCCCCGCAACCCGCACCGUGCGCCGCCCCCGUGCCAUGCGCGUUGUGGCCACGCACACAGCCCCACACCCCCGCCACGUCCUUGGUCACCUGCAGCCGCGCCCGUCAAUGCCUGCCUCGCCCAGGCCGGACGCUGACCGCGCCCGGCGCGCGCCUAACCUCGCCGGCCUUCCCCGUCGUCUGUGCCCCGGCGGCCCCGUCCUGCUUUGCGGGCGAGUGCCCGCUCGGGUGCGCCUGCACUCUACGCCCGGGACCCGUGGCCGUUCGCCCGUUAGGGCUCCCCCUGAGCCACUGACCUUGGGGCCCCACACCCCAGAACAAAAAAAAAGAGGGAUUAAAAAAAUAUAAUAAUAAUAAAAAAUUUAAAAAAAAUGUUAAAUGAAUAAAUAGAUAAUAAUUAAAUAAUUAAAAUGUUAAUUAAUUAAUUAAUUAAGUAAUUAAUUAAGUUAAUUAAUCCUGGUUAAUUAACCUAAUAACUAAUUAACCUAAUUAACUACUGUUAAUUAAACUUAAUUAGGUUAAUUAGUUAAUAGUGUAUGACGAACGGGACCCACCUGUCAGGGUUGACUCAGUCAACCCCUGUUGACUGCUGACGUCAGCAUGACAUCAUGCUGACGUCAUAAAUACAUUUUUUCGAAUUAAUUAAAUAAAUAAUUAAAUUCCAAAAUUGUUAAAAUCUUUUAAAAAUCAUAUCUUUUAAUCCGUAACUCGGAUUAAAAUAUUUUCAACAUGAAAGUUGCUCAGAACGACGAGACGAAUCCGGAUACGCAGUCCGUUCGUCCGCCACACCCCCCUAACCUAUCGAACCCGCAACUUUCCCCCUCCGGUUCAUCUGUUAGAAAACACGAAACACCGGGAAUACUUUCCCGGAUGUUUUCCCCCCUUCACCGGUAUCACCUACUACCGCGUUAGGGCACACCGAACACCGCGUAUUGCCUUGUUAUAUUUUGUGAUGCUUUGUUUGCUCUGUAUUCAUUAUUUCUUCCCCCUCUUCUNNNNNNNNNNNNNNNNNNNNNNNNNNNNNNNNNNNNNNNNNNNNNNNNNNNNNNNNNNNNNNNNNNNNNNNNNNNNNNNNNNNNNNNNNNNNNNNNNNNNNNNNNNNNNNNNNNNNNNNNNNNNNNNNNNNNNNNNNNNNNNNNNNNNNNNNNNNNNNNNNNNNNNNNNNNNNNNNNNNNNNNNNNNNNNNNNNNNNNNNNNNNNNNNNNNNNNNNNNNNNNNNNNNNNNNNNNNNNNNNNNNNNNNNNNNNNNNNNNNNNNNNNNNNNNNNNNNNNNNNNNNNNNNNNNNNNNNNNNNNNNNNNNNNNNNNNNNNNNNNNNNNNNNNNNNNNNNNNNNNNNNNNNNNNNNNNNNNNNNNNNNNNNNNNNNNNNNNNNNNNNNNNNNNNNNNNNNNNNNNNNNNNNNNNNNNNNNNNNNNNNNNNNNNNNNNNNNNNNNNNNNNNNNNNNNNNNNNNNNNNNNNNNNNNNNNNNNNNNNNNNNNNNNNNNNNNNNNNNNNNNNNNNNNNNNNNNNNNNNNNNNNNNNNNNNNNNNNNNNNNNNNNNNNNNNNNNNNNNNNNNNNNNNNNNNNNNNNNNNNNNNNNNNNNNNNNNNNNNNNNNNNNNNNNNNNNNNNNNNNNNNNNNNNNNNNNNNNNNNNNNNNNNNNNNNNNNNNNNNNNNNNNNNNNNNNNNNNNNNNNNNNNNNNNNNNNNNNNNNNNNNNNNNNNNNNNNNNNNNNNNNNNNNNNNNNNNNNNNNNNNNNNNNNNNNNNNNNNNNNNNNNNNNNNNNNNNNNNNNNNNNNNNNNNNNNNNNNNNNNNNNNNNNNNNNNNNNNNNNNNNNNNNNNNNNNNNNNNNNNNNNNNNNNNNNNNNNNNNNNNNNNNNNNNNNNNNNNNNNNNNNNNNNNNNNNNNNNNNNNNNNNNNNNNNNNNNNNNNNNNNNNNNNNNNNNNNNNNNNNNNNNNNNNNNNNNNNNNNNNNNNNNNNNNNNNNNNNNNNNNNNNNNNNNNNNNNNNNNNNNNNNNNNNNNNNNNNNNNNNNNNNNNNNNNNNNNNNNNNNNNNNNNNNNNNNNNNNNNNNNGUGGCUCCAUCCCGGUAGAGGUGGGCCUGGGUUCCCGACGGCCCUCGACUGUUACUUUGUGGCGGAGCGACAGGGCAGGUUGAGACCACCUAGGAGACAGGUGGGCCUGGCCCUGUUCGGCGUUCGCGGAUACUUAACACGCUUAACGAGAUCUUGGUAUUUGAUCUGAGUCGGCUACGAGCCUAUACGCACUAACCAUCUACGUGGGAGUAGUUAUGGGUAUCCCGACGUCGUGGUAUCAGCCGAAGCACUUCAGACGUCAGCGACGGAGCGGCGCGCGCCGGAUUGGAACGUAAGCCUGCUCUUGUAUUAAGGGGGCUAGUUCUGCUUCCGGCCGCCCACGCAACGUGCAGGUGUGCUAUGGGCGAUGGGCCCAGACCCCUGUGCGCUUAGGUUUAGACCGGCGUGCUGGCCUCUCUGUUUUGCCUAGGUGGGGCUGCGACGUGUUGAUCUUCUGAGGCCGGGCAUGACCCAGGAAAGUGUGUCCGGCCAAAUGGGAUCGAGCGUGUUGGGUUAUGUGGUGCACCCCUGCAGGGAAGUUAAUCUAUUCGAAUAGCCGUGAUCUUCGGUUACAGGACGACUUGGAGUUGUACCUUGACCUUAUGACAACUAGAACCGGAUACUUAAUAAAACACACCCUUCCAAGUGCCAGAUACAACCGGUGGUCGCUCUCCCUCAGGGAUACGAGGGGAGGAUCGCCGGGUAGGAUUAUGCUAUGAGAUGCUAUUUGGAGAUGCUACUUGGAGAUGCUAUUUGGAGGACUUCAGUCUACUCUCUUCUACAUGCUGUAAGACGGAGGCUGCCAGAAGCGUAGUCUUCGACAGGAUUAGUUAUCCCCCUCUUAUUCUGGCAUUCUGCAGUUCAGUCCACUGAUAUGGCCUCCUUACACAUAUACACAUGCAUAUGUAGUGUAGAUCCUUGCUUGCGAGUACUUUGGAUGAGUACUCACGGUUGCUUUCUUCCCCCCUUUUCCCCCUUUCCUUUCUUUCUGGUUGUCGCAACCAGAUGCUGGAGUCCAGGAGCCAGACGCCACCGUCGACGACGACCCCUACUACACUGGAGGUGCCUACUACUACGUGUUGCCCGCUGACGACGACCAGGAGUAGUUUAGGAGGAUCCCAGGCAGGAGGCCUGCGCCUCUUUCGAUCUGUAUCCCAGUUUGUGCUAGCCUUCUUAAGGCAAACUUGUUUAACUUAUGUAUGUACUCAGAUAUUGUUGCUUCCGCUGACUCGUCUAUGAUCGAGCACUUGUAUUCGAGCCCUCGAGGCCCCUGGCUUGUAUUAUGAUGCUUGUAUGACUUAUUUAUGUUUUAGAGUUGUGUUGUGAUAUCUUCCCGUGAGUCCCUGAUCUUGAUCGUACACAUUUGCGUGCAUGAUUAGUGUACGAUUGAAUCGGGGGCGUCACAAGUUGGUAUCAGAGCCGACUGCCUGUAGGAAUCCCCCUUUCCAAUUCCUUGGCCGAAGUUGAGUCUAGUCAUUGCAAAACUUUUACUAACUUGGCUGUGUGCCUUACGGGCCCACGUCGCCAUCGGGUGGUAUUAGGAUCUUUUAUUCCUCGACCUAUACUCUGGGACUCUUAUUUCUCUUCUAUUCGGGUUAAAUGAUUUUUGCUAAAACUAACUAUAGGUUCUCGCAAGUACUUUCUCCCGGAGAGCCAUUUGUUACCGAUGACCGCCUGCUGCACCAGUAGAUUUCGAAGAUACUCUCCGAUUUUCUCUCGAGACCUUGUGCCCGUUGCUUUUGCAAUUCUCGACCACCGAUAAACCCUUAUGGAUAACUACUUACACUUGCCAUUCAUACGAUCCUCCCCCAUUGAUCUUGUUAUUACAAGAUACCCCGAAGUUUUCUCUAUUGUUCCGAGAAUACGUUGUGCCUACUGCCUAGCAGUUCUUUGCCACACGAAUACCCCUUCAAAUAAAUCCUCGCACUUGUCGAGUAUCCGCUCACCCCCAGUUGUUCAUGUGUUUCACAAAAGUCUUCAAAAUACUAUUCGAUCUUCCGAAAAUCCUCUGGAGCCUUUGGCUCUUGAAAUUCUUGCUUGCUUGCAUUAUGGUUAAUCCCAUAAGUCUCGUAGUCUUCUUGACAUUCCUUGUCAUUAUCAUUUUCAGUCUGUUGACUCAAUAUGAUUGCGAAUACACGCAAUCAUCAUUGAUCCUUAUAAAUUACAUUUCCGGCUGAGCUGCAAUUCUUUUAACUGGAAUUGGUUCUCGACCAAUCCAAUUGUCGUUGAUUGUACCCUAAGGCUAUUCAACUUAUCCAUUCCUAAUCAGAGCAUUGCUUCUGAUCCCUUGACAUGGAAUUCAUAAUUCCUUUGCAAUUAAGCUUUGAAUUAGUCAGUUGUUUCUAUCUUCUGAUCUCCUUGCAUUCUUCUUCUUCUGGUUGAGUACCGAUACUCACAUCAGCCCCGUUGUGGAUCGCCAUAUCCACUGUUGGAUUAUUAUCCGAUAGUGUCCUUCAUAAUUAAUCACCUUGUGAGUUCUUUCUCUGAUACAUAAUGCCUUUGGUAAAUUGUAUCCUCUCCUUUUUUUAACCUUGCUCUGCUUUCGAGCUUGUGUUAUUUACCUUGGAAGUUUGUAGCAUAUGUUCCUUAAAUGCCCCAAUGGGUUGAACCGAUGCCUUCCUUACUAUGUGUGAACUCGGAAGUUUUCACGGGUCAUACUCAUCUAGUAUUUCACCAGGUAUAACUUUCAACACUAAUGCCAUUAUCGAAACGAGAAGUGAAUGUAAGGUUAUGCUUUGGAGAAGUGGGAGUCGACCUCGAACCUUGUGUUCAUGCCCAUGGACGCGAUGUAUAUCCUAUCAUGGAAGCUUCUUGUAAUAAUAACUAUUUCCUUGAUAACUAACAUAUGGUAUCUGUGAAUUGAUCCCUUGAAACCGUGGUUCCGACCAUGAUUGUUCUUCCUUGAUUCCAUUUCUCGGACAAGUUAAAACAAUUGUCUUCUAUGGAUAGAUACACCCGUCCAAUCUUUACUUUGAUCUUGUGUCGAGUAUUACCCCCUGGUAUCUCAAGAUUAUCUUGGAACUGCAUAACUUCUUAUGAGUUCUUCAUCAAGUGCUACCUUUCCACUGAUUCCAAUUUUUCACGGGCUCUGAGUUAUUAUACACUCAAAGACACCGAUAACUGAAUCGAGUUCGCAUUGCGAUUCAACAAGUAUUUGAACCCAUCACUGCUUACAAAUUUAUUAAUCCUUCAAGUCAUUCCUAGCCUGAUCGGCUAUAUCAUUAUCGAGCUAAUUUUAACUGUGCUACCCGGUCCUUCUUCCCGGAGCACAAUUUUCGACGAUGAACUAACCUUACGUCGAUCAUCAUCGUCAUAUCAUUUCGCCUUGAACAACAAGCUUGGUUUCGAGUUUGUGUCGUACCCUUGGUUCCAAUAACCUUUCACUUUAUCAUUACUUUGACUUGAUGUCAUCACCGAUCGAUUACAUCUUCAUGAACUCUCGCGACAAAUGUGUCGUGAAUAUCAUCAACAUUCUGAACUCUUCCAAGAGAUCUAUUGAAAUCAUGAUGAGAAAUACCAUCCUUGCCCUCGAUGAUUGGUGUUAUCAGCGACAACAUUAUUGCAUUCCCUCCAACACAAAACUUGUUCCUGUAUUGUGUUGUACCUUGAGUUCCUUGCUAUCCAACUUAUGUUAUAUUCUACCGCGGAGUAUUACCAUCUUUGAUGUUAAGAAUGUUGUGAGGAUUGCUCCACCUCUUAAGAAUUCUUGCUAUAAUGAUACUUCUCACCAUCACCAUUCUUUCUUGGUCCUCGUGUUGAUUCCAACCGGGGUACCCACAAGUGAACGGUGUUGUUUGGAUUAUGCACUUCUAGCAACCAUAUUGCUUUGAAGUUAAUGAUCGAUAGUUCAUUCUAAGUCCUUCGCUAAUUGAAUCACCAUUCUAACAUUGGUCGUGCAACCCAACCCGUACUUCGGGCGCACCCUUCAACCAAUGUUUAAUUGUGUAUGUUUUCCUCGAGCAUACUUCCUUAUAUCAUUUGAUCUGACAAAUGUUAUCUCCUUGUUCACUUAAUGGUGGAAAUCCAUCUUUUGGGAAUCUCGGUGAAUUGCCGUUGAGUUCACCAGACACCUCCUUGUCCUCUCCUUGGUUUAAUGGUGAACUAUUGCUUCAAAAACCCGCUCUCAUAGUUCAUUUCCCGAGAAUCUUACAGUGUCAUCCCGUCAAUUGGUGUUGCACCUUUCUUCUCAGGCAUCCUGAGCCUGAGGUAUCCUGACACCAAUCAUACCUGAAUCUCCGUCAGAUAUGAUGGUUAGGACAACUUUCCAAGAGUUAUGAUAUUGAUCCUUUGAUGACCCGGUAACAUGAUGUCAUGCCUAGCACCCCCCCCCCCCGGCUGGAGGACCUAUCAUUAUAAUUUCUUUUGCAAGAUAACCAUUCUUCCUAGAGGAAAUUGUAAGACUUAUCCUACAAGUUGUUCCUAAUGGAUCUUUCCUAUAUCCAAAGUUUGGCCUUGAUUGAAACAAACACCAUGUCAAUGCUAUCUCGAAGCAUGUCUGUGGUACUCCGAUUUUCAACAAGAACAUUUGAAGCCCAAUGCUAAAUGUUUCUUGCUCAAUUAUCCAAACACCGAUGUAUGGGUAAUGUCAUGAAAAUUCUCUCCCCUACCUAAAGAGUUUUCUACAUUAUAUCCUGUCAUGGAUAUCAUGCUCUGCUUAUCCUUGGGAAGGAUAUACCCCUGAAAUAUGUGUUUAAACACAUUUUCCUUUCCAUUGUUCUGUUUAACCUGAUGAUCACAUUUUCCUUUCCAUUGGUUUGUUUGACCUUUCUUGUGAUCUAUAUAACCUAAGCAGUAAUAAUUUACUUCUUAUGUAAACACCUCGGUGUACAACUCUGCCAGUGAGACCCUGUUACUUUUGUUGAUGACAUUUUGGUAACCACCGAUGGACGAGAACUUUGCCUAAUGGUCCGCCUCGUUCAACGAGCAGGAAAAUGGUUCUCUUCGUCCCUCGCCCUUGGUACCGAUGUUGUUGCCGACAUAACCGACAGACUAUCCUCUGGCAUGCCUUGCUUACAUGAUCGUGCAAGAUGUCACUGUCCUUCCUACUUUUAAUCCACAUGGUGGGCCCAUAACCCACAGUUCCACAGGAUCGAAACCUGACUCUCCUGUACACCCCCUGUUCCCAAAGUUAUUCCUCCCGCGUGGACUCGUAUGUAAUUCAUGAGCCACCUUCCGAUGAGAUCAUCAAUUCUGGCAUCGGAAACAAUAAUUAUUCCGUUGCUUGAAACCCCUUUCACCUUCUGACUAGGCAUUGAACGAUCGCCUGGCUGCCAAAAUCUUCUUAUUGUACCUUCGUACCUUACUCUUGAUGUAUUCGAUAUGUUCAGCUCGAGAGAUAAUCUUACGCUCAUUCAUGGGUUAACCCCAGAUUGUUUCCCUCAUAAACAUUCUGUCGUAGCCGAGCUGCCCCUUACCUAUUUGCAAGUACGUUGGAGUUCCCGAGAAAAGGACGACAUCACCAUGAUGGCCUGAAGCAGAGAAAUGAAGACGUCAAUCUAAUGGAUCGACCUCUUCAAGAAGAGCAACCAAGACUGAGAAGAUUCGUUAGCAUUUCGUAACCAGACCUUUCCCCCUUAGUCCCCCUCUUAAAUCUCGGGACGAGAUUUCUUGUAGUGGAGGAGAAUUGUGACGCCCGGAUAAUUAGGCUAUAGUAAUCACGUGUUAAUGAUGCCAAGCCAUCAAAGUUACUGUCGUUAAUCUCGCGUUAGUUCAGAAACGAUCCAAAUUCAAAUUUGAAAGAAAGGCAAACAACAAAACUUUUGAAACAUUAAAACCAAAAUGUUCGGUUUGUGGCAAAUAAUCCUUACUAACUAUUUGUGAAGGAACCACACUUUUAUUAUGUGUUUUAAUGCACUAAAAUGAUUUAAAUAUUAGCAAACCUGAUUAUUUAAAUGCCUUUGCAGAUUGAUAAAAUAUCAAACCAAAUUAAUUGGGGUCUAGACUUUUGUGGCGGUAGACUAAAUCGAAAUGUUCAAUUAGAUGCAAAGUAUAUAUUUUUACAGAACCUAAAAUAAUAGGAAACAAAAAUAAAACAGAAAAGAAAAGAGGAAAAUAAAGAAAACAAAAAAAAAUCAAAAACAAAGGGGACACCCCCCGGCCAACUGGGCCAACAGGCCCAGCUAGCCACCCACGCGACCCAGCCGGCCGAACCCGGUGGUAUAACCCCCACGCACCUGAAACCCUAGCCCGAUCCCUUCCCCACUUCCCCCCUCUCGGUCCACUCCCCCCCACGACCUCCUCUGCCCUCGAUCUGGAUCGAGGAAAGCAGAGGCCCGACCACGCCACCGUCCCGGAUCGCCGUNNNNNNNNNNNNNNNNNNNNNNNNNNNNNNNNNNNNNNNNNNNNNNNNNNNNNNNNNNNNNNNNNNNNNNNNNNNNNNNNNNNNNNNNNNNNNNNNNNNNNNNNNNNNNNNNNNNNNNNNNNNNNNNNNNNNNNNNNNNNNNNNNNNNNNNNNNNNNNNNNNNNNNNNNNNNNNNNNNNNNNNNNNNNNNNNNNNNNNNNNNNNNNNNNNNNNNNNNNNNNNNNNNNNNNNNNNNNNNNNNNNNNNNNNNNNNNNNNNNNNNNNNNNNNNNNNNNNNNNNNNNNNNNNNNNNNNNNNNNNNNNNNNNNNNNNNNNNNNNNNNNNNNNNNNNNNNNNNNNNNNNNNNNNNNNNNNNNNNNNNNNNNNNNNNNNNNNNNNNNNNNNNNNNNNNNNNNNNNNNNNNNNNNNNNNNNNNNNNNNNNNNNNNNNNNNNNNNNNNNNNNNNNNNNNNNNNNNNNNNNNNNNNNNNNNNNNNNNNNNNNNNNNNNNNNNNNNNNNNNNNNNNNNNNNNNNNNNNNNNNNNNNNNNNNNNNNNNNNNNNNNNNNNNNNNNNNNNNNNNNNNNNNNNNNNNNNNNNNNNNNNNNNNNNNNNNNNNNNNNNNNNNNNNNNNNNNNNNNNNNNNNNNNNNNNNNNNNNNNNNNNNNNNNNNNNNNNNNNNNNNNNNNNNNNNNNNNNNNNNNNNNNNNNNNNNNNNNNNNNNNNNNNNNNNNNNNNNNNNNNNNNNNNNNNNNNNNNNNNNNNNNNNNNNNNNNNNNNNNNNNNNNNNNNNNNNNNNNNNNNNNNNNNNNNNNNNNNNNNNNNNNNNNNNNNNNNNNNNNNNNNNNNNNNNNNNNNNNNNNNNNNNNNNNNNNNNNNNNNNNNNNNNNNNNNNNNNNNNNNNNNNNNNNNNNNNNNNNNNNNNNNNNNNNNNNNNNNNNNNNNNNNNNNNNNNNNNNNNNNNNNNNNNNNNNNNNNNNNNNNNNNNNNNNNNNNNNNNNNNNNNNNNNNNNNNNNNNNNNNNNNNNNNNNNNNNNNNNNNNNNNNNNNNNNNNNNNNNNNNNNNNNNNNNNNNNNNNNNNNNNNNNNNNNNNNNNNNNNNNNNNNNNNNNNNNNNNNNNNNNNNNNNNNNNNNNNNNNNNNNNNNNNNNNNNNNNNNNNNNNNNNNNNNNNNNNNNNNNNNNNNNNNNNNNNNNNNNNNNNNNNNNNNNNNNNNNNNNNNNNNNNNNNNNNNNNNNNNNNNNNNNNNNNNNNNNNNNNNNNNNNNNNNNNNNNNNNNNNNNNNNNNNNNNNNNNNNNNNUUAAAAAAAAUGUUAAAUGAAUAAAUAGAUAAUAAUUAAAUAAUUAAAAUGUUAAUUAAUUAAUUAAUUAAGUAAUUAAUUAAGUUAAUUAAUCCUGGUUAAUUAACCUAAUAACUAAUUAACCUAAUUAACUACUGUUAAUUAAACUUAAUUAGGUUAAUUAGUUAACAGUGUAUGACGAACGGGACCCACCUGUCAGGGUUGACUCAGUCAACCCCUGUUGACUGCUGACGUCAGCAUGACAUCAUGCUGACGUCAUAAAUACAUUUUUUCGAAUUAAUUAAAUAAAUAAAUAAAUUCCAAAAUUGUUAAAAUCUUUUAAAAAUCAUAUCUUUUAAUCCGUAACUCGGAUUAAAAUAUUUUCAACAUGAAAGUUGCUCAGAACGACGAGACGAAUCCGGAUACGCAGUCCGUUCGUCCGCCACACCCCCCUAACCUAUCGAACCCGCAACUUUCCCCCUCCGAUUCAUCUGUUAGAAAACACGAAACACCGGGAAUACUUUCCCGGAUGUUUUCCCCCCUUCACCGGUAUCACCUACUACCGCGUUAGGGCACACCGAACACCGCGUAUUGCCUUGUUAUAUUUUGUGAUGCUUUGUUUGCUCUAUAUUCAUUAUUUCUUCCCCCUCUUCUCUCCGGUAGACUACGAGACCGACGCUGCUGCUGACCAGUUCGACUACGGAGUUGACGACCCCUCUCUCUUGCCAGAGCAACCAGGCAAGCCCCCCCCCCCUUGAUCACCAGAUAUCGCCUAUUCUCCUCUAUACUGCUUGCAUUAGAGUAGUGUAGCAUGUUACUGCUUUCGUUAAUCCUAUUCUGAUGCAUAGCCUGACAUUGUCGCUACAUCUAUUGAUACCUUACCUGCAAUCCUAAAUGCUUAGUAUAGGAUGCUAGUUUAUCAUCAUUGGCCCUACAUUCUUGUCUGUCUGCCUUGCUAUACUAUUGGGUCGUGAUCACUUGGGAGGUGAUCACGGGUAUAUACUAUACAUACAUACAUACUAUACAGAUGGUGACUAAAGUCGGGUCAGCUCAUUGAGUACCCGCAAGUGAUUCUGACGAGGGGGCUGAAAGGACAGGUGGCUCCAUCCCGGUAGAGGUGGGCCUGGGUUCCCGACGGCCCUCGACUGUUACUUUGUGGCGGAGCGACAGGGCAGGUUGAGACCACCUAGGAGACAGGUGGGCCUGGCCCUGUUCGGCGUUCGCGGAUACUUAACACGCUUAACGAGAUCUUGGUAUUUGAUCUGAGUCGGCUACGAGCCUAUAUGCACUAACCAUCUACGUGGGAGUAGUUAUGGGUAUCCCGACGUCGUGGUAUCAGCCGAAGCACUUCAGACGUCAGCGACGGAGCGGCGCGCGCCGGAUUGGAACGUAAGCCUGCUCUUGUAUUAAGGGGGCUAGUUCUGCUUCCGGCCGCCCACGCAACAUGCAGGUGUGCUAUGGGCGAUGGGCCCAGACCCCUGUGCGCUUAGGUUUAGACCGGCGUGCUGGCCUCUCUGUUUUGCCUAGGUGGGGUUGCGACGUGUUGAUCUUCCGAGGCCGGGCAUGACCCAGGAAAGUGUGUCCGGCCAAAUGGGAUCGAGCGUGUUGGGUUAUGUGGUGCACCCCUGCAGGGAAGUUAAUCUAUUCGAAUAGUCGUGAUCUUCGGUUACAGGACGACUUGGAGUUGUACCUUGACCUUAUGACAACUAGAACCGGAUACUUAAUAAAACACACCCUUCCAAGUGCCAAAUACAACCGGUGGUCGCUCUCCCUCAGGGAUACGAGGGGAGGAUCGCCGGGUAGGAUUAUGCUAUGAGAUGCUAUUUGGAGAUGCUACUUGGAGAUGCUAUUUGGAGGACUUCAAUCUACUCUCUUCUACAUGCUGUAAGACGGAGGCUGCCAGAAGCGUAGUCUUCGACAGGAUUAGUUAUCCCCUUCUUAUUCUGGCAUUCUGCAGUUCAGUCCACUGAUAUGGCCUCCUUACACAUAUACACAUGCAUAUGUAGUGUAGAUCCUUGCUUGCGAGUACUUUGGAUGAGUACUCACGGUUGCUUUCUUCCCCCCUUUUCCCCCUUUCCUUUCUUUCUGGUUGUCGCAACCAGAUGCUGGAGUCCAGGAGCCAGACGCCACCGUCGACGACGACCCCUACUACACUGGAGGUGCCUACUACUACGUGCUGCCCGCUGACGACGACCAGGAGUAGUUUAGGAGGAUCCCAGGCAGGAGGCCUGCGCCUCUUUCGAUCUGUAUCCCAGUUUAUGCUAGCCUUCUUAAGGCAAACUUGUUUAACUUAUGUCUGUACUCAGAUAUUGUUGCUCCCGCUGACUCGUCUAUGAUCGAGCACUUGUAUUCGAGCCCUCGAGGCCCCUGGCUUGUAUUAUGAUGCUUGUAUGACUUAUUUAUGUUUUAGAGUUGUGUCGUGAUAUCUUCCCGUGAGUCCCUGAUCUUGAUCGUACACAUUUGCGUGCAUGAUUAGUGUACGAUUGAAUCGGGGGCGUCACAUUCAUGGAGUUUUAUAUAACAAAUACAAAAGUAAAAAUUUAGAAGGCCCGUGGCAACGCACGGGCACUCUACUAGUUGUUUUAAAGCGCCUAUUCACCCCCCCCCUCUAUGCGACAUCCACGUCCUUUCAAUGAUGAAAACAUAUUGAGAGACAUCCAUACCCAUAAAUUAAGAGAAUUUCAUGUAAAAUGUUCUGAAAGUUAUGUAUGUUAUUUAUGAAAUUUAAGUGAUUACUUGACAAAGAUUCAAGUGAAUAUGUCUUAUUUAGCUUGUAGGGGCAAGUCAAUUAAAGUUCGUGUUGUUAUUAAAUAGUUUGCAAGAACUAAAGAGAGCGAGUGUGUUAUGGUUGUGAAGGAGUUAAUGAUAUCCAAUGGGAGCAAGUGUUCUAGGCAAUUGAUAAUUUUGUGAUAAAGUAGUUGUCAUUAUUAGAGAUUACUUUAAUGGAAAUGCAAAAGACAAUGUUAUACCUAUGUGUUUUCUAUCCAAUGUCCCCACAAUGCAAAAAAUGGUGAGGCAUGGACUAGGUCGUAGAGUAGUAUAAUAGAAUAGGGUAGACAAGGCAUUAUGUAAGAUGUAAUAUGUGUUUCCCCUCACAAGUGAAUCUCGUUUCUAUUUCUUGGGUGGAACCUAAGGUUACAUGUUGCAAAACCAAUGACUCACAUGUACUUAUGACUAAACUCCCAAAGGGCAACACGCCUAGAAACUGGAAAUUAUUAAGGUAAAAACCGAUCAUAGCUUAAAGACCAGGGGUCCCCAUAAUUCCAUAUGCUAUAACUCCGUACUAGUGGGAUAUGAUUUCUAUCACUCGCCCAUCCCCUUCACCCUUCAUCAUAACGCAUUAGAAAACAUAUGGGUUCCCAUAUUACACGUGCGCACUCAUACAAAAGCCACAAAGGAUAUCAUAGAAAUUAAUACUUCCACUUUUUUAUAUAAGGACACUUCAUAUUUUUAUGUCUAACUUUAACCAUUAAUUGUACCAACAAAAUUGAGUUAUGCCACAAAAAGUAUGCCACUGCAUGCACAUUCCAAAGAACUUUAUGAUGAUAUGUUUUUAUGGCAUAUAACCUAUAUUUCGUUGACCAAAACUAUAAGUCAAAGUUUGACAAGAAAAACAAACUGACCUUGUAUACAAAAAUAGAACGAGUAAUGUACAUAUGUGCAACCAACCUUCAUACUAUGUCACCAAUGCCAUCAAACAAAUAACUAAUCAAACAUAGAGGUAAAGAUGAAAUAAAUACUAGGGAAAUAAUUCCUAACAUAAUCAUGUUUGCCUAAGUAUUGAGAAGCUUUGUGAUGGAGAAGCCCCAAUACAAAGAAAGAAGAUUGUCGUGGAGAUGGAUGAAUGCAAUGGCGAUGAUGGCAGUGCCCCAAGAGGAAUUCUGACAUAGCCGUAGGAAAGGAGGAAGAUGCCCCUCCUCCUCCUCCUCCUUUCUGAUGUUGAAAUAUGGCCCCUUGACUCAAUUUAAUUGAUUCCCAAAGACCUGUAACUCCCAAAAAUCUGAAUAGAAUUUGAUGGUAUCAUCUCUUUCAUAGAGUCCUUUGUCUAAUCUUUCUAUUCUAUCUACUUUAUCUUCUAGUGUGAUAAUCUCUCGUAGAUUUUUUGUGCUUAGAUUAUUUUCCGUUGUGUUGUACCGAGAGCUUUCAAGUUUCAAAACAAUUUUUAGAUCUCCCAUUCACCCCCCCCCCCCUCUGGUUGAUAACUAUUGGUCCUAUAGGACCUACCGCCAACACAUUGAAGCCUCGCACAUCAUUCUUUGAAGUGGUGGAACUUCCUAGGAGCCCACCCAUGGCAACCUAGACGCGACACUACGUGUACUAGACUUGCACAAACUGGCAGCCCACACCCUAACAUCAACGCCACAUAUCAAUAGAUGAGUACUGUGGGUGGUACUAGGACAAGAGCGGAACUUAGACCGACAUUUUUCUAUAUUACUUAUUAAAGUAGUGCUCCGUCUAUCUAUGCGCCGAAAGUGUGUCAGAAAAUGGAUAUGUAUAUCUUCAACUCUAUCUUUCUUAGGCUCUUACGUCUCCCAUGCACCGAAAGUGUGUCGGGAAAAGGAUGUGCAUAUGUUCAACUCUAUCUUUGUUAUGAUCUUAUGCAUCCUACAACUCGUGAGGUCAUGCCCUAUCAUUCAGAAAAGGCGGUCGACAGGAUUUGACCCACAGCUUCCUAUUAUUCCAAAUAACGCAGUCCCUAUCUAUCUAAAUAUCUAUCUAUAGUGCGACAUACAUCUUUAGGCACCAAUCCUACUUAAAUAUUGGGCAUGGAAGUUGUACUGGCCAGAAAUUGAUAUUGCUCUGUGUGAUCAUCCUAUAAAGCACCCCUUUGUUGCUCGCACAAAGAAAGAAUCAUUGACCCCUAUGAUCUAGGAGGACUAACAGAGCAACAAGGCUAUCUGGUAUGCUUUUCAUAGUUAUAAAGGGCAUUCUUCCAUUGAAAUUUUGUAGGCAUACUAUGCAUAACUUGAAAUUACGAGUUCUUAUAUUUUGUAUUAUCAAAAAUCAUAGCUUGUUUUUUGGUACAUGCUCGCACCAAAGAAAGGAUUGUCGUUUGUGUUUGUUGGCAUGGUUCCUGGACUUAUUUUCUUUCCCUGCAUACUAUAUAUGUUUGACCAUUUUUUCUUGGUUUUGCACAUCAUAGUGUCCUUUAUGGUAGAUAAGCAAUUAUGUUUGAGAAGUACUCAAACUAGGUUAUUUACUUUAUGUUUUCAAGUAUACAUCAGUGGAUAAUUGUGUUCUAUUUGUUCAGUUUUAUUAUGUUCGAAUAUUGAAUGAAAAAUAGUUGAUUUGAAGAAAAAGGACGACUAAAAUUUCAUCUUUUAUAUCAGACAUGUGUCACUUUCUUUGUCGUCAGAAUUUUUUUCACAUGAAAGUUCGGAACAAGAACUUGAACAAGUUUUAGAAUUUUCUAUUAGAUUAUAGAAAAAUUAUCUUAAAAUGGCUCAGUUAAUCAAAACUUUCCCUCUUCUAAAGUGGAAGAUCUUUUUUAACUUGAUUGACUAAAAGUAGAAGAUCUUUUCUUGGUCAAUAGAUAAAAUGCUCACAUGUUCACUAAAGGAUCAGAACAACAAAACACUAAAGUCGUCAUUUAUCUAUGUGAAACAUAUAAACUAAUCCAUCCAUGUUAUUUCUGUGAAACAUACUCUCUUUCUUGUCAUUGCUUUUUCCUAGUUAGUUUAGUUUUCACUUUUGGAAAACUAGGAAUACUUUGGAAUAUAUAACAUGUUUGUUCCCAGAUUUGUGUCAUGGUUGAUAAUAGAUUAUUAUUAUUGUUAAAAAUAAAUAUUUAAUAUUUUUUAUAAUAAUCACACCACUCUGAAAACAAAAGAAACUUCUAUUUAGAUGCUAUAAAUUUGUUGUAGUAGUUGGAAGUCUGAAGUUCACAUAUAGACUUAUGAAUAUGCAUAUAUGUAUAGUCAUCCGAGGCUUAAAAUAUCCGUGUAUACACUGAUAGUUAUUCAUGUAUAUAUUUAUAUAGGAGGCAAUUUGUUUCUUUUCACAUAAUAAAACAUCAUAUUAUUCCAGAGGUGUUAAUUGUUUUGAUACAUACACUUUAUUGGUUCUACAGUCAUAUUGGAAACUCAAGAUCUUCAUCAAAACGAGCCAAGUUGUUGGUCAUGAAGAUGAGUCCUUAGAUUAAGGUCGCAAAGUGACAACACAAAACCAUAUAAAUUUAUUUUUGUGCGUCUUAAUCUUUUAGGCACCAACAAACAUUUAUGUGCUUUUUUAUCAUGCAAAAUUCUUUAAUCUUAUCAAGUGUAUAAUAUUUUUUUGACAUGCCACAAUGUUAUUGUUGUUAUGUAGUCUUGAUUGCAAUAAUAAAUAUUUUAAUUAGCACGCUAUCAUAGUUAAAUAUAAUAGUACCAAUAUACUAAACUAGUUAAUGAUAUUCAUCACAGAAGCUCUCCAUCAAGCAACAGAAUGAGCGUUUGGAGAUUGAGAACAAAAUAUUGGCGAUUGAGAACCAAAAAAUGCGCGAGGAGUUGAGGACAUACCGCUGUGCUGCUUGCUUGAAGAUUGAAAAUGCCUGCCUGAAAGUUGAGGUUUGCCAAAGUAGAUCCAAGACAUACAACGAUAUACUAUAACACUUCCAUCGUGCAUUAUUUCUAAAUCAAGACUAGAAAAUAUAAAACUGAAUAAUAUAUUUCUACUAUACUGAAUAGACAAACGCCCAAUGGCUAAAAUUCUUGCAUUAUAAUAACACAAAAACAUUACAAAAAUGUGUGAAAGAAAAUCUGCCAACAUGACACAUGGGACAUGAGAAUAUAUUUCUUAUGGUUAAAUAUGAUGACAAUAGAUACAUGGAAUUUGAAAUAUAAUGCAGAAGUGAGUGUUAUUUACAGGUUCAAGUCAAACUAAUUGCACCCAUGUCAGCAUAUAGAUGGUUUAUGAAGUAGUCUCACUCAUUUUAAUGUGUAUCUAAAGAAAUUUUUAUAUUCCACGAAACAGUUAAAUUAGGAAAUUUAUUUCGCUUCCUAGUUGACCCAAUAAUGUGACCAUGUAGCACAUUCAACAUCUCUUGGCUAGGAGUAAAAUUUAAGGUCUGGAUUAAUCAUUAGCCUCCUACCAUCACAUGGAUCAGUAGUAUUUCCGAAAAUACCUAAAAAUAGUCAACACUUACUAAAAGUAGCACCCUACAUAAUGGGAAAGCGACUUUCAACACCCAAUGAGAUAUUGAGAUAUAUCAUCCAAAAUUCUUUCCCGCGCAUACCGGGAGGGGGCGGGGAGUAUGUUCGAAAUUGUUUUUUAGAAUGAAUCAAGUUUGCGACUAUGCAACUUCUCACUACUCAUCACAGGAUAAAUAAGAAGUUUAUAUUUAGUUGCACCGGAUAUGCCUAAGUGCAAACAAUAUAACCAGAAUCUUGAUAAUAUAGGAUCUAAAAACUACACCAACAUAGAUGGAAAGUAUGAUUCCAGAGAUAUAAAUUAUUACGUAUGUGUGUGGAGACUACUGUUCAAGUGUUUAUACAAAAGUUAACACAUUUACUUUGUGAGAAGUUCAUUUUGGUUGAUUGUUGCAGUUUGAUAUACUUAGAUGUUGCCUCUGAUUGAAUACUUUCCCAAUCAAUAAACAUAAAAUAUUUGAAUAUUCAUUAUUAUUGACAUAAGAUUUACAUACUUACAUGUUUAACUUAGAAUUCAGCACAUAAGAAAUCCAUAAAUGAAGAAAAAAAUGAGAAACUGAAGCUUGAGAACACAAUGUUUUUAGCACAAAACCAUCAUACCAGUUUAGAAUUUUAUUAUUAUAUACUUUCUACUUCAAAACUCAACAAACAUAUAAUUCAAUGUAAAAUGUUUUUAGAGGAGAUAUAUGAAAACAUGUAGUCCAACCAAACAAUGAAGAGGGAAGAUGCUUUAUAUAGAUUAUGAAAGUAAGUUUUCAAUUAGAUAGGUAUAAAUUAACUUACUAUAUUUCAAAAACAACGAAAACAUAUUGAGAAACAUCCAUACCAAUAAAUGAAGAGCACAACAUGCAAAAUGCUCUUUUAUUCCCUUGAAGCAAUGAAGUUAUGUAUUAAUUACCAAAUUGUCCAAAACAAAGAUACAUCACUUUAUAGUUCCUCUAGUAUGUUAGUGUUGUGUUCUUGUUUCUAGCAUACUACUUACGAUUGAAAGCCAUAACUUUAUUGUUUUUGAAAUAGUUGUCGGCAAUAAACUGAGCACACAAAGAAAACAUAAUAAGUACCUUCCUUGGUAAAUACUUAUUAUUGAAACCAGAGGCAAAAUUUUGGUCUUGGUUCACCAAACGAGAACAACAUAUUCUAUUUUUUUAAAAUGAGAGGAAACUAAAGAUAGAACAUGUUGAGUCAUCGACAAGCUAGCAUCACCAUCAUUUAUAAAUAUGACAAUGCAAACAGGAUAAAUUUGACACACUGGAUAUGCAUCCAUCAAUUCUCAUCGUCUAUUAAUGUCAUUCAGUCAUUGUCAUAGGUAUUGUGUCAACAAGAAAAGUGAAAUCCUAGCUUUCCCUAGAACCAGCUUCUUACUAUCCUACCCCGUGGAGUUUUUCGGGGAAGUCAAAUCAAAGAUGAAACUACCUAAUGGUGUAGGUUUACCAUAAAACACUAGACUAGAGAAUCAAUAUGUGGUUGAAUGAUUAUGCGGGUGGUCCUACCCCUGGUUCACCAGAGACUAAACCCUAGGUUUAACGUCAAGUGUAUCGUUAAAGAGGGAAUAUUCUUUCGGUGGGAGACGACAUUCUCAUAGAUAGUGAAUCAUAAAAUUUCGUCAAUCUUAAAAUUUUGCACUAUGGUAUUUAGUAGGCCCUUUGUGGUGACGAUGUGGGUGAUGGUGUGCAUGUGUAUGUCUGUGCAUGUUGUAUUUGUGUGUUUUCAAAAACUAGACUAUUGCCUACUCAACAGUUGUAGGUGCGCAUGGACACAUGCUAGGAUGGCCAUAGUUGUACACUCAGUCACUCACAUUGGUAGCAUGUGUUGGUUUGGCUUCUCUAGCUACCGAAACAUAUUGGAUUGGCUGUCACAUUUUGAUAUCAACAAAAAAGAUUUGGAGAUAACGUCUUAUGUAUCCAGGUGGGCUUUGUAAGCCCACUAGUGUGUGCCCCGAACUACAAUGUUGGCUUGUUUUGAUAAUUUUACCCAAACUAGUCCUUUUGUAUCUAGCGUGAGACACAUCUCCAUUUGCCAACAUGCUGCUAAACAUGGUUUUCUUCAAAUUAAUUAACAUGAUCAGUCCAAGCUACAUUCAGUUCUUUAUUUCCUGCUAAGAUGCACUCUAUCUAAUGGCUUGUUCUAUUGGCUACAAAACUUGGCCGCAUCUUCAAACUUUCACGUCCUAAUGAAGUGCAUAGCAUAAAUAGCAAAUACGUAUUUUUCUUACAAUCCAAAAUAUUUGAGAUAGAAAAAACGACUAUAAAGAAUUCAUUGGGGUCUGUGCACCAAAGCUGAUUCGUGUUUCAAGAAUCAAUAUAUAGUUGUAUGUGGUCUGCUUUGUUAAUUAUUUUUGCCUUGAUUUCUUCACAUUGCACACCACAAUUUUGCAAACAUCAAGGCUUUACUUCAUGGCGUAUUGAUCAUUCUUGCUAGAUGUCUGGUCAAGCUAUCAGACUUACAUGUAUUGUUUUUUGCAGCUUGCACGCUCGUUUCGUAAUGCUGCUACAAUUCUAGAAGCUGAAGCACAAUCUGAACUGGAGGUUGGGUUUUCCUCUACAGCACCCCAGAUUCCAGUUGAUACUAGCGCAACUGCACCACUCCAGCCGAGUGCAGCAGGGAGUCAAGAUGAACCAUGCGAGUAAUCAACUGGCAGCAAUUUAUUAGCUAUAGUUACAAAUACCUAUAUACAUACAGAAUAAAAGUUCCAAAGACUCGGUGUGUUAGUCAUUUCAAUUACAAUAAGUGACACUAAAAGUCCAUUGUGUCUUGUAGUUAAGCACCAAAACCUUUUUAUGUGUUACUGGUACUUGAGAAGGUUGUAUGCCUUCUCAUCUCUACCUUAUACAUUUGAAACAUGGGAUAUUAUAUUGUGUUUGUACAAUCUCCUGUCCUAUAAAUAUGUUACUUAUUUAUCUAUUUUUGUGAGGGAAUUUGUUAUUUAUUAG